rnacentral:lncRNA from 1 species
CGGUGGGGGUGCUGGUGGAGGAGAAGGCAGCGGUGGCUAUGCACCAUGAAGAAUAUCUUACAUGGAUCGUGUAAUUGAGUGAAGUGUCGACAUUUCUCGUAAGAGACUACAAAGUUUCAAUAUAUAUAUAUGGGGCAAUAAAUAGACUAAUAUUUUGUAUAAAUAAGCCGUAAAAAGGCGGCUAUUGCUGAAGUUAUAAAAUUGUAUCCAUGUUGUAAGCUACUUCGUAUCGUGUGUGUCAAGUUUUAUAAAUGGAGAAUCAUAUAUAGUAGUUGUUGUCAACUCAUAAGUUCAACAAUAUAUGUACAUCUGAGUUACCCGGUCAUUACAUAUAUCUGGAUUGUUACAUAGCCGUAUGUAGAAGUCAGAGUUUUAACAUUAAAGAUUCCUACAGAAAAUACAAAAUUUGUAAUGGAGGAGUCAAACCCAAAAGUGAUCUAACUUAUGUUUACAUAUCAAUGAUAAGCAAACAUAAUAAUGAAAAAAAAAAAAACAGAUAUCUAAAUUUUUAUUUGAAUCUUUUAGUAAGCGUCGUAAGCGAUGAGAUAAAUCAGAACUAGAAGUCAUGAACUAAAUUAUGAUUCAUCUNNNNNNNNNNNNNNNNNNNNNNNNNNNNNNNNNNNNNNNNNNNNNNNNNNNNNNNNNNNNNNNNNNNNNNNNNNNNNNNNNNNNNNNNNNNNNNNNNNNNNNNNNNNNNNNNNNNNNNNNNNNNNNNNNNNNNNACGUAACUCUUUGAGUGUUAAAUCUUCUUCAAAUCAUGGAAAAUAAACUUGACUAGAAGAAUGCAUGAGAACUUCUUCUUCAUGGUGAUUGCGAUCGUACUUUGCAUACUACAAACUGGGAUCGGCAACUCUUCAACUAUCGAAAGAUUUUCCUUAGUCAAUCAUUGAUAGAAUACACAAUGAUGGAAAAAGAUUUAACUCUAUAGUAGACAUUAUUAUAGUGAAAAUCAUGAAAAGGUACUAGUGGAUAGAGUUUGCACAACACAAUGGACUGCUCUAGGCCCAAAACAUGUUAUAAAAUUCGGGUUGACCGACCCAAUUAAGACAGAAUCAGAUCCGACCCGAUAAAAUAUACUUUUUGAGUUUCGAGUAAGCGACGCGUACCUUUGUCUGCUUCGAUCUCCGACGAGACACUUCUCUCUCUCUAGACCUUCCGCCAUCUCUGAAUAAUGUCGGCGAGACCUGAAGGAAGUCCGCCGGAGGUUACGCUGGAGACCUCCAUGGGUCCCUUCACCGUCGAGGUACCUCUCUUUCUUCUUAUUUUUCUCCUUUUUAGCUAUCGAAUUAGCGGAAAAAACAAAUUCCGGCGAUUACAUUCAUAUACAGAGCUCACAUGAACUUGAGAUCUAGAUUUCUUAUAUAUUUUCUUCAUUCUGAUUGUAUUCUACUCAAAUCGAGCUUCUACUCGUAAAGGUUUUAGGGUUUUUAGGGUUUACAAUGUUUUUGAUUUGUGUCAUUUUUCCUCAGAUGUAUUACAAACACUCCCCGAGAACUUGCCGGAACUUCGUUGAGCUAUCCCGGAGAGGUUACUAUGAUAACGUUCUGUUUCACAGAAUCAUCAAGGUUUGAUUUCUGUUUUCUUAUCUAAUAUAGUUUGUACUGAGAUCAUCACUGUGAUGAAGUUCUAAGGGAUUCUGCUAUUGAUUUGUUUCAGGAUUUCAUUGUGCAAGGUGGAGAUCCUACAGGAACUGGAAGAGGUGGUCAAUCCAUUUAUGGGUACGUGUUUCAAUCUUUACCUCAUCAUUGUUAGCUUUGCUGGUUGUGUUAGUAAACGAAAUUGGAUAUAGAUAUAGCUAAGCUCUGUAAUUUUGGUUGGGGAGAUUAAAUCAAAGUUUGGCGAAAGUUAUAGUAAAGUAGCUGCAUUACAUUUUGAAAGCUAGUGACAUUUAGUUUCCUUUUAGUUUGAUCUUCACUCAAGACUGAUUGCGUUUUUGAAAUUGCGCAAUACAGUACUCAUAACUUCUUAACAUGGUUUAUAGUCGACUCCCACAAGGUUCUGAAAGCACCCAGUUGGUUGAUACUGACAGUGUCAAAUUGUAAACUGGGAGCUCUAGUUACUCGAUUUAUAGUCUGUUUCACUCUUGCUUUUGGUCCACUGAUGUGUUCAAGAAGCUUGAAACACAAAAGUUUUCUACUUUGUAGGCUAUUUUCAUGUCGUCUAUUGUUCUUAUGGUUUUUUUUUUUUGCAUUUUACCUUUUCCCCAGUUCUAAGUUUGAGGACGAGAUAAAGCCAGACUUGAAGCACACUGGAGCUGGAAUCUUAUCAAUGGCAAAUGCUGGUCCCAAUACAAAUGGGAGUCAGUUCUUCAUCACUUUAGCACCAGCACCGUCCUUGGAUGGUAAACACAUUCACCUCUGAAACUUGCUUUGAUGUUUUAAGAAUUGAGAUCUUUUUCCACGUUUACUAAGAGACAGUUACUUACUGUUGUUCUAUUGUCUUAAAACAUUUCAAUGCACGUUCCAGGAAAGCACACAAUCUUUGGCAGAGUGUGCCGAGGUAUGGAGGUGAUCAAGAGGCUCGGUAGUGUCCAAACCGAUAACACUGACAGGUAAAAAUUACUUAUUCAGAAUCAUCAAGAUUUGACCCAGUGGGAAAAAACCGAGUAAUCGAAAGAAAAUCUUUUUUCUGUUCACAAAUUUCAGGCCAAUCCAUGAAGUGAAGAUUCUGAGAACCAAAGUGGUCGAUUAGGGAAGACGAGUCUUUGGUGAGGAGCGCAGAAGCAUCAGUGAAACGUUUAUGACAUGAAGAACUGUAACACUCUACUGAUCCUUGAUACUAUUGUAGACUGGUUUUGGUCAAAGUUUUGACUCUACUUUGAUUAUUAAAGAUGGAUUUGAAUCCGUUUAUUUCAUCUUGUAAUGAAUCCUAAAUAUCUCCGCAUAUUAGUAUCGAUUUUACAAUGUCUCUUUGGACAAUCAACGGCCAAGAAAAGAGCACGUCACCAAGUUUUAUAAUGUUUCUUUCAACUCACAUCCUCUAAAAAGCUAUCUUUCACUAUGUGAAGACGGGACAACAUACGAAAAUGGCUUUCGCAGCAGCGACUCUCUUCGUUCCGCCACCGGCAACAGUCCGAUCUCCGGCUAGAAUCCAUCGCCGUCCCUCAAUUCCGUCCCUGCUUCACGGAGUUCCGACGAACGGGGCAGCGGGACGCCGGCAAAUCAAGAGGUCAGUUGUAGCAAAUACUUCGCCGGGAAACGGAGGCGUCAGGGCGGGGGAAGGAGACGGAGUAUCUCUGGGGACAAUGAAGCUUCCGGGGAACACAGAUAUCGCGAGAUUCGAAACUCUUCUGUUUCAGGUAAAUUCAAAGACAUGCAAAAGCUGGAAUAGCUCAGUUGGUUAGAGCGUGUGGCUGUUAACCACAAGGUCGGAGGUUCGACCCCUCCUUCUAGCGGAUCACUUUUUUUAAUAUUCUUCUUUUGUGUAAUUUACAACAGUGGGCGAAUAGUCUUUGCCAAGGAGCCAAUCUGCCUCUUCCUGUUCCUCUCAAGGUAAUUAAAUUGUUUCCUAUAUUUAUUUGCGAUUGAUCUAAAUCUAUAAACAAAAUGUGAUGAAUCUGGCUCUGGAUCAUAUUAGGUGGAUAGAAUAAGUGGAGGAGCAAGGUUAGGAUUCAUCGUGAUGGAGGAUGAAGGCAAGACCGAUGUUCCGGUUUACAUAGACUGUUUGGUCUACCAAACCACAGCGGAUGGUCUGGUGUUCCAAGCGACGCGUCAUGGCCGGAAGAAAGACAAGGCACCUCCGGGAGAAGAGAGAAUCAUGAGAAGCCUCUUAGGAGCCUUGAAAAGAGCUGUUGAGAUUGCUCGAGUCGCCUAAAAUCUGACUAUCUCACAAUGAAAUUGAGAUUUCUCUUUUCUUUAUGUCUUUCUAGCNNNNNNNNNNNNNNNNNNNNNNNNNNNNNNNNNNNNNNNNNNNNNNNNNNNNNNNNNNNNNNNNNNNNNNNNNNNNNNNNNNNNNNNNNNNNNNNNNNNNNNNNNNNNNNNNNNNNNNNNNNNNNNNNNNNNNNNNNNNNNNNNNNNNNNNNNNNNNNNNNNNNNNNNNNNNNNNNNNNNNNNNNNNNNNNNNNNNNNNNNNNNNNNNNNNNNNNNNNNNNNNNNNNNNNNNNNNNNNNNNNNNNNNNNNNNNNNNNNNNNNNNNNNNNNNNNNNNNNNNNNNNNNNNNNNNNNNNNNNNNNNNNNNNNNNNNNNNNNNNNNNNNNNNNNNNNNNNNNNNNNNNNNNNNNNNNNNNNNNNNNNNNNNNNNNNNNNNNNNNNNNNNNNNNNNNNNNNNNNNNNNNNNNNNNNNNNNNNNNNNNNNNNNNAUCAACAUGGGCUUAAUCCAACAAGGAAGAUUCGGCCCAAUAUAUAUUUUGAAACCCUAAACGCAGGGCUCGCGAUAUCCUUCUGGAGACAUAAACCCUAAUAUAAAUUCGAUUUCUGAUACGAUCUUCGUUUCUCUCUAGCCAAACUCUGUGUGUAGGCGGAACUACAGGACCAGGAGCCUCUUUUUUCCUCAAACUCGAUCUACUCUUGUUAACCAUGGUAAGCUUCGUCCUUGUAACGCUUUCCUCUUUUCUCAGAUUUACCCAGUUUGAUUUGAGAUUACACAAAUGUAGAUUUACGAUUUUCCAAUGCUUGAUUUUCGUGUCAUUUGCAGUUUAGAAAAUAUUUAUCCUUUCUUUGCUUUUGAUCCUGACUCUGUUCACUGAUUAGAUUAGUAAGCAAAUGAUGUUGUUUAUUGCUUAGGCCUGUGAUCUCAAAAUUCCCAAUAUGUUUUGAUUACCAAUUAGUUCAAUUUGAAUUGAUAUAAUAGAUAAUGUAAUUGUAGCAAGGUAAUGUAAUUGUCUGUUAUGUAUAUUUUGUAUAGUCGUCGAAGAGAAAGACCAAGGAGCCCAAGGUUGAGACUGUGACUCUUGGACCUAGUGUUCGUGACGGAGAGCAAGUUUUUGGAGUUGUCCACAUUUUUGCUUCAUUCAACGACACUUUCAUUGUGAGUUUAUUCUGACAAGAUUUGAGUUUUCCAUUUAUCAUUUAUGUUAGGCGAAGCUGACAUAUGAUGUAUCUUCAAUUUGCAGCAUGUUACUGAUUUGUCUGGACGUGAAACUCUUGUCCGUAUCACUGGUAAGCAUCAGUGAUUCUUAAUAAGUCCUACCUAUGAUGGAUUAAGAACUUAGAUGAUGUUGCUUCUGAUGAUGUUAUCUAGCCUUUCGACUUCUCUUGUUUUCCAAUCUUUUGAGUAGUCACUUGAUUUCUUUAUGGAAGUUUGCUGUAUUCUUGAAUUCUAAUGAGUAACUAUUCUAUUUUGUUUUUGGUUAGGUGGAAUGAAGGUGAAAGCUGACAGAGAUGAGUCCUCACCUUAUGCAGCUAUGCUUGCUGCUCAAGAUGUUGCUCAGCGAUGCAAGGUACUUAACCUUAUAUAUGAUCUUUAGAUAUUCAUUUGCAAACUAUAAUUCCCACAUUGUUCAUUAAUUUAACUGUUUUGUUAACUACUAUCCAAAACACAGGAACUUGGAAUCACUGCCAUACAUGUGAAGCUCCGUGCCACAGGUGGUAACAAGACCAAGACACCUGGUCCGGGAGCCCAGUCCGCUCUUCGAGCCCUUGCUCGUUCUGGCAUGAAAAUAGGCCGUAUUGGUAUGCUGCAUAACCUAAUAUCAUCUUCAAGCUAUUGACAACUGUGAUGUUUCUUGAUCAUUUCUAACAUCGUGCUUGUUGUUGCAGAGGAUGUUACUCCCAUCCCAACAGACAGCACCCGCCGAAAGGGUGGUAGAAGAGGAAGAAGGCUCUAAGUGUUUUGGGCUUAUGGGAUGUCUUUUAUUUAGCUCCAUUUGUUUUCAUUUUGUCAGAACUAUUUGUUUGGAGUUUGUUAGAUUGUGGAAGUGUUUUGGAGUUGAAUGAUUUUGUUAAUUUGAUCAACAUUUCUUUCUAAUAUGAUGAGUCUAUUACAUUGCGAAACAUUAGUUUUUGGCUUCUGAUGCGAUGAAUAUUCAUUACCUCACCAGAUUAUUAGUCUCUUAGCUUACAUGCUUCUGAUUCAAACAGUUUUUUUCCUUUUGUUGUCUUUUUGCCUCGAUGAUAAUUAUGAAGAUAUUUGCUGGAAUUGGUAAACGUUUUGUACAACUGUAUCCAGAAAAGUGAUACAAAAGAAAUCGUGAAAUUGCACUGUCUGACUUUAUGAGGGGAAACUGGAAGAAAAAUUGCAAGUUAGAUGCGCCUUUAGCUUGAAUGGCAAUUCAUUUGCGAAACAAAGCUUUGGAACAUUGAUUUGCUCCACUUCAUAAUAUUUUUACAUGACUACGAGAUUUGGUAGGAAACUUUUUUAAAAAGGGUGUGUUUUGUCCUCAUUCCCCUAAAUCACACCUAAUAAAAACCCCAUGGCCAGUUCACAGAACACAGAACUCAAGUAAAGCACCGAGAUUGAUGGAACGAAACUCAAGGAUUCGAGAAUAGCAGUUCAAUCAAAUGUGGUGUAAACUGUAAACGAUUAAAGCAUAAGUGAGAACUUGGUCUUGGUUCAUCAUAUACGAUACGAUAAGGAACGUCGAGAUGUACAUAUAAUAUAAUGGGCUUCUGAGUAAAGGCCCAUCAGUUUAACAAACAGAUUAAAACACAAAACCCUAGAAAUGGAGAAAGUAUAAAGUUUCAUUCUUCAACAUUUGUUGCGCCGUUUUGAAACUUCCGGCGAGGCGAAGGAGACAAACGUGCAAAGAUGCAGAUCUUCGUGAAAACACUAACUGGGAAAACCAUCACCCUCGAGGUCGAGAGCAGUGACACCAUCGACAAUGUCAAAGCCAAGAUCCAGGACAAAGAAGGUAUCGUAACGUCACUGGCUCUAGCAUUUUUUGUAAUUUGAAGUUAUGAUCUCUUAUCGAGUAGCUUUGUUUCAGGUAUCCCUCCGGACCAGCAGAGGUUGAUCUUCGCCGGGAAACAGCUCGAGGAUGGUCGUACUUUGGCUGACUACAACAUCCAGAAAGGUUUGUUCCUGAAUUCUUACUGUUGUGUCUCGUUUUAGUUAUGGAAAAUGUAAUUAGUUGAGCUGCAAGUGUUUGUUGAUUUUAAAUUAUCGUUUUGGUUUGUGAACAGAGUCGACUCUGCAUCUCGUUCUGAGGCUUAGGGGAGGUAUCAUUGAGCCUUCUUUGAUGGCUUUGGCUCGUAAGUAUAACCAAGACAAGAUGAUCUGUCGCAAGUAAGUCUUUUUUAAUCCCUCUUUUGCUUUGUUGUUCUGAGUGUCCCAGUUGAUUAUAGUUCUGUAUUGUUAGUAAACCAUAUGGCAAUUAACAUUAGCUGAACUAGUUAUUCUGUGUCAUGUUAUACUCUUUGUGGAUUGCAAAAUGUACUGAUCGUUCGGUUGCGGCAUCCUUAAUCCUCAUAUCAACUGUUACUCUUAGAUCUUGAUCAAUCAAGAGUGACAUGAAUGUCACUAUAUAUAAGUAAUAGUGAUCAUCAGUGUUUUGAUGUGAUUUAUGUGUUGUGUGAAGAUUGUGUCUCAUUUAUACGAGUUGACUUCUUUGGUUAGGUGUUAUGCUCGUCUGCACCCAAGGGCUGUCAACUGCAGGAAGAAGAAGUGUGGCCACAGUAACCAGUUGAGGCCAAAGAAGAAGAUCAAGUGAUCUGUUUUCACCAAAUGCUUUUUUAUGUUAUAUUUUUGUGUUUCCCUUGGGAAAAGACACAUCUCUAUUGUUCUGAGACAAAUCUUGUUUCAGUUACUUUUGAUUCUAAGAUUAUUAUUAUUAUUAGUAAAUCUGAUUUUCUUGCCAAAGUCUCUGCCAUGUUUCUUCAAUCUGCUGUCUCAAGUUUAAUUCUCCUAAAGCGCAUUAUGGACUUAAAGUAAUUUAACCAAUUAUAAAAGUUGGUAAGUGAUUAAAAGACAAAUUGUGCAACCGAACAAGGGGUUUUAUGCAUCAUGCAAGCGCACAACCAAAGAGAUCAUUAACACAGAAAUCUCAAAGUUUUCUUCUAUCGUCAUAGUUAUCUCUUAAUAACGUUUGUAUUUUAUUUUAUUUUAUUAUUAUUAUUAUUUUUUAUUUUUUUGGUAAACCAAUAACGUUUGUAUUUAAAGAAUCUUAUUUUUAAGGGAUAGAGACAAAUCCAAACAAAAUAUAUCAUUGAGAAAGUGGUAAAACUUUGAUCAUCAAAUCAAAUCUUUUUUAAAAAAAUCAAACAAAACUAAAACCAAACGAACAUUACAUUAAGAAACUAAGAAGAUCAUAGUGACUUCUUGGUAGAAGUCAUCAUAGUCUUAAACUCUUCAAAAUCCACAAAACCAUCACCGUCUUUAUCAACAGCUCGAACCAUCAUCACACAUUCAUCCAUUGUAUGCUUUUCUCCAAGACGCUUCAAUACCACAUGAAUCUCGCUUGCUGAUAUCUUUCCAUCACGAUCAAUAUCAUACAGAUCGAAUGCUUCUUUCAUAACAACUUCUUCGUCUUCCUUUUCUCCUCCAUUGUUAAGCAUCAAGCAUGAAGCGAACUCCACCGCGUCGAUUUGGUUAUCACCGUCAAUGUCUAGCUCCCUGAACAUCUUAUCGAUUUCUUCGGAUGUUAUUUCAGGAGAGAAAACGCGAAUAGCCUCUGCGAAUUCAUCCCAUGAAAUUUUUCCGUCUUUGUUUUUGUCCACUCUCUCGAAAAUCUGUGCCACAGACAUGUUUUUUUUUUUUUUUUUGCAAUAAUAAGUAAUAUGCCUAUAGGUGUAAACUUGUGUGUGUGAGAGAUAUUGAAACCCUGAUAUCUGUAUUUAUAGAGAUAAUUGACGUGGUUGAGAUUCCUAUAAUGAUUUGGAUUUGGCGUGUAAUUUCCUUUUUAUUGAACUUUUUUUUUUGUAAUACUUCUAUUUUCUAAAAAAAUUGGAAAGCAAAAAAAAAAAAUUUGCAAAAUUUCCUUAUUUUUCUCCUUUGUUAAGUGUCAGACUUAUCUUGAUGUUAUGUAUUAUGCUCAUCUGCCGAAGGGGAUUAAACCAGGUUUCGUUUCAGUCACGAACAAGUAAUUAGACUAAAGAAGAAGAUCUCUUUUUCACGUGAAGCUUACUGAGGUUAUAUAUUUUGAGUUUAAAAGACACAUCUCUUGUGUUUUGACACAAACAUGCGUGUUUCAGUCGAUGUUAGAAAGAUUAUUAGUAAAAUCUGAUCAAUGAUAACCAACGACUGUUCUUGAUUUUUCGCUUUCUGAAAUUAAUUUUUAUUGAGUUAUUAUUUGAGACAUAAAAGGUACAAGUGUCCAUACGUAAAAGUAUGAACAUGCGCAAACCAAAGGAUCAUAAAUACAUAAAAUCCCAAUGUUUUUUCUUUCUUCCUAAUCUCACAGUAUCUAGCUAAAUUAUAGAGAGUAGGUAAAUUAAAGAUCUCCAUUAUUCAUCUGGAGAGGACGUUGCAUGUUCCAAGCAUUGAGACUCUCUAUGGUCACACUCUGAGUUCCAUUGUUAAACACAUACAAAUGUGCAUUCUCUUGCACUGCUUUCACUGGAUACACUCUUGACGUUAUCGCCGUCUUCCCUAGAGCUCCAAAGCUCUCUACUACCGAAUGAUCAAUCUGUAACAUUGAAAUUCCAAUUUAUGUCACGUUACAUAAGAUAGAUAAACAAUCAAAAAAUACCAAAUGAAGUUUCGUCUUCUUUACGUACCAAACUCCUUAGAGAGAUCCUUCCAUCAGCCAUAUCAACAUCCACAAAACCAGCAAACGAUGGUUUAUACAUCCUAUCCUUUGGGAGUGGACCCUUGUCUUGCUUCAACGACGAACUAUAGGAAAUUUAAUGUUAAUUCUCAUUAUUAGUCAAAUGAAAAAGCCUGGCAUAUUAUUAAGCAUAUAGAGAUAUCAUGCAUGCAAGGAAACGUACGGUCUAGCAUCGGAGCACAUGAGAACUUUAGGUUUAUGAGUUGAAGUGUCUUUGAAGACCCUAAAGAAGACAGGAGUGUACUCUUCCAAAUCAGGAGUUGCUAAUGUGAUCAGACCAAAAGGUCCUACACCACCUGUCACGUUUGAACCUUUAAUCUUACACAACUCAAAAGGUUUGAGCGUGAAGCUAGGGUCGAAUAUCUCAGCUUUCUCUAGACUUCCGACGUAGAACGUCACUUCCACAUCAGCCUGAGCAGGAGUGAUUCCUUUAACUUCUAUGCGUUGACCCAUCUUGAGGUUACGGUUGUUCAUUCGAAUGUAAUUGCCUCUCAAUGAUUCUAUCUCUUCAACAGGCCAAAACACUAAUUGCUUCUUGUUUGAGUCAAGAAGCACCGUUCUUGGAAUUAACUAUAUAUCAUUUCGUUAUAUUAAGUUAUUAACAUGAAAAUUUGAUCAGAAAACAUGAGUUUAAUUACGUAAUAAAUUAUAAGAUAUACCUGAAUACCAGCCCAACCCUUCAUAAUAUCAUCUUCAACGGUGUCUGAUUCAUUAGCCCAACCCCAUAAGACUCUUCUGUUCUUUUUGUAGUCAAAGAAUGUCUUAGAUGCGUAGAAAUUACCGUAAUCGAAUCUUAAACCGUCCCAACCAUCGGGAGUAUUACCGUCCGGUAUGUAUCGGUCCUUCUUAGAAUCGUAUUUACCAAGCGUGUAAUACUCGUACCGGGUUAUGUCCAAGCUAACCUUCAAAACAUGCUUGGUGUUUGCACCGGUGUAAUCCAAGUCCAAACCGUUUUCGAAAUCGGUUACGGAAACCGGGAAGAAAUCAGGACAUUCCCACAUACCGGUUGACUGUUUGGAGUGAACCGGGUGCUUAGCUUUGACCCAAUGCUUGAAAUCUCGGCUUCGGUAGAUAUAAGCUAUUCCUCUAUGCUUUCUUCUUGACCCCACGACGGUUCUCCAAUACCCGUCUUUGGAGAACCAAGCCGUGGUCGGGUCGCGGAAUGCUGAACCGUUCAUGGUAUAGUCUGGCAUUACGAUCGGGUUAUCGUCCGGUUUAAUCCAUUUCCUUAGGUAUGGGUCUGAAGGGUCAUCCGGGAUAGCGUAGUUUUGCAGCUGAGUUCCGUUCUGGUUAACACCGGUAUAGAGAAUAAUCGGUCCUUUUCCCGGUACAAUUGUGAUUGAACCGGACCAUGUACCUCCAAUGUCGAACCAUUUUGAGGGAUGGAUGGCCGGUUCAAGAGCCACCCAAUUAACCAAGUCUUUGGAAACCGAAUGAGCCCAUAUAAUAUUACCCCAAACCGCACCUUUGGUGUUGUAUUGGUAAAAGAGAUGGUACAAACCUUUGUAGUAUACUGGACCUGUUUCCAAAAACCACAAAUUAGACUAAUCUCACGAUAUAUAACUAUGUAUAAGUACUACUAUGUAAUAGAGUACGUAAAAAUUAACAUAAUUAUGAUAAACUCACCAUUUGGAUCUACGAGGAUUGUGGAGAAGAAUGCCACAUGGAAACAAAUGAAAAACGAGGUUAAUUAGUUUAAUAUGAUUUCGAUGAAAAUAGGAUAAGAAAAGAGCAUUCGAGAGGAUACGAAAAAGAAUGUAUCACAUGAAAGUAUUUUGGUAGUUGACGAUGAAAUUAAGAAACCGUGAAUAGAAGGUUAUAAAGGUGUGUAGCAAAAUACGAAGUACAGUAUCCUUUGUAUUUAUUACUCGAUCACGGUCGAUCUCUCAUAUCAGCAUAAAUAUUGACUACAACCUAAAACGUAUAAUCUAACCUAAAAACUUUACUAAGGGUAAGUUGUCAAGAAACCUAUAGAACGUAUAAAAUGGUAUUAAGGAACGGAUAAGUUAAUUUUUUUUCUUUUCUCUUCUGCGUCUAGAUCGGGGAAGAAGUUACGUUGUAAUUAUUUGUUCUUUGAAAAAUGGUUUAUAUAAUGUUUCUUUCACUGAAAAUGGAUUUGAAGAGGAGAUCAACUCUCAUUUCAGAAUUAUAAGAUUAACAGAUAAUGAGAAAAAAAAACUAAAUAUCGAUCAAAACCAAAAUCAUUUAAACAAGAAGCAAAAUAUUUCUAAGAGACAAGGAGAGUAUUAGAUGUACCGUUAAUCCAAUGCUUCGGAGGCUGAAAGUGAAAACCAGGUCUAUGGAGAUGAUUCACUGACUCGACUGAUUCAGAUUGCAAUUUUUCAUAAAUCUGAUGAAAUGCGUCUAUUCUUUUGAUGUUAUUAUUGCUUAAAUUGAUUAAUACAAGCAAUAACAACACAUAAACCAUAUUUGAAACACCCAUUGAUCUGUAAAAGACUCAAGAUCUGAUGAGUGGUGUUUGUUAUGUUCUUUUGGUUUCUUGGGCGUUCAGUAUUAACGUGAAGAAGGAGAGAAUGUGAUGAGUGCAAAUGUAGUUUGUUGUAUAAUGUUUAUAUAGAGGAGAAAUAGGAGGAACAAGAUAAUCGAAAAGUAGAUAAUUUUUCAGAUAAUGUUAAUCUGAUCUAGAGAGUUUUACUCUUACGUACUAUUAUUAGAGAAAUUAAUAAAUCUGGUUGAAUUUUGAUAGUUUGAUUAUUAUGUUUUAGUUGAUCCAAACAGAAUUUUUUUGUUUUGGUCGGCAGUUUAGUUCCUUAUAUCUAGGACUCUAUGUAAUUAUCAAAAAAUAUUAAGGUUUAGAAAGAAAAAAAAUUGUCCAUAAUUUAUUGACGUUUUAACUUAAGUGUUUAAUUGAAAUAUGUAUCAAUCCAUUAGGUUUUUAUAACUUCUUUGAUGAUCUGUUGCGCAAGUUAUAGCUUGUAUAUAUAUUUGAAGCAAAAAAAAUUCUAACAAAAUCUUAUUUACUAGGAUUGAAUAAUUUUUAUGAAAUGUUUUUAUAGUAUCUUUUAAAAAAUGUAACGUGGUUAUAUAUAAUUCAGAUAAUUAUAAAUUACAUUUUUGUUACUAAUUAUUUCUAUUACAAAUAAUGCCCAAAUGAUAUCAACUGAUAUAUGGAAUCAUUUUUACUGGACAAAAUAUUAUCCUUCUUUAAUUUUUUUUCUUAGACAAUCAAAUUAUAUAAUUAUCGUUUCUGCAUGGUAAUUAUCUUUUCGAAUGAAAUAUGGAUAUAGUUAUUGACCUCACAACUUGGAGAUAAUUAUCCACCGUGUAACUAAACUGGUUAUAUAGUGCACCAAAAGGUAUAAUCUACUACCCAUUCAAGGUCUAAUGCCUCAUUUUAGUUCGAUUUUGAUAUGGUGGUUUUAUAUUACUCAAAUUUACUAUAAUCUAUCUCAACAAAACUAAUGCUUCAUAUCCUUUUCAAAAGUUAUAUAAAAUCAUAAAAUAUUGUCGGUUACAAGAAAAUAUUUAAUUAUAGAUAAGGUCUAAUCAUAUUUCAGUUUUCAACUGUUCACUAUUUUAUCUUGCGUAAUUAAAUCAUCAUAGUAAAUAAAUAAGUAUAUAGAACGGUUCUCAUGUUUCCAAUAUAUAUAUAUAAUCAUCGAUUUAAUCAAGAAAUGAUUCAACCGGGAGAACAUACAGAGACAAUGCGCGAGACAUAACGGAUCUUCAUGUUAAUAUGUCCGGUUCUAUCUGAGCAAUGUUUUUAAUCACAUCAUAACGCCAAAAAGUGAAGCAAAGAGUUUAAAUUUGAUAUUUUCAUCUAUGCACUUAGUUCCACGUACAUGUAAACCUAAUUUUCCGGUAUGCUUCAAAGUCCAAAUACUGUAUAUUGCUUUUUGCUCUAACAAUUCUGGUUUGCAAAAGAAAAACUAGUAAUGUGCGCUUCCACAAACUUUUUUUGAUGAUUCCAUAGCUAUAAUUGUGAAACAUCACUUACAACUAGCUACAACACUUUGCUUGCAUCUUUUUUUGUGUAUAUGAACCUGCAGAGACUUAUCACCAUACUUAACUAAUUGUUUCCAUACAUAAAUUUGGUUUAAAAAAACAAAGAAUGAGAAUAAAGUCGUCAAAGAAAAAUUCCACUAUUAUUGAUGAGAUUCUCAUCACUUUCUAGAAUGAGUGACCUAAUACCAAAAGAAAAACCACAUUUGACAUUACCAGUAUCAUAAAAUGUAUACAGACGAGUGAGAUUGUAUUUAACAUCCCAAGUGAACAGUUGCUGAGUUGUAAAGCUUUGGAAAAAUGAGCACGAACAAAAAGAUGUUCAUCAUUGUUCUUUAAAAUGGUAAAAGAGGAUUCCAUGAGAAUUGCUCAUGCUCAAGGGUUUUAGAUAUCCUCAUGGGAAGUGAGAAAGAUGAAUCUUCUGAGUGGCACUGUCACUACGAUUUCACAAAUGCUACUUGAACAUCCCACUUAAAUUGAUCAUUGUUGGGUUUUGAAAGCAUCUUCAUGGUUGAGUCAUAUAUAGAAAGUGAUCAAGUGGUACAUGCAUGCACAGCACACACAGCAUGAGCAAAAAGAUUUGCAUUACAUGAUAUUUUAGAACAAACCCUCUCUGAAACCAGAAAAUCAUACAUUACAAUGGUGACUAUUUCAAUGUAAGUGAAAUAAGUGUAAUCCCAAGGGGUUAUUUUCAACUCUUCGAACCUAGAAAAUGCGUCAGAAGCAUCUGACUCUUCAUUGAUUGAUCUCACACUGUCACAAAUGUGUACAUAGAUAAUAGUAAUACAGACACAGACACAGACACUGGUUUGAGGUUUUCGAAAACAAAAUAGCAUGUUAUGGAACAGAGGUGGUUCCCUAGUUGACCUGUGAGAGAGGCGACCGUGUUAGCUGUUGUGGUUUUGAUUCCUUGGUCGCAAAGGAUUCAAAAGAGUUGUUUUCACGGAACUCUUCAACCAAUGUCUCAAUUGGCAUGGCUCGUAGUGAUUCAAUGGUGGCUUUGGUUGGGACCUCUGGUUCACUCUUCAUUGGAGUAGUCCCUGUUGGCUCAUAUUCCUGUGGUUCACCAAAAGAUAGCUUGGGGUUAAUAUUCUUCUAAGAGUGAAAAAAGUAUGUCAUUUCUUAUGCUGUGAGGUACAACUUACCAUGUAUUUUUGUUGGAAAGUUUCUUGAGCUUUAUCCUCAAUGCAUCUGGCUUGGCAACACUGAUCCUGUUGGAAACUUUCAAGAGUUUUUUCAUGCGACCUGACGUUUUCCAAUAUUUGUGAUACAGACGCUUUUUCGUCGUCUGACAUGCCUGAAAGAUUACAAAAAAUAUCUUCAGUUCAUGAUUGGGAGAAAUGAUUAUCAUGCCAAGAAACUUUCUUAGGCAUAAGUAGAUGCUCUUAUUCAAAUGGACAAAAGAAACAGUCAUGGGAAUGAAAGAAAGCUCACGGUCAAUCUGCUGAAUAAUCUCAUCGCUUUUCUUUAUUACAUCUUUUUCAGCCGCAGUCCUUGCAGAAUCUACUUCCCCAUCGUGCUGCUCGUUAUUAUUACAAGCAGACCUAAACCAAACAAUUACAAUGAAGUUUAUGUAUGGUAGCAUAACAUGGUUCACCCACAAAAUUAAAUGUAGCCAGCAUAAAAAAAGAAUUUAUGAAUGUAGAUGAAAUGCAUUUCGACAGGGGAUGAAGAGAUCAAAAUUUCAGAUAUGUAUUUUCAAAACUUAAACCAAUUACCUAACAAGUGAAGAGACAUCUGCAACUUGCUUACUGUUCAUCUCCUUUAGAGAUUCAUGAGUUGUCUUGUAGUGUUUGAAAGCUGAUUCCGCAUGACCCACACUAACGCAUAGGAACAUACAGAGGUUAAAUUGCAUAACUGAAAAAUUGUAAGUCAAAAGGAAUUGCAAAAAAAUAGUAAGAAACUUACGAUUGCUGCAGUAGUAACUCCAUUCGACAAUGUUUUGCAGCCGAGAAAUCAGCACCUUCUCUGGCUUCAUUCUCAGCUUGCAUAGAGAAUGUCUCCCACUUUCUUUUCGCAUCGUUAGCUAGAUUAUUAACAGCAGAGACGUGUUCAUCCAUGAAAGUUUUGUUGGAAGAGACGGCAUCUUUAAAGUUGUGGAGUCUUGAAUCCACCUGCCAGGCAAAACAAUACAAUUUUAAGUAACAUACAGUGGAAGAGAGAAAGAAAAAAAAUAAGAAACAAACCAAUUCAUGUUGGCGGCGAAUGUGACUUGAGACUAGGUUAGUUAAAUCCGCUAUAAGUUUCUCUGUAUCAGAUUUUGACUGAGCCUGCACCACAUAUAUAUCAGUUAUAGAUGGGAUCAAGCAAAGAUGUUUGGCGUGAAACUUAAAAAGAUGUCGAAUCAAGACCUCGUAAGUCUUCUGAAAAUCAAUAAUGCUGUUUAUUUGACUAUCAUUUGCUUCUGCAGCACGACUCUCAGCAUUUUUAGACUCUGUCAAAAGCUUCUGAAAGAACGUAGUUGUGUAUUCAAACAUCUCCUGUGUUUGCUCCAUUGUUGUGUGGAACCUCUGCAUAUAAGGAACAAAUGAGAAAACAAUCAGAAAACAACUCUUGUAAAUCAUGAAGGCCAAUAUAUAAAUUAGCUACGAAAUGUUAAAUUUCAGUGCACUGACCUGUCUCAGUUCCCUUGCAAAAAGAGCCAUUUCUCCCUGAUGGGACGAGAGAGCACUCUGAAGUUCAUCAAAUAAUGAUGAUGUUGUCGCAUCUCCUGAAGCAAGAAACUGAAAAUCGACGAGAUAACUACUUUAAAGAACAUACCAAAAGUUUCUAAAAGAAAAGGAAAUAAGUUAAAGGUGUACCUCAUCAAUGGAACAUGCACUUGAAGUCGUCAAUGCUGAGACUUCCUCAAGACAAGCAUUCGAGUUUGCCUUGUGCAACCGAACUACAUUUUGCACUUCCUCCAAAUGAGAGUUGUAUAAAUCUUUUGAAGCUCUAACCUUCUUUUUCAUUUCUAGAAUGGCCUAGACAAACAUAUUUGCACAUAGUGUUACUAGGUUAGACGACUGUUAGAUUAUUACAAAUAAUAGUUUGGACAAGAUAACUCAUCAUUAUUAUAAAACCAAUUUGAUACCUUGUUGUGGGCCUCUAAGCGAGACUGGGACAGUUUGUUAACACCCUGAAGGUGUGCAUUUUGCUGGGACAAACAAGAAGCAACCCUAUUGAACAAAUUUCCAAUUUGUUCAGAGAGUUCUGUUUGAUAAUUGUCGACCACUUUCCUAUUAUCCGCACUGAGCUUGUCCUCUCUUCCUGCAAAGCAGCAAAUCAAGAUCGCAUACAAUUAUAAAAUUGCUAUUGAAAAGACAGCCAAAAUAGUAUAUACACGUACCAAUUUUCUGGUGUAAUGAAGCAUUGUCUUUAGUAGCUUUCUCUAAGUUGGAUUGCAAAAUGCAAGCUUGUUGAACCAGUACAUUUUCUGGCAAAAUGCGACAUGUUAGAAGAUUUUUCAAGCAUUUGAUAUGAGUAAUGUUAAAGAAAAAAUACCAGCUUUUUUCUGCUCUGAAAUGAUGAAAUCUUUCUCUUUCAUGGAAUAUUGAGAUUUCUUCAAUUCCUCGUUUGUGGAAGCAAGCACUUUGCAUGUUUGGCUCAAGUUUUUCUAGAUAUUACAAUUGAAGCCUCAGAGCAUAUUGAUAUAGUUAUAUAGCACAAAAGUCCAUCCAAACAAAGUAACAAAUACCUCGGUGGUAUCAAGUUUGCUAGUCAGAUCAGAGCACUCCCGUACUUGACUGGUAUACUUAUCUUGCAACUCCUCAAGUUUCUGAUCACAAAAAUAUGUAAAUUACUAAGUUCACAUGUUCUGACACUAACGUUAAAAGAAAUUAUUGACAGGAGUAAGCCAAGACGAACUUUUUGAUAAUUUUCUAUCUGACCACCCAUCUGUUCAAUCUGUUCAGACAUUGCCUACAAAAUAGAGCAAAAUGUAUUAUAUUAGUAGAAAACUAAGGAGGUAAAGAGGUUACCGAGUCUUCUAAGGUCAAAUGAUCAUUUUGGGUAUAUGUUUCUUCAACUAAUGAAAUAUGAUCAGAGAAACAAGUGUGUGCACAAACUCAAUACCUUUUUCUCACUCUCCUCUUGAUAGUAUCUCUCUUUUGGCAUAUAAACACCAUUUUUCUCACGGGAAGCAUAUACCUCUAAAUAAACAAGCAAAGAAAAAAUAUGAGUUAAGAACAGGCAGGGAAGUCAGAGCAGAAGCCUAUUUGUAGCAAGUAAAUUUGUUAAGCUAAGUUUAAGUACUCCAUCAAUCAGCCCUCCACAAUUAUUCUAUCCACAGCUAUAGUGAGAAUGCCACUUACCCGCCUUAAGUCGUUCUAUUUCACCAUAAAGGUCCUUUAUCAAAGUAGAUUUCAUCAUUUUCUGGUUAACCUGCGAAAAAAGAAAUGUACAAGAGUACGCAAAUGAAUUCCAACUUUUCAAUGGUUGGCCUGAAUGGGAACAAGAAAAAACGAAAUUGAGGCAUGAAAUUUAUGAAUGAAAAAAUAAACAAAAUUACAAGAUUAAUACCUCUGGUUUGUUUCUAAUAUUCUUAGCUCUGUGUGCAUAAUCUAGAGUACUUAAAGUCUCCUCCAGACAAUGAACGGCAGGUGAAACUGUUGCUAUGAUACAUGUCUUUGUUCUCCCACCAAGUGAAUCACGUAGCAAACGGGUGAGCUUACUAUCCCUAAAUUUCAUUGCAGUAACCAAUUAUAGGAUUUAGCAUAACUUGAAACACUGCUGUGUGAUUACUAACGUAAAGUAAAGAACACCGGAACAAAAUAGAAAUUAAACCUGUAAGGAACAUGUCCAAGAUGUUCAACCAAAGCACUGAUCACUCGCCCUAAUGUAAGAAGACUUUUGUUUAUUUCACCAGCUUCUCGAGCCCGGCCCUAUAUGGAGAAAUAUUAUUGAUUACAUCUGACAUGACCAGACAUGAAAUCUAGAAAAUGAGAAGAAAGACACUCCAAACUUGGUUGAACAGUGAGAAACUACUUACUUCCCUGGCACCAGAACGUGAUAUAUUUUCUGAUCCUGCCAAGUCAACCAAGUUCAGCUUGCCACACUUGAUUAGUUCUUCACCUUCUGGAGUAGCUUCUUUAAUAUGUAUUGUUAUUGAAAAGAGAGAAUGUGACCGACUGCAAGUGAAGGAUUUUAUCAUGUAGCUGACAUCUUGACACUAAUGAGAAAAGAACAGAAGCAUCAGAUGCAUUACCUAGAUUGUUUAUUCAAGAAUGUUUCUGCAGUCCGCCGUUUAGAAGAACCUCUCUCAAGCAAAGUAAAGAUUUCAUUGGCACUUGUGACAAUUUCCUCUUCCAAUCCUCUAACAAGAACACCACCUUUGCCGUCUUCCAUUAGAGGUAACGGCUUCUUUUGUUUAUCUUCAGAAGCAACUUUAGAUAGAUCUUCAGGAGCAAGCAAAUCGGUAAUUUCUUCAUUGUAGAGUUCUAAAAACGUGACUUUAACACUGUACUCAGCUUGCUGACCCUCAAGCGUAUCAAAAAUUUGUUUUACAGCUCUAGGUAUAACGCCUGCUUCUGCAGGAAGACCUCCACUAGGUGCGCUCUGUCCCAAAUAAAGGUAAGUACCUUAGAUAUGGAACGUCACCAUCAAACCUUAGAAAGCAAACGCAAGCAACAAAAUACAAACCUUUGACCUUCUACAUUCUCCUUCCAUUGUAUAUGUUUUCCCUGUACCAGUCUGGCCAUAUGCAAAUAUUGUGCAAUUAAAACCUUCAAGCACUUCAUUCACGAUUGGAAUAACGGCCUGAUCGUACAAAUCCUUCUGUUGUGCUGCUGGUCCAAAAACCUGUGUGGUUGGUAUAAAGUAAUAGUCAGUUAACAAGCUUUUGAAGUUACUUGGAAAAUCACCCGUGUACUGAAAAAUAUACAAAUUUGAGCAGACGCAACAAUUUUUUACCUUGUCAAAAGUGAAAACCCUAUCAAUGUGCUUCCCAGCGAUGUUUUGGGAAACAGCAACUUCUCUUUGCAAAUCAUUACAAGUGAGAACCUGAGGAGCAUUGUUCCUCAAUUCAUCAUCACUAAAUGGCCUGCAAAAAAUGAAACGAAACACACAGAAGUCAGCAAAAUAAAAUCAAUUUGAACACAGUAGCGAAACCAAAACCUAAAUCAAUUUGAACAUAGAACUUUACACUAAAUCAAAAAAUGGGGAUAAGACCCAAAAUUGAACACAAUUUGAGAAUUGAUUCGACGGUGGUACCUGCAUCUAAGGAGAACUUGAACAUUAACGCCUUUCUCCUUGUCGUGGCGGCUAGACAUCUUGAAGCGACGAACGGACGGCGAAUCCAGAGAGACUGAUUUUCAAAAACCCAAUUACCUGCUUCUUCUCAGCAAGAUCCGAAAUGGUUUCGCUAUUUGAAGUUCUCUCUCACUCACCGGCGACGGAAUCUGAGAGAGCGGGGGGUGGAUGUGAGAUUUGAAAAUUGAAAUAAUUUGAAGAGCCGCUCCUCUUUUCUCACUUUUGAAUUUUAACGCUUCUUCGUAUAACUUUACCAUAUUGCCCCUUCACUUCCACAUGCCGACGACUGACGUGUGCUAAUGUCCAUAUUUUAUGUAUCGGCCCAUUAAGGCCCAACUGACCCGCCUUAAGAUAAAUUUGCACCCUAUCUUUUUCCCCUAUAAAGAUUUGAAUGUGAGAAGCAUAUAGCAAAGUUUAACAUCUUUGUGGUGGAAAACAUAGAAAUAGAAGCAAAGAUAUGAUAUCAUGUUUUGUACGUGUAUACAGAUAUGACAGAUUUUUAAACUUGGAACUGUGCCGAAUGUACAAAUUAUCCUUGAAAGCCUUGUACAAUACACGGUUCGAGACAAGCUCUGACUCAACUCAGCAUUCACCAACAUGUCUUCACACAAACAUUCAUACAUGCAUGUUCCAAGCAUUAUAAACAAAAAACGACGAAACAUUAAGGUCAGAUGGAAAGCUAUAGGAAAUACAAAUCAUAAUUAAUUAUGGGGAAAAUUACAAAUUCCACACCACGCAACAAAGGGGUGUUCAAUGUCUUCAUCACAUAUUUCCACAACCAAUCAUUCAAAUCCUACGUAUACAUAAUUCCCCUAAAAAAAGACCUAGAAAACGUUUUAAGAAGAAAAAAAAUAAUAAUAAUAAUAGUUAUAAAGAAGAAGACGAGAUUAAGUUAUAGAAACUCCUCGACAAAAUCGCCGAAAUCAAAGUUUCCGUUACAAGACUCGAUGGCGUUGACGACGUCUUGGAAAACGGAUACGCUGCAAGGGACGACCAACAUAACCUUCUGCUCGAAACAGAGGAACUCGUCGUGAGACUUGUCUAGUAGCAUCCUAAACAGAGGAUGAUUCAAGUAGCUUGUCGGAACCACGCGCCUCACGCGCUCUUCCCCUACGUACACCGCGAACGUCCCCGUUGGCGUCUUCGUAGCCAUCAUCGCCGCCUCAUCCCCCUCGCUCAUCAGAAGAGACUCGUUCUGUGUUGACUCUGAGCCGCCACUGUCUCCUCCGCUUCUCGUCGUCGUCGUGUUGAUGCUCUUCACUUUCUUGGCUAAGUUCUUGAACGAAGCUAUUCUUUUCCCUAGCAUUUUUUUGUUUUUUAUUCUUUGUAUUUAUAGUUUGUUUUUUUUCUUACUUCUCUGAAAGCUCUCAAGAUAUAAAUGUAGAUGAAUUUAGAUUGUGGAGAUGAAGAAAUAAGAAGACGAAGAUGGUUGGUGUUCUAUAUAUAUACCAAGAUGAGAUGUCUAAUACCAAUGAAAAGAGAACUAGCGAGCUUUUGACUUUAUUUUAUUUUUUGGUUUUCGUAAAUAUUUUUGGUCUGUGUUGACUUCGAAUAGUGGGAUGCAUUUCUUGGCGGAUGGAAGUGCAUUUAUAAAAAAAUGAAUAAUAAGUAAUCAAAAUGCAUAUAUCUCGUCGCAAAUCAUGGUUACGUGAUAUGUGUCUUUUGAGACCAAAAUAUAUAUAUUUUUACCUUCCUUACGCAAGCGAUAGGUUAUCAACUUAUCACGGAGGUUCGUACGUAUUCGUAUAUACGGUCUGUGACAUUGAAUAUAAUAUACGAGUUGAUGUCAUUCUCUUGAUCCAGGAUUAUACGAUCUACAUGGCCCUUUAAGUAACGAGAGAUGAUUGCUUGUUUUACAAAACAAACUAAUAAUUGUACAUAUUUUAAUGAUUUUUCUGAUGACUGAAUGAAUAUUCCAAGUUCACAUAAGGAGUUGGUGAUUAUCCAAUGCCUUAUCGGAUAUGUAUACAUGAUUACCAUAUGACAAAUUUUAUUAAAUUGUUGGAGGAUAAAACAAAACAAAAAAAGGUAUGGCAUACUUUAAGCAACAAGUGUUUUGAUAUACUGUAAGCUGAAGUAUUUUAAAAUGAUGUUUCUUCCAUAUAUAUGAUGUUUGAUAUAAAUCAAGUAAUUUUAAAGUGAUGUUUGUUACAAAUGUGCAUGUGCAUCUAACCAUGUACAUAUAUAGGUUUAGUAGUAGGUAAGAUGUCAUAGGUAACGUCGUAGUUUAGUGUAUAAAAUAUAACAAUAUCAUAAUGUGUGAGUUGGAGUCACUAAUUGCAUGUUGACAUAUAUGCAUGAAUUUGGUAAUUUAACUUUAAAAUAUAGUAUCAUUUAUAAAUCGGAAAUCAUUCAUAUGUGUUAGUUUGAGUAGUUAUAAAAGGAUAACAAAUUGUUUUAUAGUCCAUAUUUAAGUAUUUACUUGUGUUUGUUAAUGACAAAUUGGAAUUUUAAGAUAUACCAAUGAUUCAAUUUUGACGAUUAAAUUUGUUCUUCAGCAUUAAAACUACGGAAUAUAAACUUCACAAGAAAUUAUAUCUAUCAAAAUCAAAAACCAAAGUGGCAGCUGUCAAAUCAAAAAUCAAGAAAUUAGUUUUUUUUUUCUUUUCAUUUAGUUAUAAUUUCAUAGACUAUGACUGGACGUUUUCACAAAAUAUAAUAAUUUUUAUAAGAGGAAAAUUAUGCUAUACAAUCUAAACAAAAUUAUUUGUGCUAUACGUGUCAUAUAUAUAUAUAUAUGUAAAUUAAAUCAUAAACAUCUAUGAUUAUAUAUUUGACUAAGAAACUAUAUAUAUGAUAAUUGUAUAUUUGAAGAAAAGAAUGAUUCUCUAGCCGGCUCUCUUGGCCGACUCCUAUACAACGAGAGCCGAUUGCAACUUCUAGUUGUUACCAUUAUCUAUUUAUGUAUAUAUUUUAAUUAGCUGUUCUCGUUAUCCUAGUUUUUUUUUAUUUAAAAUCAUCUUAAUUAAUAACUUUCUGUUGACCUUAAUGGCAUGAAGAAGAAAACAAAAGUGUAUCAAAUUUUAUAUCCACUUUUUAAAACGGUUGAUUCAAUUGUUAUUAUAAUUUUCUGUUUGGUAUAUGAUUAUUGGCCAGUUUAAUGAUUGGAUUGGAAAUGCUCAACACCAACCUCAUAGCUAGGCGUAGGUCGAGAACAUCUAGCAAAGUCGGUACGUGAUUUUUUUAUAAAGAUGAACUCAUUUGAUUUGUUUUGUCUUAUACAUAUCCGGAUUCAAUAUUUGUUUUAUUACUUACAUAAAAGAAGAAAGAAAGAAUAAAACAUUACAAUUAUUUGUAUUUUUCUAUUUUAAAUUGUUCCGUUUAAAAUGAUUUAUGAAAAGAAAACUUGUUUCUUUUCCCAUUUUAUUGAAACAAUAUGAUUUUAAUUUAGAAUUUUUUGAAGUAUGAAUCGAAUUCGAAAAGGAAGCAAGUGUAUGAGUCUGAGGUGAACUUCUUUCCAAUGACCUAUUUUUCAAUGCACCAUUUAUUAUAUAUGGGUGGAAAAACAAUAAAUGUUACGAAUUUACCUGCCAAACGAUGAACACUCACCCAACAAAGCUUAUCGUCAGUCCACAACUCGGUAACACAAGCUAUCCGAAGAUUUUCCGACGUUAUAUUUUUAUGGUUUCAUACCAUUUGAAUGUACAAAACAUUAAUUUCCUACCUUUUUGGUUUAUUUAACAAGUCUUGCAUUACAUUUUUUUUUAAAAUGUCAAAGGAAAAAUAAAGGGAGCAAGCUGCUACCUUUCCAGGAGCAACUCCUUGGAACAUCAUUAAUGCAAGUAUCUUAGGCUUAAGAAUUACACAUGAAAAUACCUUAUAUAAUAUACUCUCAUGUGUAAUUCUUAAGUCUAAAAUACUUGGGUUGAGGAUGACCUUAGCCAACAACGUUUCUUUUAGGUUGCAUGGAAUUAGAAAAAGGUACGUGGUACGUGGAAGUGUUUCGAAGCAUGAAAACAAUUUUUAGAAUUUCUUUUUUUUAAGUGUAUAUAUAUGUUAGAAAUGUGUUUAUUUUAUAAAAAUCUAAUUAUUUGUCUGCAUUUACUAGUUAAAGUAUUAUAUUUUAUGUACAUUUGAAAUGAAAUCAUAUUUUAAGUUGUUUAUAAAACGCCAUUUGAUAUUAUUUGUAUGCGAUAAAUGCAAAUUCAUAUUUGUAUAUCCUAUAAUGGACUAGCCCACUAGCUCCAUUCUUGGUAUCAAACAAGUGGUACGGGAUUGCAUGAACCCCCCUCGACUAAAACUCCCCAUAUAUACAGAUUUGCAGGGUCGGCUUGAUCAAUGGCUAAACACACAAGAGCCACAUCAUAGUUUCUUCAUUAUACAAUCAAUAUAAACGACAGUUUUUCUUUUUUCCUAUCAUGUAAAUGACUUUCUAGUUGAGAAAUAUAUCAUUCAAUUUUUAAAAAGCUUAAGAUCAACAUACAAACAUAUCAAAAAGCAAUUAAGGCUUUACUUUGUACACCAUAUGCAUGCUAUUAUGCUAAUUAUUCAGUUUUUGCUAAAUAGCCUCUGUCAUAAAUCUUUAGUUGUAGUGGAAAAUAAGUAGGAGAUGCAAGUAAGAAAACGAUUGUUUGGAGCUGGAAAAUUAAACUCGCGAGACAAGUGGAAGAAUCAUUGGAGCAUAUUGGGACGACACAAUACUUUUGACUUUGCACAAAGUCAAAGGUUUACAGCUUUUCAUAAUUCUUCUAGUAGGCCCUCAUUGAACUCAAGUGAUCUACUUAACAAUCUGUGGACUAUACUGUUUUCCUUUACGUGAAUCGAAUUUUUGAUUACAUUCCAAUAUGUAUUGGCUAUGCUAGCUAGUUGCCUAGUUCUAUGACUAUGACUCUUAUCUCUCCAGUUCCUUUAUGUUUGGGUUUAGCUUAUGAAUCUCUCUAGGUUCGCCUCUUUUCUUUGAAAAUGUCCCAGCCUCUUAUAUAGGAGUAGCAUAUAGGAGUAGCUAGGAGUUAUUAUGUUUUUGUCUUCAUAUAUGACUUAUCGAUUAAUGUAGAGUUUGAAUUAUAAACUCGGUCUGAAAAAUUCAAUUAUAGAACAAAUGUGUAUCGGUUUGGAAUUACUAGACUAUAUAUGACGUACAAAUGUGUAUAGGAAUUAGAUAAAUGAGUUGAUACGGUAUAUAUAUAGAACAAAUGUGUAUCGGUUUUUACAUUUCGUUUAUCUUUCGAUAUAAGUUUUCUGACUUAUGAGAAUACACUGAGACUAUAUCUUUUGUAGUGUAAAAGUUAUCGGUGUUUGGAGUCUUUGGGCCAAAUGUCAUUUCACGUGGACAAUCGAUGGAUGCUUGAGUUAGAGUCAAAGGUAAACUAUAGAGUCGUUGUAAUUAUGGUUGGUACUCACAUGCACAAGCACAAUCAUGACUUUGCUUAUAUAGGUAUAUUCUCUUUGAUUUAAAUGUCUUCAAAAUUUACUGUAAAGAACAAUGACUUUUCAUCAGGUAAAAAGCAGAUAGUAAUGAGUGGAGGAAUUUGUCAAUGUAUUAGCGUUGGAUCAUUCAUAUAUAUUAUUUUGUAUGUAUGAUUUCUAAUACACAUUUUGGAUAUGGUAAGUUUAUGCGGACCAAAUGUUACAUUUGUUAUUUUGUUAUUUUUCUUUCAAUCUACUGAAAUUUUAGACCAUGUGAGGAAUCACCUCUAAUUAAAAACCAAUUGAGAUUCAUAUAUUUUAUACAUUAGUAUUACUAUUAACCAUAUGGAAUUUCUUAAAAGAUGCAACAAUCUUGACUACGGUAUAUAUAUGCAUGAUAUUGAAGAUAUGCUAUUUCGUUUUUGAAUGCAUCCUAUAUAGCUUAAAGAUAAGUAUAUAUACCACCAUUCUAUGAUAUAUUUUUCGUUUAAUUUUACAUAAGUUUUGAGUGUUUGUAUAAACUAGUCGGUGGACUUCCGAAGCCACAUGUUCUUGAUUUUCAAUACAUUCACUUCAUGAUCCAAAGAGGCGGGCAUGCAUCAGCUUUUGCAUACACCAGAAUCACCCGCUGUAUCGAGGACAGGGUCUGCAUCUGUCCUUAGCUUGUGAAGCACAUCGAGUAAUUGGAAGAACAUUAUGUGCCGCAUUGCGGUGUUGCUUGGUCAGAGAGAACGGCUGUGUAUUCCAUUAAUCGAAACACAUUCUCCCAUGCUUUGAGUAUACUGGUGGCUAAAUUCAUGAGUAUGUGUGGUUCAGCCAUCAGACUUAAGGUGUGGAAAGCAAUAAGCCUCAAGGUAUUCAACUUUCCAAGUUCCAACUAUCUGAUGUCGACGUCAUCUACUAAAUUAUAUAAUGUGCAUGCAAAUAUAUGUUAUUUUGUUGUAAUCGCUUGAUAAAUCCAUCACAUUAUCUCCAGCUCAAUUCAUAUCUUUAUAGGCCCAGCCCAACAUAUUUCGAAGCUCAAUUACAAAAAAUAUUGGCCUGGUUGAACGUUUUCUAAACACAAUUUGGACUUUUCAUUAGCCAAUAUUUUGAGUGCUAUAACAUUAUUCACUUUACUGACAACUGACUUUUUUACUGUUUUUUAACACAAAGACACGAAACACGUAGACGAAGGAAAUCAGAUUCGUUAUAAGUUUCGGAAAAAUAGUUCAUUGUGAGGAGGAACUGAAUUAGUCAAAUAUGUCAUUCGUGACGACGACCACAACUAGAUAAGCAUUAGACAUUUUACCUUCUAGAAACUGAGGAGUGUGGUCCGUCUCGAGAUAGCUCAACUGUGACUAAAACAUUACGAUAGUAACUAGAACAUUCGAAAUAGUACUUUUCUUCUUUCUAUGUUUGUAAGAGCCUAGGACAAACAUAUUUGAUAUAAUAAUUAUAAAAAAAAACCUCUAUCGAGCUGGUUUUAAAAUUUAAUCGAUAAUAAGGCAUAGCGAUCUUCUAGAAGAAACACAUACUCUCGUUAGAAAGGAUCGAGUUCAUACUCGUUAUAUUAUUUUAUUCUUAAUUAUUGAUGUUAUAUAUUAUAGUUUAGUCUAUUAAUUGGUUGGACAAUUUGACUGCAAACAAGUUUCAAAGCCUUUGACGAUCUUCUCUUUACACAUUCUCAUCACAGAUUACGUAAGAUUUUAGUCAAUGACUCAAAUCGAAUCAGCUCGAAAACCAUAUGUUAACCUAGCUAGUUCUGAAAAUAAAAAUCAAAUGUCCUUUUCUCAUAUGACAAAGAAAAAUGGACAAAAUAUAUAUAUAUAUAUCAGUAUGAAAUGUGAAGAUGUAAUAUUCAAGGUUAGUGGUUACUAUUUAGAUAAAUUUGUAAGUAGCUUAGAGAGUUCUGAAUAUUAUAAACUACCCCAAAAGGGUCUACAUGCAAAUAAACAGUUUUUUCUAGAUACUUUAGUUCUUUUAAAAUAUACGAAAGAUCAAAACACGAAUCCUCAAGACUUUGACCAGAACUUCGGAAAACAUGGAAUUAAAACUAAUAGAAAGCUAAACACGAGGACGGAAAGCUAUAAAAACAAUAUUGCAUAUCCCUGUAUGCUUUAGGAAAGGUACGUUUUAUCAAAGCAUAUUAAGUUAGUCUGUGUUCAUUCUGGCCUUUAUUUUAUGAUUUAUGUAUUUGAUCAAAUGAUGUGUGUAUGUGAUAUAAAAUAUUGAAAGUAACACAUUACUUCGUUGGUGGGUGCUUCUUUUUCUAAAUGCUGAUUCUAAAGAUGCAUACUUCGCCCAACGUUGAAGAAAUAACUUAAAGUUUAAAAUUCUUCUCAAUGCGUGUACUAUUUAAGCUAAUAAAAAAAGGUCAAAUUACUAAGAUUAAAAAUUGUCGAUAACAUCAUACAUACUGAACUGUAAGGACUAAGGAUAGUAAACUCAAAUUUACAGUCGACAAUUUUAAGAGAGAAACUUACUUAUUACUAUAUAUCAUUUCAUCAAAAAUAUAUAUAUAUAUACAUUAGCGGUAUAAGUGUUGCAAUACAACAAAUUAACGUUACAACAUUUUGUACAGCUAUUUUUUUUCCUUUUUUGUAUUUUAUACAGCCAAAUUUUACUACCUUAUUGCACCAUUUCUCUCUAUCACAACAAUGAUUUAUUGUGAUAUAUAUAUGUAGUUCAUGGUACAAUGUCACCAACGGAGAUCGAUACUUCCAACGGAAGAAGUAUUUAUUUAUUCAUAGGCUAAUAUUAAUAGAGGAAGAAGACAUGUCAGGAAGAAGUGUCAGAGUAAGUCGAAGUGUAUAGGACCCCUGAAGUAUGUGAUAUGUCGGAAUGCAGACAACAUGCUAAAAUGUUUCUAGUCGAUUGCAUCAACCAGUUUCUUUUCAGGUAUUAAUAUUAUAAUUAUCUUCGGCUCCCUGAAUCUGAUCUUGGUAGAAAACGAUAAUACACAAUUCUCUACUAGACAUGCAUAUGGGUAUGUGGUCUACAUGACUACAUGUUUUGUAUCCUUUUUUGGAAUUGUGUAAUGAAAUCCUAGUUAAGAAAAGAAUAUUGGGAUUCAAAUUGGUCAGAAUAUAACUAGAUUAAUAGCCUUUAAAUUUUGUAAAAUAUUGGAUAUAUAUUAAAUAUCUUUAACAUAUCUAAAAUUUAAAAGAAAUUAGGGUCUACCUUGAUUCACAAACUGGUUAUAACAAAUAUCUUUUUUUUUUCGUCCGAAGGAUAUAACAAAUAUCUUAACUGCAUAGUUUAAAGAAACAAGUUUCGUUACAAAUAAAAAUGUACAGUGACCUAAAAUAACUAUAUUCUGUAGAUUUUAUUAAACCUAUCAACCUACACUCACAUAAGCAUAUACUAUUAUAGUUUAUGCAUGUGUAAUAUUAUCAGUAUACCAAAAAGAAAGAGAUAAAUUGAUUUGUAUAAUAUAAUCUGUGAACCGUAAACAAAAUGUAAAUUAGCAUAGUUAGCCGACUCUUUGUGUCUUUUUGGUUUUUUACUUGCAAAAUCAUCGUCAAACCAUGUUAUUAAAAUUGUUGUUUUACAAAUGCGUACAAAUCUGUUUUCUGUAUCAUAUUAACGCAGGUCACUUCUUAUAUAUUAGUUAGGUUUCUACUUGUUAUAUUGACGUUGUCUUUCCGAAGUUUUGUACGUUUAUAUAUUAAUAUUGCACCUCAUAAUAAGGAAUUCAUUUAGAAGCUUCCAAGAAAUGAUUUUGGUGCCAUUCCAAUUUAUUAAAGACGACGAAAAAAUUAAUCAGAAGGAUACGUUAAAUCAUAUGAGUCAGCUAACUGGAUCCAACCCCUUAAAAAGGACGAAUCGGCCGCCAGAAAAAAAUUAGACGAAUCUUUUAUCAUGCUGGAUUAUUAAUGUAUACACACGUAUAUAUCACCAAAACUAAUUAUCAAUAGUACUAUAUAUAAACUUAAGAAAUUUUUUUAUAAUAUAAAGCGUUAGUUAGCAAUUUUUAGCAUAGUUUUAGCUGGUUUCUUUUUUUCUGUUUCAACUUGAAUCAAUUAAACUAAUAUCUUUGUGGGUAAUACUGAAUUUUAAAAAAAGACCUUAACCUUGUCAUUAAAAUAAAAUACCCCUUUUCUGGAAAAUAAUCUCUACAGAACAUUGUUUUUUCACGAUCUAAGCACUUAUAAAACAAUUCAAAUAUUACUAUAUAUAUCAAUCAUUUUAAAUACCCACUUUAAGUAGUAUAUCAUAUUUGGCUAUUUUCAAUUAAAUUUCUUUGCAUAUUUUUGUUUUUUAAAAAAUAAUAUAUUUGUGUAUUUUACGUCGACGCUUCUUCCUCCUCCUCCAGGUUUUUCGAGCAUAAGUCAUAAUCAAACAAUAAGAAGACAAAAAGAAAUACAAAAAAAAAAUCUGAAAAAAUAAAGAAGCUUUGGUCUUUGGUAAUAUAAAAAGCCCUACACGCAUCAAUCCUUUCUCUUCACCUUCAAAUAAUAAUAAUAUCUCAAAAGCUUUUUCACAUUAGCAUUUCUCUCUAUCUCUCGACAAGCUUUUCUCUAUGCACCAAGUCGAUUUAGAAGCCUUUGUUUCUUCGGUAUGCGUCGGUGGCUCCGACCACCGGAAGAUCACAUGUGAGACCCUCGCCGACGAACCGUCGAUCCCACCUUAUUACAGCAAUAAUUCCGCCGUGAGUCCGAAUGAUUUCCCGCCGGAAUCUUAUUACUUGUCAAAAGAUGCUGAUCAGCUGGAGUGGCUCAGCGACAACGCCUUCUUUGACCGCAAAGAUUCACAGAGAGGGAACUCAGGGAUACUCAGCUCAAAUCCACACUCGAACCCUAGCUCGAAACGGUUCUUACUGAAAUCCAAAGCGUCGCUCAUCGGUUUACCGAAACCGCAGACGACUUGUUUCAACGAGGUGAAGCAGCGGAGACACGGCGGCAAGAAUCGAGUCAUCUUGAGACGGGUCGGGUCAAGAACAAAGACGGAUACAUCGCUGCUCGAGCCUUCUUCUCCUAAGGUCUCUUGCAUCGGGACAGUGAGAUCCAGAAGACAUAGAAGCCGCCGCAUGCAGCGUCAGAAAUCGAGCCGGGUCGAACCGGCUAACAACCGGGUCAAGAAAUCCGGGUUUAUGGCGAGUUUCAGAGCCAUCUUCAGGAUCAAAGGCGGCUGCAAAGACACGUCGGCGCGUGGAUCACAAGGGGCGUCGAGUAGGAAACACGAUAUCAGGAACCGGCUCCCGGCGGAAGCUGCUGAGAAGGUUUCUUCUUCUUCUUCUUCUGGUGACGGCGGAGAACAGGUGGUACCCGGUUUAGGUGGGAUGACGCGUUUCGCUUCCGGAAGAAGAAGAGAGGAUUUGUUGGAUGGUGGAGGAUGUUGACGUGGCCGCGUGACAAGUGUGUGUGUGUGUUAAUACAUGUGGGGUCAAGUUAUAUAGUGUUUUUAAGUCCCCAGGGUGGGCAAAAAAAAAAGGAGAGUAGAAACAGUACUUUCGUUGUCUUUGUCUGAAAUUAUUGGUGGGAUCUGUUGUGUAGUUUUUGAAAAGUNNNNNNNNNNNNNNNNNNNNNNNNNNNNNNNNNNNNNNNNNNNNNNNNNNNNNNNNNNNNNNNNNNNNNNNNNNNNNNNNNNNNNNNNNNNNNNNNNNNNNNNNNNNNNNNNNNNNNNNNNNNNNNNNNNNNNNNNNNNNNNNNNNNNNNNNNNNNNNNNNNNNNNNNNNNNNNNNUUACAUCUUCUUGUAUAUGAGUGUUGUCAAACAAAAUGUAUUAGUAUUUUUAUUCUUUUUUGGUUGGGGAACGAGACAUUUCUGAGAAGAUGAUAAUUAGCGAUAAAGGUAGAUUGAAAAGAGAAACUCGUAUGGAAAAUAUUCAAGAUCUUUUAGGAUUUUUGACAAAUGUUCAGGCUGAAGAAUAAUGUUGCCAACAUUGAAGCUUAAAGGCAAGUGUUGAAAACAGGGAAGAAAUCAGUGGAGUGAGAGCUGCUUGUGAUGCCAUGCGACAACGUCUUUGUAUGGUAGAUUUCCCCCGAAUAUGUCUAAGGCACUUCCAACUGUUACAUCCACACGUCCCUUUCCUGCCUUCUUGAUCCUCUCUACAUCAUCCAUCACCGUCACACCUCCAGCAUAAGUUACCGGAAUCUGUCAAGGUCAAAACAAACUUCUGAGAUCAAGCUCAAAUGAACAAUUCUGCAAUCCAGCUUUCUCUACUAAUUAUAGUCCAUCAUCGUUCUUAGCCUGUCUCUAUGUCUCCAACGAAGCAUAACCAUAACAUCCAAUCCAAUUCCGGUUUUAUCAACAUCUAUUGCAUCACACGUUUGUAAAUUAAGUAGAGUUCUGUCAAAGUGUCAACUACUGUAAAUUUGUAAUAUUAAUUCUGAAGUCAUAUGCAAAAUAAAGCACCUUGAUAAGAAAGAGACAUUCUAGAGCCUCUAUGAUACUCGAUCAAGAAAAUACUAUGAUACUCACCGGAGAAUAGUUGCCAAGCAAUGCUACAAGCUCUUCAUCGAUCCCUAGCCUUGAAAGAAGAAGUAUUACCAUCACUGAUCAGUACAUACUGACAUAACACUGUAUUUUCAAUGUAAAGCAAAUUUACUCUAUGACACUGAAAUCACUGCGUUGAGAUAUUUAAGCUUACUUCUUUCCUUCAACGUCUACUCCAUGCACCAGAAACUCAUCUGCAAAUCCUCCAAGAAACUCCAAUGAUUUCUCAUCAAGGAUGACGUCGCUGAACUUCUGCCAUCUAUCAGUAACAAUUGCGUAUCUUCCAUCCUAGAUAGCAAACGCAUAUCCAAUUUAAGUUUACGGAUCUUUUACAUGACAUAAGACUUCAUAACAUUUAACUGAAGAUGAAGAUAUGAAACUGUUCUGAGAAUUACCUUCUUUCUGCAGCUAAGGUCCAAUAUCAGUCUUUGUUUCCCAACAAUGUUUACAAGAUCUUUGAGUCUUUCAAGGUCAAUCUUUCCAUUGUUAAAUACAUACUGAAAAUAUGAACAAAAACGUGAUUACGACUGGUAAAAUCCCUAUGAUAACACACUCAGCGAGCUAGAUGGCUAUACCGAAGUAACAAUGACAUGGCUUGCUCCCUCCUCUAUGUAACUCAAGCAAUUCUCUGAAUUGAUCCCACCUCCAACUUGUAAACCGCCUAGAAUUCAUCGUCUUGUAUCAUAUAUAACACAUCAAAACUUUACAUUUCAAUUCAAACAGUACAAACCAAACACCAUUUGACAUUCAUCAAAAGGCAUACCUGGAUAAGCAUGUAAUGCUCCAAUAGCUGCAGCUUGGCUUAAAGGGUCUGCUCCAAGCAUUAUCACAUGACCACCCGUAAGCUCAUCUUCUUUAUACAUCUUUGCAUACUCUUCUGCAGACUUAUCAGAUUCAAAAUUUGUAACAAGAACCGAACCAUCUUCCUUCAAGUCACUAAGUGUGGAUCCAACUAUUUGCUUCACUUUUCCCUAUCGAAAAUCAAAUCACACACACACACAGAUCAAUUAAAAGAGUUCACUUCAUUCAACACUACUGAGGAAUUUCAAAUCGGUGAAAAUCUGAUUCCAUACCUUGUGAAUGUCGAUACAAGGUCGGAACUGAACAGCAGAGAUAACCUGAACCCUCGAUGGUUUAGAGAUUCUUAGAUGAUUGUUGAACGGAGAGCUCUGAUUCUUCUUCUGGAACCAAGCGAGACCACCGCCAUUAAUGCAUAAUUGGGAGCUCAAAGUUCUCAUCUUUGGAACUGAAAAUGGAUUCCCAGAAGCAUUUCCUGGUUCUAAAUUUCUAGGGUUUAGAAAUUGGUUUAAAUAUCGGUUUAUUCCGGUUUGGGUGAUUCCAAACUCGAUAAAAGUUGGGAUUUUUUUUCCGAUUUGUUUGACAAAACAGAGAGUGAUGCGAUGGAACAAGAACAACGUUAUCAAUCUCGUCACCAAGUCCAAUCAUCUCCCGGCGCCGAUUAAACCGCCGUCGCCGGAGAUUUACCGAUUACCUAAUCCUCCAUCUAAAGUUCCGGAGACCUCAAUUCCACCGACGCUCACUCUUUCUCCAUCUCCCAAACACUCCAAUUUCGUCAAUUUCCUCGAAAACAAUCUCCCUCACCACCAAACACUGACUCCACAAACUCUCCUCGGGUUCCUCCGUUCGAAGCUCCGUCACCACUCUCUCUUCGCUCAUUAUGACUUCGCCGUAUUCAAUUGGGCAGCUACGCUCGACACGUUCCGCCACGAUCACGAUUCUUUCCUCUGGAUGUCGAGAUCACUCGCCGCCACACACCGGUUUGACGAUCUUUACCGUCUCCUCUCUUUCGUAGCGGCGAAUCCGUGUCCUUGUUCUUCAGGUAUCUUCUCUUGUCCACAGCUUGAACUUAUUUUCCGGUCCGCCAUUGAUGCGUACUGUAGAGCUGGGAAAAUGGAGUAUGCUUUGUCAGCGUUUGAUACUAUGAAGAGAUUGAUCGAUGGUAAACCAAAUAUUGAAGUUUAUAACACUGUUGUGAAUGGGUAUGUGAAAUGUGGAGAUAUGGACAAGGCUUUAAGGUUUUACCAGAGGAUGGGAAAGGAAAGGGCAAAGCCAGAUGUAUGCACAUUCAACAUUCUCAUCAAUGGCUACUGCAGGAAUUUUAAGUUUGAUUUGGCAUUGGAUUUGUUCAGGGAGAUGAAGGAGAGAGGUUGUGAACCGAAUGUGGUUAGUUUCAACACUCUGAUUAGAGGGUUUUUGAGCAGGGGUAAUAUCGAGGAAGGUAUCAAAAUGGCUUAUGAGAUGAUUGAGCUAGGUUGUAGAUUCUCGGAAGCCACUUGUGAGAUUCUGGUCGAUGGAUUGUGUAGAGAAGGACGGGUUAGUGAUGCUUGUGGAUUGGUGAUCGAUCUUUCGAACAAGAGGGUUUUACCGAAUGAGUUUGAUUAUGGUAGUCUAGUUGAGAAACUCUGCGGAGAAAACAAGGCGGAUAGAGCAAUGGAGAUGGUGGAGGAGCUGUGGAAGAAAGGCCAAAGUCCAUGUUUAAUAGCUUGUACUACACUUGUUGAAGGAUUGAGGAAAUCAGGAAGAACAGAGAAAGCAUCGGGGUUUAUGGAGAAGAUGAUGAAUGCAGGAGUCCUUCCCGAUAGUGUGACCUUUAACUUGCUUCUUCGGGAUCUCUGCAAUUCUGAUCAUUCGAUUGACGCAAACAGAUUGAGACUUUUGGCAUCAAGCAAAGGAUAUGAACCUGACGAGACAACAUACCAUGUUUUGGUUUCGGGAUUCACGAAAGAAGGGAGAAGAAAAGAAGGAGAAGUUCUAGUGAACGAGAUGUUGGAUAAAGAUAUGUUGCCUGAUAUCUUUACAUAUAAUAGAUUGAUGGAUAGCUUGUCUUGCGCCAGAAAAUUCUCAAGAAAGCAAGUCCGGCUGUUGUAACCUGUUUAUUGAUCUGUGUAAACUAGACCCAAGCUAUAUAUAUGGAAAAUUGUAAACAUGUUUCUGGUUCGUAUAUUCAAAUGCGCCGCCUAUUCAAGUGAGGGGUAGACAUUUCAUUCUUCUGCAGCCUCUGACAUGUCUUCACACUGUUUCUUUCUCUUAUCUUUUGUUAUUCUCAGGUCACAGUGUUUAGUGUUUACUGUUCACAUAAGGGUAAUAAUUGCAGACGUUGUCCAAAAAAAAAAAAAGAACAUCAAAUGAAUGAAAAAUGAAAACCAUGUUGAUAUAAUUUAUCUCACUUGAAAAGAUAACAAUUUUGUGCUAAAACUUUCAUAAUCAUGAUUCAUAUAAGUAUGUUUAUUUCUCUGACAAGUGACAUAACAUUUCUAAAACAACCUAUUCAAGAACCAGAGGCAGAUAGAGGGAGAGAGAGCAUAUACACACACCCACACAACUUGUGAUCAUACAUCAAAACAUCUUGCUGUAUCCGCGAGAGAAGGCAGUACAGUAACACAUGUCUGUUAUUGUUGAGGCGUGCAGGAUAGUGAUCAUACUCGGGGAUAACGAGAGCUGCCUUUCUUCUUCAAGAACUCUGGGAUUUCCACUGAACCACUUUCUCUAAAGGAGGAAGAGGGUCUUCUUGUAGCUCCAACUGACACAGCAUCCGCUUGUGCCAUCUGAGCCGCUCGUCCUUCUCCCUCUUCUUGUCGUUUGAAACCAGUAGCUAUAAGGGUUAUGCUUACCUUUUACCAAAAAAUCCAUCAAUUAUAUAUCUCUAGAGGUCAUAUAUUGAUAUAUAUGUUUAGUAGAAGACAAAUAAAUCAAAAGGACAUACUUGACCGGUGAGGGAUGGAUCUACAACAGCACCAAAUAUAAGAUUGGCAGUUGGAUCGACAAGGUCAUAUAUAACUUCCGCAGCAGCAUUUACCUACAAGGAUCAAAGUGUAUAGACCAUGUUAAGGGACAUGAGUCAAAAGCAGGCUUUUAUUCUAAGUUGUCUAUGGAAGGAAGAAACCAAAUAAUUUCACAUUGCGUCUCUCACUAUCACAUUAUUGAUAAUGAAUCUAUCUACACUGAGAUAAUAAAUAAAGAUAAAGAGAGAAAAACCUCAAACAAUGUCAAGUCACUUCCACCAGUAAUGUUCCAAACAAUUCCAGUGGCUCUCUCAAUGCCAAUAUCUAACAAAGGUGAUUGGAUCGCAUUUAGCGCAGCAUCUCUUGCCCGACUUUUUCCUGCAUGAUUAAAAGAAUUUGAUUAAUACAUCAUGACAUAGAUGCACAAUAGAUGAGUAACAGUGAAUAUAAGAUGGUCACUCUCAGUAUCCCCCUCAUUAGACUGGUUUCUUUGCCACACCAAAUCUACCAGCUCAUAAAUUCAGCUAGACUACUUCGACACAUAUCUAGUGACUAGUGGUUGUGGUUAUGCAAUUAUGCAACUAAAUGAGCUUAUCCAUCAUUCCAAGCUUACCCGUUGCAGUUCCUAUUCCCAUCAGUGAAGACCCCGCAUUCGCCAUUAUAGCUCUCACAUCAGCAAAAUCCACAUUCACCAAUCCAGGAAUCUACAAAGCAAAGACAAAGAUCUCUGAUAAACCAUACACCAUACAUAAAAAAUGAUCACAGGGAGUCCUUGAAAAAGCUAUACCGUAAUUAUAUCAGAUAUCCCACGAACCCCCUGACGGAGUAUAUCAUCAGCUAGAUUAAACGCUUCUGUUACCGGAGUAGACUGAGAGACAGCUGUAAGUAACUUGUCAUUUGGAAUGACGAUGAGAGUGUCAACAUUAUCUCUGAGAGAUGCAAGCCCUUCUUGAGCCUGAACCGUUCUUCUUCGGCCCUCAAACGAGAAAGGCGUUGUUGCAAUACCAACCGUCAAUAUACCCAUCGCCUUGGCAAUUCCUGCAAUUACAGGGGCUGCACCAGUGCCAGUUCCACCACCCAUUCCAGCCUAUAAAAGGACGCAGACAUGCAAGCAGCAAUGCUCAGACAGUGUCAUUGACCUUACAAUUACUUGCUAGAGGCAGUAGAUUUACAGAAAGAAUCCAUGGUGGGUAUUUUAUUGGGUAAACCUUCUAUUGUUUGACACAUAUACAAACCUCACUGUUAUAGACAUAUGAAAACAAAAAGUAAGUGACUGAGACAUGACACAGACAUGACACAUAUAGAAGAAUGAAUGCAGUAGUAAUGACAAAGUUUUGAGGACAUACUGUGACAAAGACCAUAUCUGAGCCAUAAAGAGCUUCUUCAAUAACUUCUUUACUCUCUCUAGCAGCAUUCAUACCAAUCUCUGGAUUUCCUCCAGCACCUAAACCCCUUGUCAACUCCUUACCAAUUUGUAACCUAUUAUCUGGUAAAACAGGAGACAUCCUCAUAGCCUGAAUAUCUGUAUUCACAAUCCAGAACUCAACACCUGACAUUUCACUCUCUAUCAUACGAUUCACAGCAUUUGAUCCACCACCUCCCACACCGAUAACUUUAAUCCUGGCCUCAUUGUAAUUAGUCGGAGCAGAUGGCUCUUCAAAAUCCUCGGUAACAGGUCCAGCAGACGUUUCCUUUCUCGGAUUGGCUAUUGUAUUAACCCCUUCACCUCUAAGCAUGGAUAUUUCCGGGUGAAGGUUCAAGAAAGGAUCUUGAGCAUGGGUUUGGAAAUGCCGUGGAGAGUUUCUGAUUGGCGAAGAAUCAGAUUUCUGAGCAGCAACGACUCGGUUUUUCUUACUCACAAUCAUUCUAAAAGAGUGAAACUUGCCUAAAUGAUUCUCUGGUAAAACAUUCUUUCUAAGAACAGUGAGCAACCGAGAAUCCGAGGGAGUGAAACACGGUGAAACAUAGGUUGCCAUAUUGAUGAUACCAACUACUGUAUGAUACUACAAACGACCAAUCCAAUUCCAGUGGUUAAUUCCCCUAACAAGACCUGUUCAUGAAAGGCUAAGAAAUCAAAACCAAAUGUCUCAAUUACGAGUAAUCAAUUCAAACAAGAGAGUAAACACUUUUUAGCAUUACAAUACACAAAGUAACAUCAACAAAACCCAGUUGUAUCUUUGCUCCAUUGUUAACACAGCAAUAGAUUAGAACGAUAGAAGAAGUGGGGAAUCACUAAAACCCCGAUUGAAAUCGAAAUGCUUUUCUUCGAAUAAUUGAAACGAAAGCAUGAAAGAGGAGAACUUUAAUUGCAAGAGGCGCCAUUACGAUUUAACUAAAAAUAAUCAAUUCAAAGAUGGGUAAUGUGAAGUUUGCAGUUUUACGCGAAAACAAAGUUUAGAGAUUGAAGAAAACACGAGAAAGCUUUGGAUAAUACGGCAAAGGCAAAGAAACACAGAGAGAAGGAAAUCAGAGACUAAAAGCAGAAGAGAAGAAGAAACCUGAGAGUAGGAGAAGAGUUGGGUGAGGGUAGGAGAAGAGAACACAAAAGAAAAGAGUGAAUUGAACAAAGGAGGAGCUCAAAGCCUAUGGAGCAAACCCCAAAACGGAGGGUUUUGGUGUUUUCUGACUAAAUAUCUCUUUUCAUUAAACCCCACUCAAAUUAAACUUAAAAUGCUUUUUUCUACUGUAUAUAAAAACUCCACUAAUCUGAUGUCAAAAAAAAAAAAACUCCAAUAAACUAAAAUAAUAAUAAUGCUUUAUGUUCUAAAUUUCAUCAAUGUCAUGUUGGUCUGCGGGUACAAAAAAAAAAAAAAAAAAAAAAACACUCCGGGACAUGAAAAUGUUUAAAUUCAUGUUUUUUUUAACUUGAUUUUUUUACUAGCUCUCUUUCUCACUCACUCUCAGCUCUCCUUAGUUUCUUGCUCUGUUUUUGCCUCUGUUUCUCUUUAGUUGUAACUGAAUGUACCAAACGCACUUUAUUGUAUUGAUCUAGAGUUUGGUCAAGUAAUUUCCCUUGUUGAACUCUGUUGAUGUAUCCUAAGACCUGGGUAUUACUUCUCUUGCACAUUGUCAUUCCAAAGUUAAAAAGACAUUUGAGGUAGUGCAGAGGAUCUAUUGAAGGAGGUUGUAGAAAAUACGACGCUUAAGUAUAUAAGAUUGGCAUAGAAACAGAUAACUAAAUCUAGUGAGCAUAACACUCGUUAUAUUUCCCAAAGAUUGAUUAUGUUGAAACACAGAAUCACUUUCUUGUUCACAAGGAACAGAGUAGUCAAGAAGAUCAGAUGGUGUGUUCCUCCUAACAACACAUAAAACAUCAAAGUAAAGAUCCAUUCUAUAACCUCAUUCCUCAAGACAAAACAGCAACCUAUAAAAUCAUUAGUAUUCCCUUGUUAUGUCUUGGCGACUUCAUCUUCCUAUUGUUCGUUUAGAGUGGACAGCUCGGAUUCCUCAUCAGCGUCCGCAAUCUCCCGUUCGGUUUCGGCAAUUUUGGUUGUGCCCUCGUCUUCAAACUCUCAAAAUACUGCAACCAAUAAACCAGCGACUGUUGUAAUUUUCUUCCGACCAAAAUAAUGCAACCAUCUUAGAAAUGUAAACUCAUAAGCUUUUUGUACCUGUUGCUUCCUCUUUCUCUCCAACUCCGCCUGAUGAAAACAUAAGAAACAUUAGGUGUUGCAAUCCCUUACAAAAAAUGAAUAAACUCCUAACGUGAUGAGAUAAAUACCAAUGCAUGUUUUAGCUGUGCGUUCUCUUCUUUCAACUGGUUUAGCUCAGCUUCCAAUUCCACUGUAUAAGCCUUACCAAAACACACAAAACAAGAACAUUAGCUUUGUUUUACGAAAAACAUUCAUAGUAUGUCAUUAAAUGAAUGAAAAUUUAUAUGUUUACUUGUUUUCUUGCUCUAGACCUUGCAGCAGACUCGCGGUUCUUGAUCAUCCUCCUCUGCCUUCUUUCCACUACUUUCUCCACUGGACCAUCCGCUACUCUCUUCCUUCCCCUUAGCCCUCCCAUAUCAACUCCAUACUGGCCUCCUAUGUUAUCUACUUGUCCAUGUCCUAAUCCGUCUGAAGAUACCGGGCUUAGCGGUCCUACCAUCCCCAUUUGUUGUCCACCUGCUCCAAACCCACCACCGCCUCCAUAGCAAACACCUGCCUGAACCGGUGGAGCCUGCUGAUACCCUCCUCCUCCUGUCCUUUUACCAUAACCUGAGGGGUCACCUACACCCAUGCCCUGACCUGGAAAAGUAGGAUCACCAGCUCCUUGAAACACACCAUAGAGUUGCUGCUGUGCUGCUGCGGGUAUAACACUAGACGGGUUUUGGUUUUGGUUUUGGUUAGGAUUAGCUUUUGGAUUCGUGGGAUGUUCUCUGACCACACCAGCCUUCACUAAGAAAUCCUCAAGUGUCAUCUCCCCAAAAGUUGGCUGUCUAGCCGCAGUCUCACCGCCGUUCUGAGCAUUGUUUUGACCAUUACUACUACUGCUACGUCCAUUGCUGUCUCCAGCAGCUGAACCACCACCUCCUCCUCUAUGAAUCUCAGACCAAACCUCAUCAACAGUCUUCCUACAAAGCGGAGCUGGAAGCGUCAACGAGCCUUGUCUAGGAAGACUCGGCUGCUUCGCUAUCCCUCUCUUACUACUAUUUGCCCCUUCGUUGGCCGUAGAACCGCCGCCAAAGGCACCAACACCGCUCUCGCCUCCAUUGUUGUUAUUGUUGAAACCAUUGUGAUUAGGCGGGAGAGAAUGAGAAGCUGUUUGCUGAUUGUUAUUAUUCUCCUCAGCGUUCCAAAUAGAGACAAGAAACUCGUCCAUGUUCAUAGACCCAAAGUUCUUGCCGUUCUCACAGAGAGCAUGUUGGAACUCGUCGAGGGUCAACGAGUAGAUAGAGGAUUGUCUUCCCAAUGAAGAGAACGGAUGAUGACUCUCACCUCCUCCUCCGUUAGGUCUUCCCUGCGCUGUCGACGACUCCACUUCUCGCUCUGACAUCAUCUUUGUUUCUCUAAGUACCAUUUAACCAACUGCAUAUAGACACAACAAAUACAAUGACCAUUAAUUUAGCAUUUGGUAUUCACGUAGACGACAAUAACAAUUUUGUCUCUUAUAGAUUAAAUUCUUCGUAUUACUUUGACCAAACCUUAGAUACUUUAUCCAUGAAGCUCACUUCUAAUACGAGAUUAUAUUGUUUUGGUAAAGUAAUGGGAUUUACAGAUCACAAAAACCAUAUGAAAGAAAAAAAGAAAUGAAGUCGGUCCACGUGAAAAUAAAGUAAGAACGGUCCACAUCGUGACAGCGACAGACGAUACUAAAAAUAGCAAUAAACAAACUAAUAAUUACUCAUUUCAAUAAAGUUUUCGUUUCCAAAAGAGGAAAAUAUAUCAUACCCCCACUCAAGCCAAACUUAUCAACACAAGAUAAUUAGAAUUAGAGCUUCAAUUUUAAUAACACCAAUAAAAUACUUAUUAGCUUGGGUCAUCCCUAAAAUAAAUCCACCGAAUACCUAAACUAAUAUGCUUAAAUACUAUAUGUGUUUUAAUUUUAAGCUAUCUAAAACAUAACUUACUUGACUAUAUACAUAACACGAAAUAAAGUCCUCUUAGAACAGAUCUUGAGAACAUAAAUAUAGAUUUCAAGAAAGUGAGAACCUGAAAAUAAACGAAACCUGUGAGUCCAAAAACCAGUGGCUUUUAUGUUCCUCGGCCGCCGGAGAAAAACAGAGAGAAUUGCUUCUUAUCCUACAGAGUUUCACCUCCUUCACAUAGCUUUAAUGCCACCGGGGAGUUUUUGACUGGAAAAGCUUUUUGAGGGAGACAGAGAGAGAUGAAAUGGGUGAGAGGGAGAGAGAGAGGCGGUAAAAGAGAGUUAUUUAUUUUUGACGUUCACGGUGACACAAGGUGGUGGAGAAUGGAACCCACGAAGAGAGAGGCAUGAAGGUCAAUAUUUGUUCUGUUCCAAAUUUUUUAUCUUCCGACCAAUGAGAGAUGCGAACUUAGAAAGAGGUCCAAGUCCAGGCCCAUGAUCAGAGGCAAAGAAUCGGUACGGCUUCUUCCGACACGUGUUCUGCACGUGUCUCUCUUUCGUUUCUUGGAGUGUCUGUCUCUUCGUCUCGACGCGUGUUACACCUUACUUCAUUCGGCUAUACCACAAAAUGUUUUUUUCUACGGCACAAAACUAAACUUGGAUUCUUCUCUUUUAAGCAUAUGUCAGUAAAAAUUGGUAUUAAGAAGUUUAAUGCGAGUAUUAGUUAGUGUGAUUUUGGUUUUUAACAAAAGUAUUUGUUACAAGGUUUAAUUAUGUUCAUUUUAAUAUGGGUCGGAGCAAAGUAUUUGUUACACUAGUGUGACUUUGCUUUGUGGUUUGGUUGGUUUUGUUCAUAUUAAAGAGUUUGGGAUUGAGUUUAGUCGUGUUCGUGAAAAUAUCUUUGCUUUGUCGUUGGUUAUUUGUUUCGUUUUUUGGAUUGUACCCUUUGUUUUAUAUUUUGCAUGUGUAUUUGAGACUUUGCUUCCUUUUUAGUAGUCAAAGUAUGUAUACGCUUCUUUGUUUGUUGACGGUUGUGUUUAGCUAUUGAAUCUAGACUUGUUAGAUUUUGAAUAGUAGUAUUGCGUUUGGUGACCAAAAACGUANNNNNNNNNNNNNNNNNNNNNNNNNNNNNNNNNNNNNNNNNNNNNNNNNNNNNNNNNNNNNNNNNNNNNNNNNNNNNNNNNNNNNNNNNNNNNNNNNNNNNNNNNNNNNNNNNNNNNNNNNNNNNNNNNNNNNNNNNNNNNNNNNNNNNNNNNNNNNNNNNNNNNNNNNNNNNNNNNNNNNNNNNNNNNNNNNNNNNNNNNNNNNNNNNNNNNNNNNNNNNNNNNNNNNNNNNNNNNNNNNNNNNNNNNNNNNNNNNNNNNNNNNNNNNNNNNNNNNNNNNNNNNNNNNNNNNNNNNNNNNNNNNNNNNNNNNNNNNNNNNNNNNNNNNNNNNNNNNNNNNNNNNNNNNNNNNNNNNNNNNNNNNNNNNNNNNNNNNNNNNNNNNNNNNNNNNNNNNNNNNNNNNNNNNNNNNNNNNNNNNNNNNNNNNNNNNNNNNNNNNNNNNNNNNNNNNNNNNNNNNNNNNNNNNNNNNNNNNNNNNNNNNNNNNNNNNNNNNNNNNNNNNNNNNNNNNNNNNNNNNNNNNNNNNNNNNNNNNNNNNNNNNNNNNNNNNNNNNNNNNNNNNNNNNNNNNNNNNNNNNNNNNNNNNNNNNNNNNNNNNNNNNNNNNNNNNNNNNNNNNNNNNNNNNNNNNNNNNNNNNNNNNNNNNNNNNNNNNNNNNNNNNNNNNNNNNNNNNNNNNNNNNNNNNNNNNNNNNNNNNNNNNNNNNNNNNNNNNNNNNNNNNNNNNNNNNNNNNNNNNNNNNNNNNNNNNNNNNNNNNNNNNNNNNNNNNNNNNNNNNNNNNNNNNNNNNNNNNNNNNNNNNNNNNNNNNNNNNNNNNNNNNNNNNNNNNNNNNNNNNNNNNNNNNNNNNNNNNNNNNNNNNNNNNNNNNNNNNNNNNNNNNNNNNNNNNNNNNNNNNNNNNNNNNNNNNNNNNNNNNNNNNNNNNNNNNNNNNNNNNNNNNNNNNNNNNNNNNNNNNNNNNNNNNNNNNNNNNNNNNNNNNNNNNNNNNNNNNNNNNNNNNNNNNNNNNNNNNNNNNNNNNNNNNNNNNNNNNNNNNNNNNNNNNNNNNNNNNNNNNNNNNNNNNNNNNNNNNNNNNNNNNNNNNNNNNNNNNNNNNNNNNNNNNNNNNNNNNNNNNNNNNNNNNNNNNNNNNNNNNNNNNNNNNNNNNNNNNNNNNNNNNNNNNNNNNNNNNNNNNNNNNNNNNNNNNNNNNNNNNNNNNNNNNNNNNNNNNNNNNNNNNNNNNNNNNNNNNNNNNNNNNNNNNNNNNNNNNNNNNNNNNNNNNNNNNNNNNNNNNNNNNNNNNNNNNNNNNNNNNNNNNNNNNNNNNNNNNNNNNNNNNNNNNNNNNNNNNNNNNNNNNNNNNNNNNNNNNNNNNNNNNNNNNNNNNNNNNNNNNNNNNNNNNNNNNNNNNNNNNNNNNNNNNNNNNNNNNNNNNNNNNNNNNNNNNNNNNNNNNNNNNNNNNNNNNNNNNNNNNNNNNNNNNNNNNNNNNNNNNNNNNNNNNNNNNNNNNNNNNNNNNNNNNNNNNNNNNNNNNNNNNNNNNNNNNNNNNNNNNNNNNNNNNNNNNNNNNUAACGAUGUUAUUAACCAUACCUGGAGCGAAAGGGAACAAAUGCCCUGCUCCAGGGAUCUCAUGGUAAUGGAUCCAUGGCAGCUUCUGCGCAAUGUAACGUUGCAGAGUCACAGGGACUAGCGCAUCAUCAUCUCCAUGCCACAAGUGCACUGAUCCCUCCUUGUUCGGAAACAGAUUCUCGAUUUCCAUUGGAUCGAAUUCCCAAGUUCCAAAUCCGACAAUCAUGUCACGGAGCAACGUCUCGUGUGUUCCUUGUUGCCUUAUUUGUGCCUGCAUAGAGACUUGGAUUUGGUAAGAAUGCAAAUAAAUGAAGUAGAAGAAGUGAUGAUGAGUUGUUAUAUAUACCUCAUGUUGCUUCCUUGCAUCACCGAGCUUAAACAUGAUCUCUUUGUCUGCUUUUGACAGUAUACCAAGGUUUCUGGCCACAACACUUGAUCCAGAGAACCACGUCUGUGAGUUCCACCAAUGAGUAAGCCAAGGAGCAUAGUGUGCAACACGAACCGCCCAUUGGUCAUUUCUCGCUUGUUGGUAAUAGGCUUCGGUUGAUAACUCUGAUGGGAAGUUCUUCCACCAAUAGUUCACCACUGGAGCAACAAGUGUUACUCCAGCCAACCUAAAGAAUCAAACAGAGUAAUACACACACAAAUCAAAAUCAUUCGCUUACAGAGUACUAUGUGAUCAUUUAACAAUUUAAGUUCUGAAAGUGAUACCUGUGAGGAAUGUAUUUAAGGCAUGCCCAUGUCGCUUGUCCUCCCAUCGAGUACCCGAUGACAUAGAAUUUGGAUCCAAGACUCAACUGAUCAGCAAGCUCUUCUACGUCCAAAGCCAAGCUUUUGGGAGUACGGUUUGGGUCUGGAUCACUCUCUCCAUAACCAGGUCUAUCAAAUGAAACCAUAUACACACCUUUUACAUCCUACAACAUUGAUAUCAUAAGUUUUACGUCUUUAAACCAGGUAGCAAUUAGUAAUGUUUGGCAUGAGAACGUCAAAACAAGUACCGGUGAUAGCAGAGCUGCGAAAGCAUUAUCGUGCCUGCAGCUAUCAGAUCCAUGGAUGACGACGAUUUUAUAGGUAGCUUCAUCUCUGGGAACUCCAUACUCUUUGUAAGCCAAAUGCCUUCCGUCUCUCAGCUUAAUCCUUGGUGCUGUGAUGGUUGGACCAUCAGGAGAUCCACAUAGCUUUGGAGGAGGAGGCUGGAUCGCCUUAUAAGUCGAAGCAGCUAUACAGAUAGAGAACACCAACACCAACUUCUGGAGAACACCUGUAAAAUCAGAUUCAGAGAAACAGAGGUUGUUGUCCUGUCUCUAAAAUGAAUCUUCAAGGGCAAGAAACAAAGAUGUGAUGUCUCUGAAGACCAAACUCAUCACUAAUUCACUCAUAUGUGCUUACUACACUGUUAAUGUGGGUUUUGUCUAGAAACAGAAACUAAUGUGAUUGAAGCCAUCAUUAAAUGUGGGUUUUGUCUAAAUUUCAACAAUCUAAUCAUCAUUUCAUUUCAUUUCACAUGCAUCAAUAUGAACCUCUCUCUUGAAAUUUUUAUACUUUACCUCUUUUAGAACAAAAAUUCAAGAAUCCAAAAUACUGAAACUUGGAGAAAAUUUUCUUGAUGGGUUUUUUUCUUUCUUUGUGAACAAAAGAAAAAGAAACUUCAAAAUCUAAAAGGCGAAUUUGAAAUGGAAGAGAGAAAAGAAAAAUCAAACCUGAGGAAGGAGACCUGGGAGGAUCUGUCGAUCCAGUGGCCAUUGCCAAGAAAGAGAGACGCACAGAGAGAAAGAGAGAAGUAGCUGAUAAAGUGAGAGAAGAGAUCAAGUUGGUCUAGCUAACGCAUGUUUAGAUAUUAUCUUUAAAACUCUAAAGACUAAAAGGGGUUACUUGCUGCAACUUUACAAGUUUGGUCGUUUCUUGUUUGUUUGUGUAAGCCAAUGUAGUAGGAGUGAGAUGUGAAUACCCUUAAGCCACGUAAUCCGUUGAUUAAACUACAAUUAAAUUAAAAAAAUAUUUACCAUCACGCCACCAAAACUUUCGUAGAUAGAAUAUUUAGACCCGAAAUAAACUGAAAUAGUAAAAAUUAAAUAAAAAUGCAAAGUUUGUAAAACAAAAGCAUGUAAUUACUCGUUACAAAAAUAAUACUGUGUGUAGAUAUUUUUGGUAGGUACAUAUUUGAUUCGUGUUAGGUGUACCUUCUCCUCUAUAAAAACCUCUUUAUAGUAAACAAUAAAUCAAACUUUUAUAUUAAAUUUUAAGUACCCUUUUAAAGUUUUAACAAUGAUGUCGUUGACUCAGUCAAUAGUUUUAUUAGGAAUUGAGGUCGAACAGUUGUUUGAAUUCAUUCAUGGCAUUCGGAUUCAAACAAAUUAUUUUUAGCCAUGGUCUUGAUGAUUUUAAUAUGUAUUUUACGAAUUAUGUAGAGCAAAGCUUUAGCAACAUAGUCGAGUUCCUUAUUUUUAUGUUUUAAUCUCUAAAUCACAAAAAGUCGUAUUUAUAAAUUUACAAGUUCAAGUUCAAGUGGUGUUAUUAUAGUUAUAUAGUGAAAAUCGUAGACUCGUUUUUAGUGACUACUACUAGUAAUUGCCACAAAAUGCACAACGCCGAAGUGUGAGAAGAGUGAAAAUAUCAUUGUGCUCCUAACACAUAAUUAGGGAAAUAUACUUUGCUCAUUUAUAAACAAGAACUAAUAAAUAAGCAUCAUUUAUGACAGUUGCUUGCUCAUUAAAAACGACAUACAGCGACCCGUUGCACCGGAAACAUUUAUGUAGUAUAGAUACAACAUUCAUUAAUUCUCUCAAUCUCUCAAGUCACGAGUCUACCAAAUUGACAUAUAAUUUUUCUUGUUUUGGAAUUUUCUUCAAAGUCCCAAAAAUUCCCAACAAAGAUAGUUGUAGAUUCGUUGAGGACCGUUCCACUUACCCAUCUUCUCCUUCAGUUACUACACCCUUUAUAUAUUAAGUUUAAACCACAACGAUUCCUAAACCGGAUAUUAAUCAGAGUCAUCAACAUGACACGUCGUGCUGGUUUGUUAAACUGGGGAGCAGCAGAAGAAGAUGAAGAGAAACAAGAAAUGAACGAACGUAAAAGCGACGGCGAUGAAGGUAGUGAAGAAGACGGUGAAGAUGAUCUGUUCGAGAUAAACUUGGAGGCUGUGCAUGCUGAUCUGACGUCGUCUCCAUCGUAUGAUUGGAAGAGAUUUCCGGUAAGGACAGGAAGCGUUUUACUGGCUAACUGUCUGUUACCAGCUGCAGAUAUCUCCAGUGCAGUACCGGCAACGUCAAAAGCUUGGAAUGAUUUGGUUUGGCUUAGAGGCAUUCUUUAUGUUGAAAACCUAGGUCUUGAGAGUAAAGACGCUUAACUAAACAAGUUAUGGUGCUGUGCCGCCAAAAUCUAGUGAUGGAGAGGUAAUGUUGUUGUCUAUACAUGGAUGUGUUCAGACUAGUGUUUAAUGCAAAACAUGGUAAAGGAUAUAACGAAGUUUGGUUUCAGUCGAGUCUUAAGAUCCGUAUUUCAAAGUGUUCGGGUACUCAAGACAUGGGGCAUGCCUUAACUGCAUCCAUCACAUUUAGUUUUCUACAUUUGUUUGUUUUAUGUUUAUAAGAUAUCAUGCAUGAACUGGAACACAAAAAAGUGUAGUUAGUCCCCAAGAUCAAUUACUCAAGGUAAAACUGGCAAGGAAAGGAAUACUCACUCUCAAUGGACAUCACUGAUAAUUUGUUCUUCACACACUACAUUACCAAACGUUAGAAAAGGAGCCCUACAACAUUCAAGUAAGAUAUCCUCAAUUUAAAAGCAAAUUCCAUCUAGAUGAAUGCCUUAGAUGGAGACAGCUCUUUUUUAUUUUCUGUGGCAAACGCUAUCAACAGAAGUUAGGGCAGUUCUAGCUAGGAAUGGCGGUGGACGAGUAAACUGAAGCCAAGAGCACAUGUCACUACUUCUCUCUCGGGGAACAGACCAAUAGCAAAGUAACUGCUAGAUGCUUAUCAGUAUUUCAUUCCACUGUCUUAUUUCCAAUCGACCAAAAUCUAAACAUAAUUUACUCCACCACAGUUAAAGCAAAUCCUAACAGUGUCAACCAUUCCUAUAACUUGACACCUAGAGGCUAGAAGACUAAUCGAGACACAUCUUCAUAACUUCAAAUGGCAAAAUCAGCUCAUAUAUUAUAAGCUGUUCUGCAUUAGUACAGCGCAAGUAAUCUGCCAACAAGCUGCUAUGUCACAAAACUGUCUAAGAGAACAAACAUAUCCAUGAAUUGUAUAAAUAAUUCUUAAGUAAAAACCUCGAAGAUCAAGUGACGGGUACAAAACUUCGAAUCAAAUUUCAUAAACAUCUUUCUAAAUUUAUCUCAAAAAAAGCCUUUACACCUUCGUAGCUAUUCAUUUCCCACCCAAUUCAAAUCUCACAUCAAAGAACUUAUAUUGUAGCAAAUUUUUUUUUGCUACUCGCUAAUGGCAUCGGAAGAUUCACCAAACUACCAAUAAUUCGAAAACCAUAACAAAGAGGAAAUUAAAAUAUAACAAGAAGGGAAAAGAGAGUAUAGAUCAAGAAGCAAGCGUACGCGAUCAAGCCACGAUGCUCUUCUCCACCAUCGGCGAGUGAUACCACCAAAGUAGAACAAGCCCUGGUUGACCACAAAACAAACACCGCCGCAAGCACGAACCUAACCGGCCCAGCUCCCUGCGGUACGAACAAUGACACCGCAGAUAAAACCACCACCGGAAGCAAACAGUAUCCAACCAGGCUCGUACACGUAUGGAGAUUAAGAUUCCCAUUGCGACCAGCAAGCAUAUUGAAGACGACGUAUAGGAAGAUAGAGGAGACGACGAUCCAUCCAAGUAUAACACCGAACUGGAUCUUCCCAGCUAACAACUGAAACAGGCAUAGCGCAAGGUAUAGAAAGAUCGGACCAGAUAGAUCUGAAUCCUUAUGAACAGCUUGAUUAAUCCGAAAAGGAUUGAGAAUCGAUCUAGUCUUCUUCCAGAUUUGAUCUGGAUGUAUACCGAGCUCGUCAAGCAAAGGCUCCUCAUCUUCAAACGAAGCUGAACCACCACCAAAAGACGAAGAGGAAGCGAUUGUGCCGCCGAACGAUCCGGCUGGUGCAGCGGAGGACGCGGCUGCCGAUCCCAUAUCGAACGACAUGAACGGGAUGGCGGAAGAAGAAGGACGCGGCGGUUGAAACGGAGCAGCCUGGAAUCUUCGUUGCUGGACAUUAGGACCGCCUGAAGAUCCACCGGUGGGGAAAACUACAGGUGGAACUGCGAAAUCCUUCGUCAUCUUCUUCAAAUCGAGAUCUCCAAAAUUAGUAACGAGAUUCGAAACUAGGGUUGCACGAUUUGGAUCAACGAGAGAAAAUUUUAACCCCAAUUUUCCCGAGAAACUUCUCUUUUACUUUUCCCUUGAUAGUGAAGCGUACAGGACAGCUUUAGAAGAAGGCGCGCCAGGGUAAUUUUGUCAAUCUAUAUAGUUAUAUGACGAGAUAUAACCACUAGGCUUCUUCGGAAUUGGCUUGUUGACGUAUAUCUGCUAUUUGGUAUUACCAUAUUAUCCUCUCAUAUAAUCUAAGUAAUUCUCGAAAGGCCCAAUGGGCCUCAUCGGCCCAGUAAACCGUCGGUAUUAUUCGAUAACGUGGCACGGUGUAAUUGGCUUGAAGACUAGAAAACCGCCGGACUAAGAUUCAACCAGCGGUGACUUCAACACUUUAGACGGUGGAUUUCUUCGCCGGAGCUUCCGCGAGCUUCUUCAUCCCCGGUUGUUAUGGCCGUUGAUGGAGAGAGUGUCGUCUCGAUGCCGAUGGCGGUGGCUGCCUGCGUCGCUAUGGCAGUGUCCUACGUUUUGAUUCUUUAUGCUCCCACCGUGAUUCUCCGUCUCCCGGCGGCUUCUUCUUACUUCGAGUUUAUGAUUCGGAGAUUCGUCUGCGCGGCUAUUUCUACUGUAGUGUCUCUCGUCUUCACAGCUUUUGUACUCCCGGUAAGCUUCCUCCUCUGAGUCCCAUUUCUCGAUUUGAAGUUAACUCUCCGUUGAUCUGUAGUCGAAUUAAGUUUCAAGUUAGGCCAUUUCUUUCUUAUUGACAGUUUCUGUGUAAUCGAUGGAGAAAAGAUGAAAUCUAAAUGUAUUUGGUUGAUGUGAUAAUUCAGGAAACUCAAUAAAAAAAAAAGUGAAAUAAUUUUAUGUAUGUGCUAAUGGCUCACAUGAUUUGUCAUUUAGAAUGUUACACCAGAAGAUUCUUGACUAUGAUGUGUUUGGUACAGUGCAGCAUUGGUUACAAGUAUCGCUGAAACUUGUCUUGCUUUUUUUCUUGAGUAAUGUUAGAUAAAAAGCUGGGAGGCCUCUCCUAUACUUGGUGUUUAUGGAAUAAGGACUGAUCAUCUGGUAUGUAAUUUCUUAGUCUUCAAUGUCUUUAGUACAUUGGUAAUUGUUUAAAAAGACGGUUUGCUUGUUACACUUUCCAUCUUAUAAGGUUUUGUCUUGUGAUAUGGAACAGUGGCAAGGAGUAGUGUAUCCUCUUCUAUUGACCUCUCUCAUUUAUGCCGGAUCUUUAGUCUUGAAUUUGUUAUUGCUCCUGGAAUUAUGGAAGGAGACAGGUGGAGGAUGUUGCUCCUUUAAUAACAUCAAAAGCUUUUUCCAAACAGUACUGACAGGUGCUUCUAAUGUUUCCGUUUGGCGUAAUUUUGUCGUGGUAAUCAUCUGUUAGCUAUCACUUUUAGCCUAUCUUUCAAUUCUGUAUUGAAGCUGCAUCAGACAUAGUUUGCUAAUUAUCUGAGGACUAUUAGCAUCAGUUUGGUUUAUCAUGUAACACCUUUUUCCUACUUUUUGUUUGUAUAUGUAAGUGCUAAAAUGAACGAAUUGUGGUCUGUUAAGAGACUUCGAGCUGGUAUUUCUUGUGAUUUGCAGGCACCGGUAACCGAGGAGCUGGUUUUCCGAGCCUGUAUGAUACCUUUGCUUCUGUGUGCUGGAUUUAGGAUUUACAGCGCCAUCUUUCUCUGCCCAAUUCUCUUUAGCUUGGGUUUGUUUCUUUGUUUCUAUAUGAAUGACAGUUUACAGCCCGAGUGAGAUGAAAAUUGUUGGAUUUGUCUGACUUUUUGUAUGUUCCUGUGCAGCCCACUUAAACCAUUUUAGAGAGAUCUACAUCAGACAUAACCGCAGCUAUCUCAGGGCUUCACUGAUUGUUGGUAAGUCCAACUUAAUCUUUGCCAUCCCUAGAUCAUAAUAUAAUAAUGCUUGUUAGUAAGUCAUGAGCUUCACUUGUCCGUUGAUCAGGUCUUCAGCUUGGUUACACAGUCAUUUUUGGUGCAUAUGCAUCAUUCCUCUUCAUCAGAACCGGUACACUCCUCGCAUUAUAUAACUUACUUGUAAAGCCCUUGUAUUGUUGGCCUUGAUGAUGAUGUCUCCUGCAUUGCGUAAUAUUGACAGGACAUCUCGCUGCUCCUUUAUUUGCUCAUAUAUUCUGCAACUACAUGGGAUUGCCUGUGCUAUACGCACAAGGAAAAGGUAAUACAUAUAUUUCAAGGCUGUAUAACAAAUGCAAAAACAGAAGAAUAAGCUAAAGAUGGUCAUGGUUCUUCUCUCAGGUUUGGUGAGUGUGGCGUUCGUAGGCGGUGUGGUUGGGUUCGUCUCACUUCUCUUUCCUUUAACAAAGCCUCUCAUGUACAACGACAGAACCAACGAUUGCCCGUGUUGGUCUGGCUAUUGUUUGUGGAAUUGAACACAUCUACGAGUAUAUGUUUACAGAUUUCCGCUGAUCAUGCCUCAGAAUCUAUUUGGAUACAGUACUUAAAUCCUGGUCUUUUACUGCAAGCUAAUGUGUCUUGAUAGUGUAUGACUGUAUGUAGUUUUACCCUUGUAAAUAUUGACUUCAAUCCUAGAGAGACAGGAAGAAGGAUGAUUUACAUCACAAGUCUAACAUAAAGGUCUUAGACUACAUUGUCCAUUUUUGAUAAGCCAAAAAAGUUCAUAUAAAUUAUUGUAGAAAAAUAGAGAAAAAAUGAUUAGAAAUUGAAGAGAAGUCCAUAACCUUACAUCAGAGAGAUUCAGAAGAUGAUGUCUUGCAUGAUCUUCCAAAGAGAUUUUUGGGGGUAAUCAUUAAACUGAAUAAUUUUCUGAAAAUUACACAUUUCAAAGUUGACUUUCAAAGUCUGAGUUUAUGAUGAUGAUUCUCACUUCGGAGUAAGGAAAAUUAUGUUUCUAGAUGCCUAGGUCUCUCUGUGAUUUUCUCACCAACACUUGAUUUCGUGUCACAUUUGGAGUCAGUUCGGACUUAUGGUCAAGAAAUGACCUGUUGUUGUACUCCAUCCAGUCUAGGCUUGUGUGAACGUUAGCACGGUGAUCUAAGGAUCUGAGUGAUCCUCCAUACAUUUUGUACUCUUACACUUAGAAAAUAGGUUUCCCAAAAAUCUAUCUAGUGAGAUUCACUAAUUUUAUGUAUUUGGAUGAUGAUUCUUAUAAAAAGCUGAAGACCAAUCAAAUACUAUAACUAUCAUAUGACUUUAGUCGUAAACCAAAUUUUCGAAAAGGAGGUCAUAAUUAACAUUUGUAAUAUGCACAUGAUAUCUAAUAAAUACGGUCAAUAGGAUACAAACUUUGAUCACGUGAUUUGAAACUUGGGUACUUUGGCAAGUACAUACUUAUGUUCUCUCCUAAACACUUUUCUCGUAUCUUUUGAGUAUGCUUAUGGACCUUAUCACUACUUUAUCCAUAUUUAAUUAUUUUGGCAAUGAAAAGAACACAACUGCUUUAUAUUUUACAAUAGUAUCAAACACAUUACUUUGAAAAUGAAUCAGGUUGAGGCUAUGAAACUCUAAAUUAACAAACAUACACACACAUUAAAAAUCUUAUUGCUACCCUUUAACAAUUUGUUAUAUCAAGACCAUGUAAUAUAUUAUAUAAUAAAGGGAUAAAAAGAAGAUACUGGUUGGUUGGUUGUUAAAGAGAAGAGCAGAGAAGAAGGUACAAUGAAGUAGUCCCAGAAUCCACCCAUGUCCUAAACAACCAAACCCCACAUGAUAUAUAUAUAAAAAAAAUCUAAUUAACAUAUAAAUGGAAACAAAAGUAAAAAUAUCCCCUUUAGUCCCUGAGAGAAGAAGAUUGGUCAGAGAGAGAGAGAGAGCACACAACGCCUUCUCUGUCCCUUUUCUAGUAAAUCAGGAGGAAGAUACGAACCCAACCCAAAUAUUUAAAAAACAAAAUAAAAAAAACUAGUUCGAAAUAAAAUUAAUAAUAAUACUACUACUACUACCACUAACCAACUAUUACAUUACACCAGUAAAAAGAAAAAAGAAAAUGAUGGGUACUACGUUCUUUCUUCUAGUUAACCAAAUCCAAAUCUUGUCCUAAAUAGAGUUUUGUUGUUGUUGUUGUUUCCAUGAUGAUUAAUGUUCAGAAGCAGCAGAGCUUGAUGAUGAAGAGAGGUUGUUGUUGUUGUUGUUGUUGCUUCCUUGGUUUGGUGAUCCGUUAGAGUUCUUGGUUUUGGAGAGCUUCUGUUUGAGUUCGAAGAGGAGUUGUUGGUUCUCUUGAUUCAGAAUCUGAGCUUUCUUCCUCAACCUCUCGUUCUCCUUUAUUAUAUAACAGUUUUGCAAGUACAGCUUCGAGUUUAGCCUCUCCAUCUCUCUCGACAAAAACCUGGUUCUCUGUUUCUUCAGAAUAACAAAGUGAGAGAUUAUGUUAAAAAGACAAGAACAAGGAAGAAGAAGACGAGGUUUUAUGAAAGCAUUGUGUUAUGAUUAAUAUAGUUGCGGUUAAAAUCAUUGCAACACCCACAUGGGUUGUGCAGCUUCACACGUUUAAUGAGGAAUUUACACUAAGCAAAAAUCAUGACCGCAUUUAUUUCGUUUUCUACCAAAAUUGUUAAAAAAAAAAUUUUGUCUUUAAAGAAAAUAAAAUCAAUGACCAAACAGAGGAACAAUCAUGCUUCUUCUUUUCUUUUAUAUUUUGGUUGCUAGAGGGAUAGAAAAAGAAAGAAGAAGAUAAAGCCACACCACAACAAGAAUGAAAACAAAAACAAAGUAAUGAUGAUGCAGUAUAUAUAAUGAUGAAAGUUUCAAAACAAAAAAACACCAAAACAGAGCCAAAAAAAAAAAAAACAGAACCAAAUGAUCUUUAUCGUAAAAUAAAAAGAAGAAAAGAGUUUUUGAAAAACAGAAAAAAAAAAAAAAAAAAAAAAAAAAGAAGAGAAACAAAUAGGGUUUGAUUCGGUUGCCUUUGUCUUAAAGAAAAGGAUAAAGCUUUGAAGAUUUUCCAAAAAAAAAAAAGAAAUUAAAAGUUUGUUAUAAAGAAAGAAGAGAAGAAGAGUUGGGGUAGUUAUGGGUAAAUGAUAUUCACGUUGCUUGUACGUAAGGGGAGACAUGUGUAUAGCGAGGGAGAGAAAGAGAGAGAGAUUUACCUUUAGGGGAAGAAGAGACGACUUGAGAAGAACCGAAGCGAAGUGAGUUUACGUUGUUGUUGUAACUUGUAAGGGAGAGAGAGAGUAUAUGUAUUGUAUGGAAGGUAGAGGGACAAAGAGAACAAAACGAAGAUAGUGUCUCUUUAUAUAGAACUCCCUAUAAAGCUAGAGAGAGAGAGAGAGAAGUGAGUGAAAGGGGACAUGCUUCUCUCUCCUGACACAACAAUCAUGCUUUGUGUUGUGUUUUUGCUUAGAUGGCGGCCGAUUUCGCAGCUCCAAUCUUUUAUUUUCCUUUUUCUUUUUUCUUGUAAUUUUUUUUUUGCUUUUAUAAUAAUAAUGAUUUGUGAGGGAAAGAAGAAAAAAAGAUUUGUGUUGCGUCAUGUGAUGAUGUGAAUGAUGAUCGUAAGAGAAGGGAAGAUAGAUAAAGAUCGAAGAAAAUUAGAGGGAAACAAAAGCUUGAGGUUGUUUUUGUGUUUGAGAUUUAUUUUCACAAUUUGGUUUGGUGUAUGUAUGAGAUAUGCUGUUCUUUCUCUUUCGACCUUGUUCAUUUCCGACCCUGCUAAAUAAAUAAUCAUUCACGCUAUCGUUUGAUAUCACAAAACCAAAAAUGUAUAAAUGUCGAAAGGCUGAACUGAUUACUAGAACUCCAAAUUAAUAACAUCAUGGUAUAGUAAUUACUAAUGGCUGAAAGAUUCACUUUGGGAUUAAGAUACUCAAAUCCGAGUUUUUUCAUACUCCUAUUUCAAUCGUGAUUGGUUAUUGUGUACAUUUUGAGUGAUAAAAUCCCGAGAGAAAAAAAAAAAGAAUCUGAAUUUUCACAAAAAUCGAUAGUUAGUCUAAAUUUUGGCUCGUGAUUAAUUACCCACUUUAAAAAACUUUUAAGUUAUGUACACUCUAGUAUAUAAUCUUGUAAUUUUGUUAAUCUCCGUCAUGUGUUACCAUAUGGAUUCAAAUCUUUAACUGCAUGUUUUGAAGGGGGCAAAAAGAACCAUAACCAAGAUGAAAUCUACACGAAAAUGGAAGUCAUAAUGUUGUUGGUAAAAAAAAAAACACUAAAGUGUUACUACUAGGUACACUGAAGGCAGAGGUAAAAUACAUAGACCGGCUUGAGUAAAUAGUUAAAGAUAGAUAGGAGGAGUGGAGACUGGAGAGGGGGUAAAAUUUUGUAGUAAGGAAAGGGGCAGAGAUGUAAUAAUAAUAGAAGAGGGUGAAAACGAGUUAUUGAGUGAAAAUGAUGAUGAAAGGGGAGGAGGAAGAGGAGGAGGGCUCUUCUAUAUAGGGCGUCGUCGUCUCCCCCAAAGAUUCGCAAUGAUGGUUUGGGAUUGGUUCGAACCUUAUAUCAUCAUCAUCAUCAUACUCAUUCAUUAUUAUCUCAAUUUCAAUUUCAUUUUGGACCAUUUUCAUUGCUCUCUUUACUCCCUUUCAUUUCCCGGUUUGGUCUAUAUUGGUUUAGUCAACACUACUCAUCAUCAGCCAUAAUAACAACGACACAUUCUCGAAGGAAGGUGAGUGAGUGAGUGAGUGAGUGAGUAUAUGAGUUCGUGUCCUGUUUUCUUCUCUUCAUGACCCUUUUCUUUCUUUCUUUUUCUUUUUCCUUUCAUCAUCUCUUAAUUUGUAUAAAGAUCGAAAUAAUUAAAAUGAUAAACCAAAAGAAGAGAGAAAUUAUGAAGAGGAAAGUUUUGGGACCCCAAAGAAAUUUUUAUAAAAAAAAUACUCUCGUAUGGGUUAUGUUAUGAGUGUGCAUGCCACAUCGUGAAACAUCAUAGUUUACAAGGUGGAUUAGUUUUUAAAAAAUUUGUAUGGUCAAAUCUUCAUCAUAUAGCUUCCCUAACCAUAUAUAUCAUCUCUCGUGGACCUCGUUUGGUUGCAAUGAUACUAAUACAAAUUAUUGCACUUUCACGUUUAUAAUUACUCUCUCUCUCUCUCUUUAUCAUAAAUCUUGUGAUUUCAUUUUGGCGUUUAUUAUUUUAUUCACGGGAUAAAUCGUAUUAAUGCAUGUUUUCUGAACAGUGAAUAUUGUGUUAUUUCCCUGUUAACUUUUUUUUUGUUUGCCUUUUGUGCUAAGCAUUGAAAGGCUUUAAAAAUUUCAAAACAUAAAUUCGAACUCAUAAUUAUUAUGUGUGUCUUGAAAUGGAACUAGAAAUAAAUAGACAAAUGGAAGCAAAUACACAUAACUACAUAAGUAGUGGUUGCACUACUUGCUUACAUCAAAGGCAAUGAUAAUUAAUAAGUUGGGAGGUGUGUGUGAGUCAUCCAAAUGGUUUGCUUCACUUCAUUUUUUUCUUCAUCUCUCCGUUUCUUGCGGAUGUGAAAUAAUUAUGAUUAGCCUUAAAAACUAUCUAUUGUCCUUUAAAAUGUUUCUUCUCUAUUCCCUUUUAUCCUUUACAAGUCAUCUUCUUAACAGUUCGGGUGAUUGUAAUGUGACAUAACCAAAAAAAAGGUUCAACAAACACUUAUGUUUUGAUUAUUUGUCAUGUUAACAUUUUGUGCUACAUUAGUUUGUUGCAUGUGUAGGACAUGAAAAAAAAAGAAAAUGUAUGGUCUCUAUGGUAUGUAAAAAUCGUGUGAGUAUAAAACUAUUUCCCACUUUUAAUGAUUGUAAUUUGUCAUCAUUUCGUUCCUUUAGAACUUUAUUUCUUUUAUAUGUUUUGGGUCUCCAUAAGGUAAAGUGCGUCCAUUUGCAUUGCAUGGAAACAUUAUCAUAACAUCUUCUAUUUUUAAAAGAUAACACACAAACGAAUAUUUAAUAAAGAUUUUGUGGGGUGGAGCAUUAUAAUGAUAUACAUAGGUCUGAUGUAUAUUAAUUAAGAGAUACAGAGGGAGGGCUCUUUAGCCUCUUUUUGCAGGUGAGACAUAUACACCACGAAGAUAAAUGUAUAACGCAAACUAAUGAUGAGAAUCUAUAUAUAUAUACACUUUCUAUUUGUUUCAAUAUCUAAAUACUUACAUAAUUGAACUAUAUAGAGUUAUAUGAUUUUUCUAUUUUUUUGCUUGAGUUAGAACUUUCUUAUUCCUUUUUGUUUUGCAAUUCCUAUUUGGUAUGACAGAACAACAAUGUUUUUUUUCUAAUAAUCUCUACCUUAAUGAAGUUUAUAAACUUGUGACACCAUCAUCUAUUCAAUUGUUUCAGGAAUUUGUAGUGCUUGUAACUAGCCACGUCCACUCAAGUUCAUAAAAAAAAAAAAAAGAUUGAAUAUUCAAGCAUUGCGCUUUCUCCCUGCAUUUUGGGGUUCCACUUUGUUUUGUUUUGUCUACACAAUAUAUUUGGUUACUGAUAUUUAAUUUCAUAAAAGGCGAAAAAAAGUUAUACAAAAUAUGAGUUUAAAAUAGAAAAAGGAAGAAUAUAAAGAUGAAGCAUAUCGUGUUAGCUUUGCUCUCUGGGUGUUACACUAUCGUGCAAAAUUGUAUCUUUAUGCACAUGCGCUACUUUAUGUUAAUUUAUAUCUAUAAACCAUUAGGUGUAACAACUAACAAAUCCAUCUUUGUUUCCAUAUCAUAUGGAUUCAUGGAUUUGUUCCACAAUGCAUAUUCUUUUCUAUAUAACUUCGUUUAGUGCACAUUCACUUGUAAACGUAAGUUAUCCCUAACGUGUCAGUAUCUUCAAGAAAAUGCGUAGAUGAAGUCCCUUCUCGGAUAAAAACAUUCAAAGAUCGCUCAAAACACUUUCCAAUAGUGAAAUCACAUAUAAGAGGUUCGGAAAGGGCUUAUAAAAUAUGGCAUAAGCAUAAAAUAUGAUGUGGAUGGUACUAAGUUGUGUUUCAAUGUUUUAUCUCACUAAAACGUAAGAGAAUAGUUAUGAAGCUGAAAACAUUUUUGAUCCAGCUCCUCUUUAAGUAACUUGAAUUGAAAAAUGAGAAGUAUAGGAGAGUGUAUUAAGUUACAUGAGCAAUAAAUGAAAGACCAAAGAGAAGGGAGACAAAACGGGUCUUAGGUAAUCACGAAUUAGAGAAGUAGCUGCCAGUCUCAUACUAAUAAACACCUUCUUCUGUAGCAUCCAAUGAUGACCAAACCAAACCAAACCCUCUCUAUCUAAUUAUACAAAGCUCUUUAUUCUCUUUUCUUUUCUUUUUUUCUUUCUCUUUUUUUUUUUGUUUUCUAACUAGUGCAAUUAUCCAAUUUCUACUACUUUUUCAGUGUAUCUUAAAUACCAUUUACUCAAAAUUAGUGAAAAAGGGGUAAAAAGAAAAAGAAAAUUCUGACCUCAUGAUUUAAGGAAGUUAUUGAGUCAUGGUCGACCAAGUAGACCAAAAAAAAAAAAUGCCAACAACAACAAAAUUAUUUAAUAUGACAUUUAAUACUAUAUUACUCCACUGAUACAAAUUCAAUUUGUAAUGAUUUUUUUUUUGUUGUUGUUAAUAUGCCAAAGAAAUUACUUUAGAAAAUUAUUUAUUUAGCAUAAUAAAUCAUUUUUCUCAAAAUUCUGAAUCAUAUAAUUAUGGCUCCCUUGAUGGAUCAAUGCAUACACACAUAAAUAUAUUUACUGUAUAUAGUUUGGAUGUAAUAAAUGAUUUACUAUUUUCUUAAGCGAUUUAAAGGAAAAAAAAAAUAGAGAGGUAGAAGAAGUACUCAUGAGUACUAGUCCCGACUUCUUCAUGAUGAUGAUGAUGAUCAACAUCAUCCACAAUUUUUGCCUGUAGAUACAAUUAUGCAUAUAGUGAGCCCCCAACUUGUUAUUAUAACCAUCUCUCAUUAAUUCAUCCUCCUUAGUCUAUACCUCCUCUUUUAAUUCACAUGUUCCCACUCUAUUCAUUUUCAUCAUAGUUUCCUAAAAAUUGCAAAAACAUUUAUAACUUAUCUUGGUUUACAUGUACACAUCAAUGUGCUUCUUGAAAUACACUUCUACAAAACAAAACCAAAAAAGUGUUUUAGAUUCAUCUAUCUCACUGGUAUGUUCCAUUUGUUUUAGCAUUAACAAAAUAUUUUCCGCUUGUUCUGUUGGAUCAGCUUGUUCACAACUAAUUUCUGCCGUGUAGAAGUGUUUUAGAUUCUGAACUUGGAACUAAAAUUUGUAAAACCAUAUUUUGUGUGUGUAUGAAGUAAAAACAAACUUGUGAUUUGUACAUGGAUAUUUUGGCGUUUGUUUUAGCUCAGCAUAUCAAAAUCAAAGUAGCUAGAUCUUUGGUGGGGAAACUCAGCCGUGUGGAGAUGUAAUAUGAUUGGACAAGAGUAAUGACGGACACGUGAACGACUUUAACGAAUUUUAUAUGAUGAGUAGAGUCAAGUUACUUGUUCGUUGUUAUCAUUGGCUGUGAUCAUACAUUACGUGACCCACCCCUUUGUUUCCCUAUCUCAGUUUCCUUUCAUCUCCUACUUUCUCAAACUACAUUACUUUUCUGAUUAUUGCAUUGCAGUUACAGAGUUACUAGUUCCAUAUCAAACCAUCAGCCUAGAUAUUCAUAUCCAGCAACAAUCCCAAACCCUUUUGGAUCCGAGAAGUUUCUUAACUUUCUAUAUGAUCUUGAUAAGAUUAUAUCAGUAUCUAUCUACUAGUGGGCAGGAAAAACAGAGAGAAGAGAGACAGAAACUUAUGGAAAGAAACAAAGAUAGUUUUCAUUCAUUAGUUUUUCUUCUUCUUAUAAUCCAAUGUACUAUUUAUACAGAUCAAAUACAGAGAUGCAAUUGAGAUUCAGGUUAGAACCAGAAGAUAUGAAUGUGAUGAUGCCAUUUCAAAUGAAUAUUCACAUUCUAAUGAGACUGAUACUGAAACUCAUAUUUUAUGGCUUCAUCAGCUUUGCUUUUACAUAUUCCAGAACUUUUUCUACGUCCACUGUCCAUGCCACCGAUAUCGGUGAAUAUCCUACCCACGGGUUGCUUCCGUUCCAUCUGCAGAUCCGAUCAAAACCGCUAUUUAGUGGAAAUGUCAAAUAAUUCAAGUGCUUUUCUUAUUUUGUGAAGAAGAUAGAUCGUUUAUAAACCUCUUGAGGCCUUGAUCCAUGAGCGUGUGGCCAAUGCAUAUUCCUUGAGUUUCCACCCGGACGACACCUUUCUUGUAUGUGAAUAGAUCAGGCCGCACAACAGCCACAAAGCUGACUGGGUCGUGGAGGUACACUCCUGAAACAAGCAACAACAAACAUUUGAAUCAAAACUGCAAUUUCUAAGCAUGUUUGACUGAUCAAAGUUUCUUGCUUACCGUAAACACCAUCAGAUUUGACGUGCCAAUCUCUGUAGAAGUUGCACAUAUCGCUUAACAAUUUAGCGUGUUUUCCCUUGGAGUUACGCAGCUCUAAGAGGUCAUCAUCUGAAAUAGAAUUAAAAACACACUUUCUUUAAGCAGGCUACAAUGCGAAAUCAAAGUGUUACAGAAGAUGGCGGAAGAAGCUUAUUCACCUGAUAGUCUAAGUUGGGUUGUGAUGUUUAUACCAACAACAGUGAUAUCUGCCCCAGAUGUGAACACGACAUCAGCUGCUUCCGGGUCACCAUAUAUCUGCAUAUAGACCAGAGACCAAAAAAAUGAAACCGGCAUUUUCUUUUUCAUUAACAUAAGCAUAUUAAGAGGUUAUUACAAGGUGGUUACAUUAGCCUCAGCUGCAGGAUUGACAUUUCCCAAAGAAAAGAAGGCUCCACCAAGAACAACAAUUUUCUUCACCUUACUUGCAAAUGAACUAUCACGUUUGAUGGCCUAGAACGAAAAAUUUCAUCAUGGUCAAAACAAAAAUCUGAUUUAAAGAUUAAAGGAGGGAUACAUGAUUCUUACUAAUGCCAGGUUGGUUAGAGGUCCAAGGGCGAGAAUGGUAACUUCACCCGGAUAUUCUGAGACCUUCUCAUCUAGAAACUCAGCUGCACUUUUCUCACAUUUCUUUAUACUUGGAGAAGGAAGAGAGACAUCUCCUAGUCCAUUUUUACCAUGCACAAAAUCAGCAACACGCGGAAUCCCACCCUGAAUCAACACAUCAAAGCCAGAAAUCGAGCUAAAGUCACAGCGGGUUGACUUGACCAUAGCAAAUAUCUGAAUAUUUCCAUGUCAUAAACUAGGUUCAAUCCUUAUCAGAAGAGAGAAGAUGGUACCUUUAAAGGUUCGGAAGUUCCUUCUGCGACAGGAACAUCAGGGAAGCCAGCAAUCUCACACUAUACUUUGCGUAAACGAACAAACAGAAAGAGAUCACCGACACAUUCCAAAACAUUAUAAAAGAAGUAGUAGUGAACGACUCAAUGCAUUGUACGUACCAGGAGCAAGGCAUUAUGAGUAGCAUCUUGUGUAGAAACAUUACCAAACACAGUAGUCAAUCCUAAUAUCUCCAGCUCCGGUGUUUGAAACGCCAUCAUUAUCGCCAUGCUAUCAUCUAAUCACACAUAAGAUGACACUAAUGUUAGAACUGAUCCUACAAUUAAAGGAAACUUAUUUCCACAAUCAAACUCAAUUGCAAAAAAGUCAACAAACUAAAAAGGAACAAUCUCCCCUGAACUGUUCUAUCAAGCAAUCCAUGGGAGCUUAAAGAUCCAAACUUUUCAACCAAAUGAGCACAGAUAAACAGAUUCAAGAUAUCAAAACAAAGUUGGAAGCUUUGUGAGGUUAAAUCAUAGUCUCUACCUCAAACUAAAACAAUCAAGAUCCAUUUACUACUAAACUUAACCAACUAAUCAAAAAACAGGGCAAAGAAGCUCACCAAUUCCAGGGUCUGUAUCGAUAAUGAGCUUCUCACGCUUGGCAGAGAUACCCAAAACGUCACCAUUUGAGAUCCCACCAUUACAAUUCUCCAUACCACAAUCCAUCUCAACAGAUAUAAUCAAAAGAUUUCUCACCGGAAUUGUAAAACCCAGGAAAACAAAUUCUAAACCUUUUGAAAACUCUCAGCUUCUAUCCAGAAUUAUAGAUACGUAUCAGAUCAGAAAAGGUCUCAGCUUUCUUUUUUCUUUUUUCCCUCCAGAAUCCUCAACACAAGUAUAUACCACAAAAAGGCCCAACUUUUUUAUAUAUAUAGAAAAAGCAGAAUCGAAGUGGAUUAGCUAUUGAAAUCAAAUGAAAGAUUUUAUGGAGAGAAAAGAGAAGAAGAAGAAGACGAAUUGCUGAGUCGUCCAGCCACGCUUUUCUUAUUUUUUAUUUUUUGAUGUGACAGGUGGAUAUUACUAUUAGUUUUCAAUUUCACUCAAAUUGAGAAUAUCCUAACAUUUUUGACAUUAUUUAUUUAUUGAAGACACAUUGCCAUUUUUAAUUUUUUUACCCAACAUGCUAAAAAUUAUCUUUCACGAUAAACCACUUUUAAAAUAGGGAAUCAAAAGUGUAAAAUAAGGAUUACAUAGAAUAGUAGUAAUUAGUUGGAAUAUUGUAUAUAUAUAUAAAAAUUAUUGGAUAGGGGAAUCAAACGAGUAAAAUAAGGAUCCCAUAGAAUAAUUAUAAUUAGUAGUUGGAAUAUUAUUGAAGAAAAAUAUUGGAAAGAAGAACUUUAGGAGGAAGGAACCAAAAAUGUCACAUGUGCCAACUAUAGCAAUUUGUAUACUUUUUUGUAAUAUGUCACCAACCGACGACACAUUGACUAGACGUUUAUUACGUUCACGCAUCAUUAUUUCAUUACCCAUCCUCUAUAUGGGUUUUAUUUUAGUAUCUUAGCCCAUACUAUCAUGGGCCUAAUAUGAAAGCCCCAACGCAUUUGCACAUAUUUGCAGUUUUGCACACACACAACAAAAGAAGACGUAAACUAUCUUUUGUUUUGAAAUUUGAACUUAGUUGUUCUUCUUCCUAUAUGGGUUUUUAUUUGUGCCCCUCCUUAUGGAAUAUGGUUAAUAUGUAUUUUUUUAUAGGUUGUUUUUCUUUAGUUUAAUUAUAGAUCAUGAUUUAUCAAAAAAAAUAUAUUCAAAGUUAUGCAUGCAUAUAUUUGUAGAUGCAUAUCUUAUGGGUAAUCUAUUAUUUUUACUAUAUAUUUAAAAUAUUCUUUUAGAUAUAGUAAUAUGUUUUGUUGAUGGUGGGUUGUGAUAUUUUCUUAAGAAAAUAUUACUUUGCCUCUAGAUAUUUAUAUCCAUGUCAAACAAGAAUCUAUUUAGCUACCCUCCUAAUCUUUUUGUGCUUAUGUAGAUGCAUCAAACACAAGGGUUACUGGACUUAAGUAGUCCCUAUAGAAUAAACAAUAAACCCAAUAAUGGGUUAAAUUGGCUUUUUCAAAAAGGAGAACUAAUGGUGCGUGGUAUCUCGACUCUGAAAGCACCCAAAUUUGAGAUAUGUCUAAUUGCAGAUGAACCAAUAAAGGAGAAAGGAUAUGUAGUGGUAUAGUCAAAUCAUGGAUACAAAAACCAUGGAUACAAUAUAAGUCGCAUGGAUAAUAGUUUCAACUAUAAAAUUUCCUUUCUGGUUAUCACAUUCCUUAUAACCACUUUUAAAGUAAGCUCACAUUCUCAACAUAAGGAAGCACGGCAAAAGAAAUGUGAGAAAUGUUAGAGAGAAAAAAAAAAUGUUAUAAAAGUCAUGUAGUAAGGAAGAACGAUGACAUGAAGUAUUUUUUUACAAGAUAAUUAUGCAAUAGUCCAUUACUACCAAAACGAGAAGGAGUGACAUCUUAUAAAACAAAAUAAAAACAAGGCCAUUCAUAACUAAAAGAAAAAAAAACAAAAAUGAUAUGUUUUGGUGGGGAGACAUGCUCGGAAAAUCAAGGUGCUUAUUGAAGUCAUCAAAAAAACGAUGAGAAUGUUCAUCACAUAUAUAUUUGUUGAGGCAAUAGCCGAGCCAAUAUCAAAUGCAUAUGCUCCCGUGACAUGUUUAAACUGAGCAUGCACCUCAAAUACAGAGAGAUUGAGAAAUAUGCCCGAACACAUGUGUAAAGAAGACUUGUGGAAUAAUUUUAAAAAGAGAAAGAAAGACACAAACGAGAAUUAUAGCCGACACAAAACCAAUAAUGAGGUUUACAUGUCACAAAAAAAGAAAAUCAUAAACCAACAAAAAUUUUGAAAGUAGAGUGGGAACAUGCAUGAGACGGACGAGAGAAUCUUGGCGGCCGUAAAUGAGAUUAUAUGCCAAUUUGUUAUAUAGCCCCGCCCAACCUUGUCCAAUGUCCAUUAUUAUUAUAUCAACACAAGGUCCUGAUCAGUUGAACCGCUGAGUUUUUUUUUUUUCAUAACAUUCCGUUUUGUGAGAGAACGUUAAAAUCUAUAGAGUCAUACCAGUUGUAAAGAAGUAAUAAUUGUCUACACAAUUAAAACUAUAUUACAAAAACACAUGAAGACUAAAACCAUGAUUGAUAUAGUGUGAUAAAGAUAUUAGUCAUCUUGACAGAGAUUUGGAUAAAAUCAUAAAAUGCAACUUGGUAACAACAACAGUGAUAUCAUCAGAUUUUUUGGGGCAAAAUGUUAUAGUUGUUUAUGCCCCAUAAUGGUGGUGACAUCGGAAGGGUAUGUGUGUAGAUAAAUAAUAUAAAGGCUGAUGGAAGGAAGAGAAGAGAAGAGAGAGAGAUGCUAUAAGAUAAGACUACAACAAAUACUAGUGGAUCAUCAUCGACAAGCCUAGUCUUUCAAACUUGGCUCCUCUUUACAACCUGUCUUUUUCACAUUUUAUUUUUCUUUGCACGCAAUUAUAUUUGUAACCUUACCAUAGACAUUUCAACAUAUAUUAAANNNNNNNNNNNNNNNNNNNNNNNNNNNNNNNNNNNNNNNNNNNNNNNNNNNNNNNNNNNNNNNNNNNNAAAACUUAAAAUUGAUCUAUUGAAAGAAAAACGAAUAUUAUGUUUUCUAAUUAUACCAAAAAAGUAUCAUCAAAAUCAUAAAACACGGUUUCAAAAUCAAUAAUAGAAUUUGAUCAGACCACCAAACACCAAAAACAAACAUUAAAAAUAUCAGUGGGUUUUCUAAAAGAUGGACCUUUCACAAAAUAAAAAAAUAUCAUAGAAUUAAAGAAUAAUUUUAAUUUUAAUUUGUCCUCCAUCAUCAUCAUCUUCUUCAUCUCUCUGUUUUAGCAUAUGAUAUAUAUUGCUUUCUCCUUCUCUUCUCUAUUCUCUCUCUCUCUCCGUUUCACCCAUUAUAGAAUCCAGUGAAUCAACCAAACAGGUAACAAACAAACACAAAUCAAAUCUCUUUUUUUUAUAUAUAUAUUAUUUUUGGUUUCCUCUCUGUUUUUGGUUGGUUGCCGAGAAAAUUGUCUGAAGAACUCUCUCUCUGUCUCGGUGACCAAAUUCCAGAAAAAGUUCCCUAAAUUAAUUGUCUUUUUGUGUUCUGUUUCAGAUUGAUUAAUAUUAAUUCCACGAAUCUUCCUACAAGAUCUGUCUUUUUUUCCAUCAUUGUCGAAGUUUUUUUUUAAAAAUAAAAUUAUGGCGGAGGAACAUCGAUGCGAGACGCCGGAAGGUCACCGUCUCUGUGUUAACAACUGUGGUUUCUUCGGAAGCUCAACGACGAUGAAUCUCUGCUCCAACUGUUACGGCGAUCUCUGCCUCAAACAGCAACAACAAGCUUCCUUGAAAUCAACCGUCGAGUCAUCUCUCUCCGCUUCUCCUCCUCCUCCUCCUCCGGCAGUGAUCGCUCCACUCCUCGAUAAUUACGCCGCCGAAUUAGAGAUCCCGACGAAGGCGGAGGAGAAGAAGCCUAUUCAAGCUUCUCCGACGGAGGAUCAACCGCAGCAACGGCCGAACCGAUGCACCGUGUGUAGGAAACGGGUCGGGUUAACCGGGUUUAUGUGCCGGUGCGGUACGACUUUUUGUGGGAGUCAUAGGUACCCGGAGGUUCACGGUUGCACGUUCGAUUUCAAAUCGGCGGGGCGUGAGGAGAUCGCCAGAGCUAAUCCGUUGGUCGUUGCGGCGAAGCUUCAGAAGAUAUGAUCGGAGGUUUCUUACCGUUGACCGAUUUCGUAAUUUACCUGAGAAUGUUCUCUCGGUGGAUCUCAGCCCUUCAUUAUGUUUCAAUAUACUUUUUGUAUUAUCGACACGUGUCGCGCGAUUGAGGCUGAGAUGGUUUCGUCAUUGAACUUUUUAAUUAUUUUCCUUCCAAAAGUAAUUAAAGUUUUUAAAAAAAUAAAAAAAUUUGUGUGGCUUUUUUGGCUUGUGUUAAAAAAAAAAGAAUAUUUCUCUUUUGGGGGAAAAUAAAGAAAAUAUAUAAAAUUGUGUCUCGCUUUGUUGGAAAUUUGUUUAUCGAGUUACCGACAAAAUAAAGACGGUUUAAUCACCUACUGACCGGUUUUAAAAAAAGAUAAAACACUAGUUGAAGGUCGGUUAACAUUUGCAUGGAAAAGCUUCUAGUGAACCCAACCAAACCAAUUUGUAUGUAGCUAGUAGUUUAACUCAUUUGGAAUAGUAGACAAUCCAUAUGAAGUCUAAAAUAGUAGUCAGAAAUGUUUGAAUAAAAUUUUCAAAUAAUAUAAAUAUGUAGUACAAUAUAUUGCAUAUUUCAUUAUAAAAAUACUAGUUGAAGGUCGGUUAACUCAUUUGUACUAGAAAUUCCAUAUGAAGUCUAAAAUAGUAGUCAGAAAUGUUUGAAUAAAAUCUCCAAAUAAUAUAAAUAUAUAGUACAAUAUAUUGCAUAUUUCAUUAUAAAAAAAAACUUCAAUAAAACUAAACUAAAACUGAAAAAAAUACAAAAUUAUGUGAAAUAAGGAAAAAUAUCUAAAACAUGAAACUGGAGACACGAUAUAUGUUUCUAAAAGAAUUUAACACAAUUAAUUCAUUGGAAACAGCAAAAAAAAUAUUAAACCGAACGGCAGAAUAAAAAUCUAAUAAAGACUCACACACACGCUCACUAACUUCUCCUCCUCGCCUAUAUAUAUACGUUCAAGUAGUUUCAUGCAUAAACAAAACAAUUCUGAUCAUCACCAUCAUGAUGAACAUAUCUAAACUCACUCCUUGGUUUCUUUUCUUGUCUCUGAUUCUUCUAUCAGGUAUAUAUAUAUAGUUUGCUAUUACUUUCUUCUUCUUGAUCUGCUUAAUCAAUUUUGUAUAUCAUCAGGUUAAUUUGUUUUUUUUUUCUUCUUCUUAAUCGUUCUAGAUUACAAGGUAAGAGGGUCGAUUUCUCCAUCUAGCGAGCGGCCACAAGAAGGUGGUAUUUUUGGUUUCAAACCUAAAGCGUUGUUUGUGUUCGGAGACUCGUACGCAGACACCGGUAACACACCUUUGAUUGCUGCCUCGUGGAGGUUUCCCAACGGAAUCACUUUCCCGGGAAAGCCUACCGGGCGGUUUACCGAUGGUCGUGUCUCCACUGAUUAUCUAGGUAUGGAAUCUCCACAUGUCAUAACUUAUUCUGACAUUUUAUCAAACAAAAUCUUUGGCAUAUAGUAUACUAUUGUAAACAGGUUGCUAACUCAUUAUAGCGAUCUACCAUAACUCUUACAUAGUUACAUACUUACAUCUACGUUGCAUUGCAUUGCAUAAGAAAACGGAAGUCAAUAAAUUAUGUGGUUAUAUAUAUGUUGGUAACAUUAAAGAGUUCCUUAUAUAUAGUUCGUUUUUAAAUAUUUUAUAACCACAUGAAACCUGAUUAACUACGUUAACGUUUUCGCUCGUACAAAAUGCGAAAUAUAUCUCAUGUUUAAUGCAAUCCGGUUGCAAAAUCAUUAGCUAUUUCCGAAAAAUGUUUGCAUUGCUAGAUAUGUUUUUUAAUCUACAUAUUGUAUUCAUAUACAUUAUACAUGAACACACAAAAAUAACAUUAACCGCGUUAUGAAUAAUUCAUUUUGCGUACAAAAGCAUAUUAUAUCAACAAUUAUUAACUUUGACUCGUAUUAUAACAUUUAGCGAAGUAUAUUGGACUUAAGACGCCGAUCGUAUACAAAUGGGGCAGAUACGGACAACCGAGAGGACUAGUAAAAAAAGGAAUGAAUUUCGCAUUUGGUGGAGCCGGCGUCUUUGAGACAAUGUUCAAAAUAGUUCCUAACGCAAGUGUGCAGAUCGAUUCCUUAGAACGACUCAUCCGGAAAAAAGUUUAUUCACCGGCCGAUCUCAACUCCUCCGUCGCUUUCUUCAGCAUAGUUGGCAAUGACUACCUUACUUACGACAGACGCAACGGUUCUGAACAGGUAUACAAUCUUCUCUUUUCCGACUAGGGUUGUCACAACAAAUAUAAAACUGAUUGGUUAGUCCUAAUAUAUCUAAAAAGAUAGUUAUGUAAAGUCAAAAUUGGAGAAAAUUAGUUUUUAUUUAAGAUUGAUGAUGAUUAAUUAAAAUAUGUAUGAUGAUGGUUAACUAUUUCUUUUGCAAAUAUUAAAAUGUGGCAGGGUCGUCCAGCACUUAUAAGGAGAGUUGUGAAACAGAUUUUGUUGGAUGUGAAGCGAAUUAAGGAUUUGGGAGUGAGAAAGGUGUUGGUGGCUCUAUCGCCGCCGCAAAAAUGUUUGCCGUUGCUUGCCACUCCUAGAGGCUGUGACACUAACGACACCUCGACGAACCUUCACAAUAGUCUUCUCCGUGAAGGACUGACAAAACUAAACGAUGAGGAGAUUAACAAAAAUGCUAAAAGUUUCAUCGUGUUUGAUCUCCACAAUGCUUUUGCGACCAUAUUCAAGAACAAAGGAGUUCCAGGUACGUUAGCUUUUCAUUUAGUUUGCAUAUGGAAGUUACAACUAUAGUUGUCAUAAAAACCUACUAGUAACUUAGUAAUGGAUGAUGGAAUAGCAAACGCAACUUUGAUCAAAUAGAAGAUAUACCAAAAAUAUGUUAUUGUGUAUUAUAAAGAGUGUACAUGAAUGUUGAAUUUGAUCAGGUGUUUCGACAUUUCCGGAACCAUUGAAGGCAUGUUGUCCAACAAAACGAGGCAAAUCUUGUGGAGAUGUAGGCUUGAAUGGUGAAAAGUUGUACAGUCUUUGCAAAGAUCCAAAAUCAUUUUUCUUUUGGGACAAUGUUCAUAUCACUGACCAAGGAUGGCGUUCUGUAUUUUCUCUUCUUUUACAUGAUUCACAAUUUUGAAGUACAUAGAUCAUAUAUGUAUACAACAAUUAUCAUUAUAAGAAUAUAUGCGAUUAAUGAAUUUUCUUUUAUAAUUCCAAGUAAUGUUUUCUAUAACGAUAGCGUAUAAUCAAUGAAUCUACUGUACAUUAAACCCAUAACAAUCAAAUUCCGACCAAGCUAUUUAUUAGCUAGAGUCAAAACCAAGGGGGGCGCAAUUAACGAAUCAAAACUUUAGGGGGAGAAUAUUAAAAACAAAUAUCGAAGCAACAAGUUAUCUAACACUUUUAGCUACGAUUUAAAAAAAUAUCGGGGUAAUAUACUAAAAGACCAGAACUAGAGGGCCAAGUAGACAAAGAAUCUUGCAAAGUCUUUCACUUUUGUUUGAUUCUCAUCAUGGCUUCACUUUUGUUCCUUUUCGCUUCAAUUUCACGCUUUUUCCUAAAUUCGAUUUUGCGUUGUUAAAUCCUCAAAGUCGUUUUCAAAGGUUUGAUUUUUCCGAUGAGAUCUCCAACGAAGACUACACCGGCGAUGUCUCCGUCUUCAAUUUCCACGGAGAAAUCUCCACCUCCGUCUGAUACUUCAAUGGCCAUAGUAGCUUUCGAUAACUCCACUGCUCACUUCUCUUCGUCUCCAUCGCCUCCACAUUCUCUUGACCAUUCCAGUGAAUCGGAGAAGGAAGAAGAGAAAUGUAAACCCGAUGGUAGGAGAAAGAAUAAUCAUUUGAAGAUUGAGGAAAGUCCAUCUCCGGUUGUGGUGGUUCACAAUCACAAUCUCUCUGUUAAAGAAGUGGUUCCUCCUGUGAUGACGACGAGGAAGACUGCGAGGGUUGGUUCUGGGAGAAGUAGUGGGCAACGAUCUGGAGCUGUUUCGGCUAUUCUGAGAAGGUCUAGGAGGGAAGAGGUGGUAAAGUUUUCAGCUUUAGGGUUUCGGUUAAGUGAGGUUGUGUUGGCUUUGAUUUCGUUCUCAAUCAUGGCUGCUAAUAAAACCCAAGGUUGGAGUGGUGAUUCUUUCGAUCGUUACAAGGAGUACAGGUAUGUUUUUGCUGUGUUUGUGCUUCUUCUUGUUAGAUGGUGAUGUUUCUUGAAUCUUGGUUCAGGGUUUAGUUUAGGGUUUUAGGGGUUUGAAAUGUUUCAAGCUGAAUCACCAGUGUCGGGUAUAAGAUAAGCAAUUCGAAUUACUUUGGUAAAUGUGAAUUGUAAUUCAACGCUCGUGGUCCAAGUCUAUGUUUUGGUUGAACUUGAUGAAGGUCUUAAAGGCAGUACCUUUCUUCCUUUUAAAAAAAAUCGUUUGCAAAUUCUAAACACUUGCAGUCAGUUUAUUAUGCUUUGAUUUUGAGACUAUACUGUACUGAUAUCUAUGUGUUACCUUCUGAUAUCUGUGACAGGUUUUGUCUCUCUGUGAACGUGGUUGCUUUUGUAUAUUCUAGUUUUCAAGCAUGUGACUUAGCGUACCAUCUUGUCAAAGAGAAGCACUUGAUCAGCCACCACCUACGACCUCUGUUUGAGUUCAUCAUAGAUCAGGCAAGUCAUUAACUUACUAUCACUCGCCAUUUUAAAGAGCCUUAUCUUGUACUCUAUGGUAUUCCUUUGUUACUCUCGUUCUUGUGUGGUUAACUUGGUUGCAUUUGGUGAUGAGAAGACUUGGUUAUAUAGAUUAUUCCUGAUACUUUGACUUGCACUCUCAGCUUUGUCUCCUGUGAGUCAAAGAAAAACACUUUGUUGUUAACGUACAAUGUUGUGACACUUAUCAGCUCUUUUAUUUGGUUUCCUUUUUCCUUAUUCUUUAGCAUUUAGCAUAUGUGGAAAGGGACUAUCUUAUAGUUAGGGAAACAUAGUGAAAGUGACAGUCAUACUUGUUUGCCAAAAUACCCCCUUCAUUACGUUAUUGAAAACUCCUAAACUUUUUUUUAUUUCUUUGAAAAAUGACAAGCUCGUCUCCUGCAAAACAUUUCAAAGCAGGUGUAAAACCAAUUGAGUUAGGAAUCAAAGAAAUGUUUGUUUUGUUUUUACUGUCAGGUACUUGCAUAUCUGCUUAUGUCUGCUUCAACAGCAGCAGUCACUCGCGUUGAUGAUUGGGUUUCAAACUGGGGAAAAGACCAAUUCACUGAGAUGGCGAGUGCCUCGAUUGCUAUGUCCUUCUUGGCCUUCCUUGCCUUUGCUUUUAGUUCCCUCAUUUCAGGUUAUAACCUCUUCAACCAAGACUCACUCUGAUCCUCCAACUUUUUUUUGUAUAGUUGUCCACACUCCUUGUGUGAAUGUAUAAUAAAAAAAAGAUCAAUAUAUCUUAGCCAUGUAAUUAUUAUUAUUAUACUUUGAAUUUUGUAGACUAUAAAGGUUAACAAAAACUUUGUAAUCUUUCGAGGUUAAUAAGAGGGGCAAAAAAACCUUAUUCUGUUGUCAAUGGUUACUAAAAUCUGAACCACUAAUCAAAGACCAGAGCAAAUAGCAACAACUUCUGGUUCUUGGGCCUUAAGAAGGUUCUCGAUUGGGUCAUCCUCAUUGCAUGGGUCCUUAUACAAAUCUUAAUGAGACCUCAAGACUUUUCCUUUGAGCAUUUCGAACCUUGAAGGAAACCAAACCCAAGGGCCCUUGUAAAAAAAUGAAUUUUCAAGGGUUUUGUUGUGGUUUAUGAAUGGAGAAAGGGCAGUUUAGUCAUUUACGGUUUGGACUCUCUGUCUUCCCCCUACGCCUGGAGAAUAUCACUCGUCGUCGAACCAUUAAAGAGGGUUGUGCUUUUUGCUUCGACUCUCUGGGGGGUUUUAAAUAGAGAGAGAGAUAGAGAGACUCAAUUCUCAGUUCGAGAUAAAGCUAGGGUUUUUUAGUUUUCUCAGAUAUCUUUAACUUCACCAAAGUUCGAAAAUGGUUGCUACGAAGAGACUUGGUGAUCACAGCGACUCCAACUCGGAUGACUCCCUCACGAGGAAACGUGACGAUGACGUUGACGCGAUGCGCAGGAAGAGGAAGCAACUAAAGACGACGACAGCUACAUUGGUACCUCCCUCUGCUUCAAAGAUCAAAUGGACUAAGAACGAUGAGCUUGUCAUUCUCGGGGUUAGUAGUUAGUGAAUUCUCUACUCAGGCUGUCUUAUCUUUUGUCUUUUAAAAAAAAAAAAAAAUUUUGUGUUUUGUGUAUAAAAAGGGUAUUGUGGACUUCGAAAAUGAAACGAAAUUGAGCUACAGAUCCGACCGGGAUGCCUUGUACCAUUAUAUAAAAGAUUAUGUAGAAUCAAACUUUUCGAAGAGGCAGCUCAUAGAUAAGGUGAGGAGCUUGAAGAGAAAGUUUAUAGAUAAUCAGGCGAGAUCUAACGAUGGGAAAGAGCUUUCUUUUACUGAUACUGAUGAUGAUGCCAUCUUCAAAUUGUCAAUGAUGAUUUGGGCCAAAAAUGAAACAGAGCAUGUUGGUGAGGAUCUGAACCAAGCAAAGGUGAGUCUGUGUUAGUUCUGUUUCUACCAAUCUCCUUGCUACAAUCUGAAUUCAUGAUGUAAAACAUAAGUUGUAUUACUAAUGUGUUAUGAAUCAAUGGUCUUGUUUUGAAUAAGGAUGUUCCUUCUGGGGAGCAAGAGAUUAAGAAUGUGUCUUGUGCGGAGCAGGAGCAAGUGAGUGUAGAAGUUGAGAAUGGUGAGAAAGAGACAUUGGACCAAGCCAAGGUGAGUGUGUUUGUUCUGUUUCUACCAAUCUUUUUAUUACCACCUCAAAAGAUGAUGUAAAAACAUUUGUAUUUACUAAUGUAUAAUGAAUGACUGAGCAUGGUUUCUUGUUUUGAUUUAAGGACGUGCCUUGUGAGGAGCAAGAGGAUAUGGAUGUGCCUUGUGAGGAGCAAGAGGGUAAGGAUGUGCCUUGUGAGGAGCAAGAGAGGGUGAGUGUGGAGAAUGAUAAUGGUGAGCAAGAGGAUAUGGAUGUGCCUUGUGAGGAGCAAGAGGGUAAGGAUGUGCCUUGUGAGGAGAAAGAGAGGGUGAGUGUGGAGAAUGAUAAUGGUGAGCAAGAGAUGAGUGAAGAAGAUGGUGUGGGUGAGUUAGGUGUUAUGGAGGACACACUUGACUCUGGGAUCACGUUACUAGAUUCAGCUAAAAAUGGUGAGAAAGAUAAGAGUGAAGAAGAAGGUGUGUAUGAGUUGGGUGUUCUGCAGGGGAUACUUGAGGGGGAUACAUUUUAUCAAAACUGUGGUAAAUUUCAACAGAAGAUGCUGCGUCAGAAUUUGGAAAAGAUUGGAGCUGAAAAAAGAAAACAGCUAAUCGACGAAUGGAACGCGUUGAUGGUUGAGGAGCUGAAAUUGUAUGUCAAGAAACUAACUUUCUUGGCAGAGCUGCUUGAAAUGGGAGAAGUUUCUCCUUAGUUCGUAAGGAAGAAUAAAGUAUGCUCUUGGAAUGAUUUCGAUGUUUUAGGUUCCUUCUGCUAUUUCCUUUCCAUCUAUUUCUUCUUGUGUUGUGUUUUAGCUAUCAUUUUCGAACUUUCAAGUAGCGUACGCUAAAAGGGUUGUGUGACUUCUUUUGUCUUAUGGUGUAACUUGUUCUAUGGAAUUAUCCUUAUUUCUUUUUCGAAUGACUUGAACAACCCUCACUGUUGCAUGCACAACUUGGUAAGUCUAGGAUCCCAAGUGAGUAUAUAUUUCUCCUGAAUCCUGAAUUAUACCUCGUUCUAUGUCGAAGUCGCCACAAUACUACUCUUCCUUCAAGAUUUUCGUACUUCCAUGUUCCAAUGCUCGCCAUUUCUUCAUUCAGCUCAUCAAACUAGUCAUUCUUUGGUGUCAUAGGAUGAGAAAAAUAUGAUGCAUCAAUGAUCCUUUCUUGAUCUCUAGAGUAACAUGUAGAACCUCAGUGAACUCUCUUGAUCUCUUUGUUCUUGUUUAGUUCUUUUUGGGCUUGGGUUUAAAAAACGAUCCUUUAGUUAGGCUCUAACUUUGUGGCACAUUCGAGAAAAAACACAACACUUAAAGCCAAGAUUCGCAUUUUGCCACAUGCCGUUAUGAUAGAUAUUUUUUUGUACUAGUCUCAACGAAGACCAUAGAUCAAAACAUACAGUAUUUAUGAAUAUAGAAAUUAGUUAUACGAAAAAAAAAAGUGAUUGAUGUGAAAUGUAAUGAAGACGAAAAGAAAAAAGAAAGAAAGAAACGACGAAUUUGGACGAAUUUGACAAGAGACCCGCAAAUAUAUGCUUAGGGGACCUACACUUCACAUUUCAACUUUAUCAUCACACUAAACACCAAAAUCCCCGACACAUUUAUACAAACAAAUUUCCAAUUUUUUUUCUUCUCACUCUCACUCUCUCUCUCUCUAUCCUGUAGAUUCUCUUCAAAGCUCAGGCCUUUAGGGUUCUUUUGGGAGUCUUUAUGAGCUCUGGAAAUCACACUCUAUGCCUCUUAAUGUUAUUUGGUACGCCUUUGUAUCUCUACUCUUGCUCCUGCAUUUUGCGAUCUUUGUUGCUGCUUUUGAUGAGAUUUGGGGACCAUCUUCAGGGUUUUUUUUUUAUUUUUAAUUUGUAUCUAUUUUUUCUGGGCACUGAGCUUGUGCAAUGUCCAGUGGGAUUGAGCUUUCACUCAUUUUGGAUUUGAUGUGAAUCACUUAUAAAUCUCUUGAUGAGUGAACAUCUUCUUCGAUAUGUUUUUUUAAAGUUGGAUCUUCUUCAUUUAAUUAAGCUAGUGUCUUUUAGCAUUUUGUUUAUGUUAGCUUCAUGAGAUCUGGGAUCGAGGGUGCUAGAACCUCUUGCUUUGAUUUCACAUUUUAUGGAGUUUGAAUUUGUUAAUCUCUUGUUGGGUUUGGUUAGUAUUUUGCUUACGUUUUCAUUAGCUGGAAGUGACUUGAACUUGGCUUGUGGUUUUGAUUAGUUUCUUUCUAUUAAAAGUUUGGGGUUUCCCUACAAAAAUGUGUUCUUUUUGUUAAUUUAAAGUCUAAAGUAUCUAUCUGUACUUGUGUAGGGUUCAUCAUUUGAGUCUGUAAGACUAACUAUAAUGACUUUUCACUGUUCAUCUCCUUUUUAAAAUCUGUUGUUUCCCUUUACUUCUUAAAGCUCCUUACUUGUUCAUCAUUUCAUGUCUCUGUUACAUCUUCCUUUCUUCUUUCUUCCCUUUUACUCAUUAGUAACAUUGCUCUUUGAUUAUCCAAAAGGUCUGUUUCUCAUUACUUACUUUUAAUUGUGAUUGUUGCAGGAUGUUGUACUCGGAUCUUUAGGAUGAACGGAGGAAGAUGAGUCUCUCACGGUCUUUCAGUAACAAAGUCGUGAUAAAAAUAGCAUGAUUUAAUUUCUCACUACUUGUUUCUGAAUUCUUGGAAUGAUAUCGGUAUGAGGAGCUGUCCACUGUUGUAAACUGUAAGUUAUCACCAUGGGAUCGUUCGUUGGUGCGUGUGAAAUUGUUGAGGAGAAGGAUGUGGUCAGGUUGGCUAAACAUUCUGGCAGAUAUUGUAUGGCACCUUUGGGAUCAAGUAGAGAUAUAGAGCAGCGUCCUGCAUUGAAGUCAGAGUACCAAGGUUCUGUGGAGUAUGACAUUGAUCAGCUUUUCCAGUCUAUAUCUAUAAAACCAUCACCUCGAAGAGUGAUGGGAUCUUCUUUCCAUCAUUUUGAGACUAGCGCAAGUGCUGGUACGAGCAGGAGAACAAGUGCUAGCACGAGCAGGAGCACAAGCCCUUCAAAAAAAGGUGCUAUGAAAAAGCCCUUUCCCAUGGGAACACCUCGAUCACCAAGAGUUGGCCCCUCUGAUUCAAUAUCACUGAAGCAGGCUCUGAGAGAUCUUUGCAUCUCAAAGGCAUCAGAAAUGGCUGCUCAAAAACGUUUAUCAAAAUCUGCAGCUGCAUCUCCGAGGGUUUCUGAAGCAGACAGGAUAAAGAGUCUUUAUAGACAAGUUUUGAAUGAAUCUGCUGGCAGGUCUGGGCUUCCUGUGGACAAGGGUAAAAGCUUGGUUGAAAUAUCUUUGACGCCGGUAGUUGAUAUACCCAGCUCCUCCCAGAGUAUACCUCAGCAGUUUGAUGUCCUUGAGACGGAGCCUUCUAACUCCAUUUCUGAACCAUCUCAAGCUAAAAUCCUUCUCCCUAUAAAUGGAAACAGAUCAGGAUUAAAGAUAGUGAGAUGUCAAAUGUUGGAAACUUCGUUACUGCAUAAGUCCAACAAAUCUGGAUCUUCUCUCAGUUCUAGUAGUGGAGAUUAUGAGGUACAGCUAGAUGAAAAUACGACAUAUAUUCCUCAUGUUGUCAUUGAAGAUAGUUUGGUAGAAAUAGACAAACAUGUUACCUCGCUACCUUUGUGUUCUGGCAGCAAAGUUGAUUCUGAAGAGCUAGACAAGAGCAUCGUUUCAUCAGCUAGGCUGAAAAGUGAGCCAACAAUUCUGUUCUCAGAGCUAAAAGGAAAGUUGGAUAAUGCACCUAGUUCAGGAACCGAGAACGGAAAAUUGGUAAGCAAGGUAACAAAAUAUAUCCCUCGUCCUAAAUCGCGGCCGAAAAGGAAGAUUUUGCUUAAAAGGAAGUUAAAAAUCGCUAUAGCAUCUACUACGAAAAUGGUCGAGAAAGUUGAUACUUCCUUAGAGCCUAGUGCAAGUGAACUUCUGUGCCAGAAAUGUCAUUGUGCGUUAAAGAGCAGCAGCACUGAAAACCAUCCGCCCACAAAUACUAAUGGAACUGAGAAAUGCUCAAAUGAUUUGAGCUCUUCCUCAAAAAUUGUCAGUAUAGAAGCAGAUCAAGAAUCACUCGCAAGCCCGCCUCUUAACCGCAUUUUGAAGUGUAAUAAAGAGCCGAAGAAAGAUUCCUCCAGUUCUUGUGAGGUUAGUGAUAGCGAUGAAGCUGUUGUUGUCUUGAAACAAGAAGUAUCUUCAAGCAGUUACAGUGGAAAAGGUGAUGCAGAUGAACAGAUAAGAGAGCAUCCAACUUCCAGUGAGAAGUUUGAAUUCUCGUUGAGCUCAAAGAAUAGCCUAGGCGAUUAUAGCAGCAGCACAAGCAUAAGUGAGGAGAGCAAUCUGAGCAGGUUUAGCUGUGGCAAUAAACCUCACAUGUCUAUGGAUGUGAGAUGGGAAGCAAUUAAGCAUGUGAAGUUGCAGUAUGGCUCUUUAGGACUCCGACAUUUCAACCUUUUGAAAAAGCUUGGAUGUGGAGAUAUCGGAACAGUCUAUCUUGGUGAGCUGGUUGGUACAAACUGCCUGUUUGCUAUAAAGGUCAUGGACAUCGAGUUCUUGGCCCGAAGGAAAAAGACACCAAGGGCACAGGCAGAACGGGCAAUCCUUAAAAUGUUGGACCAUCCUUUUCUGCCUACCUUGUAUGCGCAAUUUACUUCUGACAAUUUAUCGUGUUUGGUAAUGGAGUAUUGUCCUGGUGGUGAUCUUCAUGUCCUGAGGCAGAAACAGCUCAGCAGGUGUUUUUCCGAACCUGCAGCUAGGUAAGAUUACAUUUCUCAUUGUUUUUUAUUUGUAAUGCUCACAAAGUCUUUCUCUAGUUAGCAAAUUCAGUGGUAAUAUUGAAACUGAUGAUACUGUUAACAGGUUCUAUGUAGCAGAAAUCCUCCUUGCUCUGGAGUACUUACACAUGCUUGGUGUUAUAUACCGAGAUUUGAAACCAGAGAACAUUCUCGUCCGAGAAGAUGGUCACAUCAUGCUUACAGAUUUUGACCUCUCACUCAGAUGUGCAGUGAACCCGACUCUUCUCAGAUCAACUUCUCCACCUGAGAAAGAUCCUGCAAGGAUGUCAGGUCCAUACAACCCAUCCAAUUGCAUACAACCUCUAUGUAUUGAACCAUCGUGUCGGGUCCCAUGUUUCAGCCCUAGGCUCUUAUCAACCCAAGCUAGAAACCCAAAACCAAAAAGAACGAAAAGGCCAGAUCUUCUGACCCAGCAGUUCAGGUCAUUGCCUCAGCUUGUGGCUGAACCAACCGAAGCAAGAUCAAAUUCGUUUGUGGGAACACACGAGUACUUGGCGCCGGAGAUCAUCAAAGGAGAAGGACAUGGUGCUGCAGUAGACUGGUGGACAUUCGGGGUCCUUCUCUAUGAGCUUUUAUAUGGAAAGACGCCUUUCAAAGGUUACGACAAUGAGGAGACACUGUCUAAUGUUGUAUACCAGAACCUCAAGUUUCCUGACAGCCCGCUCGUGAGCUUCCAGGCAAAGGAGUUGAUCAGAAGGCUGCUUGUGAAAGAUCCAGAGGGUCGUCUCGGGUCAGAGAAAGGAGCUGCAGAGAUCAAAAGACACCCUUUCUUUAUAGGAUUGAAUUGGGCUCUCAUCCGAUGCGCCAUACCGCCUGAGCUACCAGAUAUCUAUGAGAAUGGUGCAACAGAAGCAGCUUCUUCUGAAGGAAAUAAUAGGUAUCUUGAAUGUAAAGCCAUUGGAGAUCAUCUCGAGUUCGAGUUGUUUUAGAAGGUAGGAAAGACAUUAAGGUCUAAGCAGACAGGAAAAUUUUCUCGUUAAGCUAUUAUCUAUUUCUAAGUCUCAUAGGUAAAGUUCUACCUCUCUUCUUUCUUAUUUGCUUACUAUGAUCAAGAAUCUGAAUUGAAAUCGUAAACAGUAAGAGAUGAAUUGAAAACAAUGUAUGAAACAGACAAAUUCGAAUCACACCAAAUCUAAGAGUCUAAAAGUAUCAUUGAUUCAUUGGCAUGGCUGAAGAAUGAGUUGUAUGCGAUUGGCUCAGUAAUUAAUGAAGAAAUCUGUUCAACUUUUGCAUGGAUUUUUCGUGCAAUUGGUUAAAACUUCAAAGUUAUAGAAUCCCGACCCAGCAGGUGAAUAUAGGACAAUCUCAUCUCAGCCAAGUGCCUAAUAUUCUUUUAAGGAAUUUAGAUUAAAGCCUUUUUCUUUACUUUUCAUUUGGCGGGAUUUGCUUUGUUUUGGAAUGGUGUCACGGCAAAGCAAUCUCCUUUAAGAAGGUUGAAGCAAAAGCAAAAGCACAAAAAAAGAAAGAAAACACACUCAAAGUAAAUAAAUAGAGUUGAAGUGUUUGGAGGAGACAACUGACCAAAGGAACAAGAAGAACAUGAGUAACAGCAACUCAGGAGCUACCAUUUCGACCAAAAGUAAGCUAUCAAUGGACGAGAACCAAGAAGAAGAGAUAUGGCGAAAAUUUCAAGCCCGGGAAGAAGAGAUUGAGAGGAAGAAGAUGGCAGUUAAGGACAAGAUUCAACAGCGACUUGGGUUUGCAGAAGAAGCCACAAGAAGCUUGACCCAGACAUUAGAAGUAAGUGAACAAUAGAAAUCAUACUCUUCAAAAAUACAUAUGAACGCUACUCAACUUUCUAUGAAAACAUAUAUCCGUAUUAAAAAACACCAAUGUUGUUUCAAAGGGGCUAGAAAUUAUGGGAGAUCCAAUGAGGAAGGAAGUGGGGGUGGUAAGAAAGAAAAUUGAGAUGGUAAAUCGAGAUAUCAAAUCUUUGUCUCAGAGCUGCCAGAAGAAGGUUUCAUAUUCUUUAUUAACAAUCCUGCUUCUUUUUACCUCUACAACUCUGUUUAUGUCCAUCAAUAGUCACACCAGAUGCUAAAUAAAUGCCAGGAGAAGGAAUACAAAGAGGUACUGGAGGCUUUCGACGAAAAGAACAAAGAGAAAGUGCACCUCGUUUCAAUCUUAAUGGAGGUAAAUCGACCGUACCCUAUCACAGAUCUGAUCUCUAAGACUAAUAACUUUGUGGGUUGCUUGUGAUACUGAUCGUAAUCUCGGUGAUCUUCUUGGCAGCUACUGGCUGAAAGUGAAAGAGUAAGGGUGAAGAAGCUGGAUGAGAUCAACAAGACUGUUGGGUCCUUGCGAUAAUGAAUUUUACCUUCUACAUACCUGUUUGCCUGUUUGACGUUUUGGCAUUAUGUAUGGAUUUAAAUUCCUCUCUUAAAGUGAGAAAAAAUGUAAAAGAAUGUUAUGGAAAAAAGGUUUGCCUCACGGCUUUAAGAAAUUCAUACCUAAAGAUGGUUUUGCUCCCUUGUGAGUUUGAGGUGGCUCAUUCAGAUUAGAAGGGUUUUGUAUUCUUCCAGCAACUUGGGGAUAUCAUUAAUCCGCAACUGAGAAUAGCAAUCAAAUUCGAUGUGUCAGAACGCAUGUGCAAAUAAUGAACCUGAUGUGUGUAAGAUGCAUAAAAGUUGUAGACGGAAAAAUAAGGAAGAGAUAGAGUAAUGCAUAUAGUCAAUACUGAUAUGCAUUACAGUGGUAAACAUCACAGAGAAAACUAAGAAAAAGAGUACAUCUGCUGAUAAAAACUUAAAAAAUAGACUAUUUAGACUCAGAGCCACAGAAUUCAAGGUUAGAUUCAUAUGAUGAUGCAAUACGUUGAUUGAUUGGUUUCAAACAUUCAUGAGAGCUAAUAACAGGAGGAAUUACGCGGUAUUACCUCGGAAGAACUUUUGAUAUGAUAAAACGUAAAGGUUUCCGUCCCGGGGAGGCCAAAGUUAGCAAAUGUUAAGCUGCUCUGUGCUCUGAGACACCCACCACGAGAGAAACAAAUGAGUGAUGCAAAGGAAGAAGCAAAUUUAAAAUUUCAUAGCAUGUAAUAGUGUUCAGAAGGGGUACAAAACAAUUAUUUUUACAAUUGCCUUUAUUGCGAGGAUUUCACAAUCAUAAGAAAUGAAUCACUUUCGAUAAAAUUUCUCAAUUAACAAGUCUCAAGGGUAUAUUCAAGAAACAAAAACGAUAUCCAUGUCAAUUUUUUAUAUCCCUCCUAAACUCUCACUGGAUUUAGCUAAAUCAUAUCAUGUGGUGAUUCCAGGGGAAUAACCAUCUAAAUCAACACGCAAAGAUAAUCCAAGUAAACAAGAACCAAAUCCAAAAUAAUUGGCAUGGAUAAGACAGAACUCACAUGUAUUUUCGAGUAACCAGUCGCUGAUAAUCUCGAAGUAAGGAACAAAGCUCUUUAAGUUGUAAAGUUGUCGGAGUGGACUCUUUCCAAUGCUGACGAAGUGCUUGAGCUGACAUCUUUUCAUUGAGAAGUAUUUUAGUACAGGAUAAUACAAUUAUACAUCCUGAAAAACAGAAAGGAAAGAUCACCUGAAUCAUGGAGACCCGAUCAUCACCUACAUCUCCCUCAAUUAAUCUUGAUCCUAAUUCAACAAAUUCUUGAUCUUCUGACUCCUCUGGAAUUUGAAGACGCAGCUCUGAUGAAACAGAUAUUCCCAUUUUCUUUUGCAAUUCAACAAUACUGGAUAUAUCUUGUCCCCUUUCCUGCGGUGAUCAGACUCUUGAUUGUUUAAACAAGUUGAAAAACCAAUUUAUGUAGGAACUCCAAUUUACCUUAUUCAACUCUCUCUCUGACACCUUGAUUUCAGGAGGAUUUUUAACUUGAGGUAAAGAAGACCUCUUAGCUAUCGGAUCAUCUGAGAAAAGCAAAACAUAAUAGGGUGAGGUUAUGCUGGAAGCAGAUAAAUUUUGAAUUAAAUCGUUAACCAUAGUUACACUUACACAUACAUUUUUUCAUCAAACACAAUAAGAACAUUUUCAGAGUUCACUACUUCAUUACUUCCAUAACAUACUUCGAUAAAUAAAAAAACGCAUGCUAGAAAUUGAAAUGCAGCUGCCUACAAUUUAUGACCAACACCACCAUGAUUGGUUCGUCUAGCGAUACUAUUUUAAUAUAUAAAAUAUAUCUAAAGAUAAUAUAGAUGAUGUAAGAUGGUACCUAAGUUGGGAACUUUUGGGAGGUAAAACAUCAGUACAAAUAAGAAUAAAAUACCUUCGGGCACCAACCACCAGAGAUCACCGAAGGUCAAUUUUCCAUCAAAACCACCAAUUAAAAGAUGACGAGCCCCAAUAGAAGUCAUGGUAUGGUAAGCUCGAGGAGGAGGGGGCUCAUUGCUUAUUGGUAAGCGCUUCCACUGAGCGGUUACUGGAAUGUGGAAAUAAAACUUUAGCAGAAACAAUAACAAAGCAUAUAAAAAGUGCACAAAAGAAAUAUGGUAAACUACUCUACGUCACAGUUAAUUAUCUUAGUAGAUUUUACUACUGUAAAGAACUAGGUGGAUUUUAGGUUGCUUCGAGAAAUUUCUGUGAUUACGAUCUAAUUGCACGAGUGAGCUAACAUCUACCUCUGUCCAAAAUUAUAGUGUCAUUAUAAUAUACAUCAUAACGACUCAGCCAUCCACCAGUUCCAUGUCCUCCAAAUAAGAGAAGCUGCACGAACAAAAUUAAUGAUGCGAGUAUGUAGGUCACGAAUGCAUCCAUCACGAAACCAAAAAAAAAAUGAUUAACAUCUUGAUCACAGACAUAGAUUAAAAGAAGAUAAUAGGAGCUGAAAAUACAUACGUAAUGCCCUCCAGAUGUAACUGUAUGACCACAUCGAGAUGAUGGUGCUUGACCAGGAAGCUUGAGUUGGGUCCAUCCAGGUGUUUCACGCUCUUUCUUCCACAACAAAUGAAAACCACAAUAUGAUCAAUAAACAGAAAAUAAGACAAAUGAAGAGAGAGUCUACUAGUUUCAAUGAAUAUUUAAGAAAUUAAAGGAUGAACCUUCAUCUAUCAGACCCUUCAAAGCCCACAAAUCACCCAUGAUUGGGCCACCACCUCCUGCCAAAGAUAACCAUAUUACACGCCAUAUUUUCAGUUUAGUUGUUAUAGACUCUAGCCAAACAAACUGUGAUCAUGACCUAUCCCUUAGGAUUGCAAGAGAAUUUCUACAAUACAUAUAGCAUCAAGACACCCAGUUAGAAAACUUCAUUAACAAUAAAAUCGAUAACUGUUAGUGAUGCAGAAAUCAAACACAUCAACAUCCUAUAACAUUGUUUGAAGAAUGAAAUGCGGAAUAGCAGCUAAGUAACAUUUGGCUUUUGUAUCUUCCACGAUUCUGUAUCUUGAGAAAUCACACUUAUCAAUUCAGUGUUCAGUACAAUAAGGGGGGGGGGGGGGGGAACUUAAGUAACAAUAUGCUAAGCAUCUCAACGUAAUUAAGGACUCGAUCAAGGUGAAUUCAGAAGCUAACAGAGAGGGCCGAAAAAGGUUUAGAGUAGUCUACCUCGGCCACCGAAAACAAGUAACCGUUUCUCAACCAUGGUGGCCGUAUGGCCACAUCUAGGAGGUGGCAAUGAACCCGAAACAGAAAGCUCCAUCCAUUCAAGGGACACUAAUGGAUACCAAGAAAGUAAGCAUUAUAAGCAAAUAAUCGAGUCUAUUGCAAAACUGAAACUAGAAGAGAGAAAUUAAGAUUUACUUGUAUCCAUAACAUAUACAUCUGACAACCACUUUUUCCCAUCCCAGCCGCCACACCUUCCAACGAUCUUAGAUUUAGCUAUGCAGGCAGCAAGAUUUAAAAAAUAUACCUAAUGAUUAAGUCUAAAGUUUGAUACUUACAAAACAAUUUUUUGGUUCCCAAUAGCAGCAGCAGCAGCAAAAUCACGAGGUGUAGGUAAGUCGCCAAAGCUAGUCAGCUCAGACCACUGCCAUAUAUCUGCAGCAAAAGUUAGCAGCCGUCAUUGAUAAGGAUAUCAUAGAAGUGUCAUACCAGAGUAUUAAAAAUUCUCAGACAGGUCUCACACGACAUUACAAACAUACCUGUAUCUAGAACCCAAAAGUCGCCCAACCUGAAUUGGAUAUAUAGAAAGAAGCUAUUUAAGGCCAGUGAAAAAUAGAAUGUAAAGCCGCUAUAACUAAAACAUAAACCAGUGUGUACCUCUUGCCACCAGAACGUCCACCAAAGAUGAACAUAUGGCAAUCAAUUGUGAUAGCAACAUGAAAGGCACGCGAUGUAGGACCUACUUUUCCUUCAGACUCGCUGCCAGUACAUUCUGGCUCAAACCAAAGUUUGUUCUCUAGUCGACAGGAUGAAAAACAAACAAUCAUAAGACAACCAUUUAACAUGAUCAACGACGCUAACAUAAGUAUAACCAUCAACACUCAAAAACCAUAAAGAACCCACUUUCACCGCUACUCAAAACAAGGAGAAUGAGAAAUAAGAAACUCAAAAUAUGGAGUACUAAACAAAACAAGCAAAACUGGUAAGACAGUAUCCGUCUUUUUUCAUCUUCAACACCUAAUCACCAAGGAUCUCAUGUGAAGUUUACAGCUUUCUAUGUUUUGCUAAUUCUUAAGUGAGAAAACAACUAUAUAUGACGAAGCACAGCCCCAACCAAGCUAACACUCAAUAAACUACAAGAAACACUACUCAUCACAGGCAAAGCAAUCCAAGACAAUAACUCAAAAUAAAAUAAAAAAGCAUCUUCCUUAGAAAAUAAACCAAUUAGAAGAAAAAUGAAUCAAAUAAUCAUAAUGAGAGUAAGCUUGAGUUUUCUAAAAUAACAGAACAAUCGAGAAACAAUUAUGACAAUACCAAUGUCAUAAACAAUGAUGUCGUUGAGAAAUUUCUUAUCGACGAGACCACCAAACACCACAACCAUGGAUUUUCCGACAUUGACAGCUGUAUGUCCACUGAUACAAAACACCAACAAAAUCAGCUGAAUUCGAGCCGAGAGCCACUAGUAUAGAAGAACAUGAGAUUUUCACCUCCGCGGCUGUGGAGGAGUUCCGCUGAAAUCGGAAGAAGAAGCUUGAACCCAGUGAUGCAUUAUUGAGCCGAUGAUGACGAAAUCUCACGGAUCAACCUUUGAAUUCGAUUGAUUCAAGUAGACUUCUUCUCUCUGAAGCCAAAUUAUUUGCAGAUCGAUCGUAAGGACUCUUCUUUGUUCAUUUAAACCAACAAUUUGGUUCCGGUUUAUCUGGUUUAUUCCGGUAAUUUAAAAUUCGGGAAGAUUUAUUUGUUUAGGUUUUGAAAGCAGAGUGAGUUUGAGUUUGUUUGUGUUGCAGAGAACAAUGGCACUAAGCUCACUCGACGAAUUCGUAAUCCUCGUUGUGAAGAAUCCAUGCCUUCAAGAAGACGCGUCUUCUUCUCCGAGCCAAGUGAUUUCAAUCUCAGCUUCUGAGAUUGUAUCUUGGGAUUUGUCAGAGAUACUCACUUACGGAAGUGUAAAAGUUCGAGCUCAUCGAACUAGGCAAGUGUCAUAUAUACUUCCUCACCCCCAAUCUCGAUUUGUAUUCAUUAAGUUUUGUUUAGUAGUAAUAUAAAGAUUCUUGCUUUUUUGGUUUUCUAUGUAGACUCGUUGAGGAAUCUUCGUAUUUCCAUGGCCUUCUAAGCGGAAGCUUCAGGUAUAUAUGUGUCUACUUGGUUGUAUUUUGGUGUAUGUAUUAGUUUUUUAAACAAAGGGAUUGAAAUUGGAUUAUUGUAAUAGUGAAUCAGGCCUUGAUCAUAUCUCUGUCGAAUGGAACCCAGAGGCAUUUUUGAAUCUUCUGAUGUGUUUGUAUGGUUGCGCCAUUGAUAUUACAUCAAGUAGUUUCGUACCUCUGUUUGAGGUUAGCUUUUUUUGGUAUCAGUCAUCUGCUCUCAUUGAUCUUUUUCUCUAGACUCUAGUAACAUGCUUAAUUAGCGAACUCUGAAUGGCGAAAUAUAGGUUGCACUCUAUUUUGGAGUGGAGAGGCUUCUCUCUAUAUGCAAAAGCUGGCUUUCAGAUUCAGUGUUGGCAUCAUCUAAUGACCCUGCAUCACCUAAACUGGAUUUGUCUGACCUUAUUCAGAUAUGGAGUUUUGGUCUCGAGCAUGGUUAGAAUCUUGUGAGAAAUUUCUUAUGGUUGUUAAUUUAGUGAUAUUUUUCUAAAUCAUGAUUCUUUUUGGUGAUACUUACAGCUGGAGAAUUUGUGCCAGAUCUCUGUGCGGCCUAUCUUGCAAAGAAUUUUGUAUGUACCACUCACUCUUCCCAUCUAUCCUACUUAGUAGUUGUUGGGUACGCUUGUGUUCUCCUUUCAGUGAUAUGUAGGAUGUAUGAUAGAAAAUGAUGACCUUCUGUCUACAAGAUCUAACUUCUUCCCAUUUUGGUAGUCGUGGUAGCUAAUAAUGGACCCUUAUGUCUUCUGCAGAUGUUGGUAAAAUCUGACAAGUGUUUUGGAAGUGUUCCAUAUGAGUUGUUGAUCUGUUGCAUUAAACAUCCUCACCUGACUGUACACAGGUAUUUUUGUAUCCAUUGAAUAUCGUAUAACUGCAAACAUACCUAAGAUUCUUACCGUUGACUAAACUCUGACAGUGAGAUGCAUCUUGUUGAUGCACUUCUUGUUUGGCUUGAUGCCGACAGAAGGAUGUCUGGCUUUUCGGAGAGUAGGCAGGAUAACACAAUCAACUUGAUGGAACAGGUAAUAUUUAGAAGGUCUGUCACCUCUGUAGAGAUUAAUUUAACAUAUAUUCAAAUUUUGUUAACUAUAAGAUGCAGAUGUCCGGUGUUGAAUCACAUAUUCACCUUAUGCAUUCUUUUGCGGUCAAAUGGCUCAUAUUCCACACCAAAUGAAAAUAAAAAAUGACACAUGUGUAUUUAAAUCCAGUGUCCCCUACCUACAUGAAAAAAGGUUAAAAGCGGUGUAGCUGAUGUGCUGUAAAUGAUCCACCUUGAAUGGGAAAUUUUUUGAUUACUUUAGGACAAAAUUGGAAUUUAAAUAAUUUCUCUUUGGAGUUUUUUAUUUUAUUUUGCUCAUUCUAUAUAUAUGUUUACCUCUAUGGGACUGUGGUUCUCACUUUAGGUUUUCUUGUUUGUUAAUAAAUUAAAUUGCAGGUCCGUUUUAGUCUGUUACCACUGUGGUUUAUUGCAGGUAAUGUUAUGAGUUAUGACAGAUGUGUGUGAUAUUCUCCAACUUGGAGAUAUAGCAGAAAUUUAUUGCGUUUAGUUUGUUUCCAUAUUUCAGGAAGAAGCAACUCUCAUGGGUUCUCAAAGUUUGUUGACCAAAGCAUGGAAUUGGUGAUUAAACUAAUAAAAAUGCCAUCCACAUACGUAGUUGAUAGUCUUACAGAUGGCCCUCCUGCUGAUCUCAGAGUGCGCCUGACUGAAUACACUGAGGUAUCUACCCUUGAAUUUAUUUUCUUUCUUGAUUUGAGUUAAUUAGUUGUGUCAGGAAUUGUAUUUCAGAUUUUGCUAGAAUUAGUAUUUGUGUUGGGCAUCUUGUAAAGUUCACUUAUGUACAGGGUUAUAAUGAAAAGUUUUUCUAAAAGUAUCCAACUUUUUCAUUACGACACAUAAAUCCAAGUUCUGUCCUACAUGUUCAUUUAUUUAGACAACGGAUGUCUUUGAUUCAUUUUUUUUAUGAAUAGCUAGUCCUUGAAAGCUUUAUGUCGUCCUUUCUAAUAAUGUCUUUGUUCCCUCAAUCAGAUAUUGGACCUCUCAGGAUGCCUGCAAGUAAAUGAAGCGAGUCUGCUAUUGUCAGUACUUCCUGACUCGUAUUUCACAAAUCUCAGGUGGAAAAAGAGUUUAACAAGUAUCCUAAAGAACCCUGAAGACAAUGAAAGAAAUCGAGAACAUCUAUCUUAUAGAACUUUACCAAUUUUGUCUUUCGAAUCAGUGAAAGAGAUUGAUAUUUCCAAGUGUCAGAAGCUUAACUAUAAAUUUGUGGUCAAGUGCUUCUCUAAGUCCUUCCCAUCAUUAAGAAAACUGAAAGCUGCUUAUCUCUUAAACAUCAAGGUGUCCACAAUGCUUGAACUUCUCCAGAAUUUUUGCCAGCUCACUGAUGUUGAUUUAACAGUUGAUGUUGCUCCAAUAGUACCGGUUCAAGCAUCGUUGUUUUAUUCUGGCAGAGGUCAUUUUUCGCUCUCCAAUAUCACAAGACUAACGCUGGAGGGUAGAAGUGAUAUAUGUGGUUAGUCUUUAUGUUUGUUUUUGACUACUUUGUUAUACUUCCAAUUGUUUGAUCUACCAUAUGAAUCAGCACAUUCCAAAUAUACUCUACUUUGACAAUCCUUAUCCCAAAUAUUAUUCUUGUUGCUUCUAGCAAACUUAAGGCCGCUAACUAUAUGCGUGCGUAGCUGAUAUCUCAAUUUUGCAUUGCAACAGAUAUGAAACUACAGAGCAUCUCUCGAGGAUGUGAUUCUUUAUGUUACCUGAACAUAAAAGGGUGUGCACUACUCUCAGAUGAAUGUAUAGCUUGUGUUAUACGGAGGUGUAAAUAUUUAUGCUCUCUCAUAGUUUGCUAUACAUCUUUUUCGGAGAAUUCGGUUUUGGCACUAUGCGCCAGUAUUUCUAUGAUCAAUGAGCAUAUCGAUUCAUAUUCAUUAGCAUCCAAGCUUCAGAUGCUGCACAUGACUAAAUGCGAGGGUGGGUAUUUUUUUCCACUUCUAUGUAAAAGACCAUGGCAUACAUAAAUUUAGUGUUAAAUUUACAGGAAUUAGUGAGACAUCGCUUCUAAACUUGAUAUGUCAGACACGGAAAAUGAAGAGUCUUUGCUUAAAGGAUACAAAAGUUUCAGACAGUGUGCUAUGUGAAUUCCCCGGCUCUUCCUUGGAAGCACUUGAUAUUUCAAAUACCACGGUCAGCCAUUUAUUCGUUAGUAUGGCAUAUCUUAAUCUCACAGGACAUAGUCGCAUUCAAGUGAUGCUCUGAUUCAGUAAUAAUACAUCAUGCGUCAGCCCCUCUAAUGCUUGGAUAUUUUUACAGAUAUCUCGGAUGGCUCUUGCUCGUGUAAUUAGCAGAAAUCCUAACCUAAAAAUCCUCAAAGCCAGGGGAUGUAAAAAUCUGCUUCAGUUACAGGUUGAUGGGGGAACUGACUAUUCCUCUCCGUUGUUUUCUACUCAAGAGGUGUUUAAAUGUUUAAGCAAGGGAAGCGGAUUGGAGGAGCUUGAGAUAGGUUGGGGGUUUUCUUAUUUCUCUCUUGAGUGUUUGAAACCUGCAGCUUCGUUCCUACGAGCUAUAAGUGUGGGUUUGGGUGCUUCCUUAGGUGAAGAUGCUUUAAAGCUUCUUCCUUCAGCUUGUCCAUUGCUAGAGUCUACCGUUUUCUAUUUUCAGGUAGUUCUUAUUCUUUGAACUUUGAAGAGUGUUAUUGAAAGAUAGUGAGCCACUGAUCUUUUCCCAUUUUUAACUCAUUUUUGGUGUGACAGGAAAUAUCUGAUUCUGCCUUGACACUUAUUUUGACAUCACUGAAGCACCUGCAAGAGUUAGCUUUGUGCUAUUGUUUCGGUGACAUAUCCAUUAAAAGUUUCAAGUUCUCUAUGCCGAACCUGAGAAAACUAAGGCUUGAGAGGGUAACUCGUUGGAUGACCAAUGAUGAUUUAUUUGUUCUCACACAAAGUUUUCCGAACUUGACCGAGCUUUCAUUAGUAGGAUGUUUACACUUAAAUUCAGGUACAAACUAUAUUUUUCUCGGGAACCAAAUUAUUUGAUCUCAUAAUCAUGUGCUAUUUUUUAUUUUUUUCAUCUCUUGUUUCAAUUUUUAUCUCUCAGAUUGUCAACCUAUCAUCUCAGCUGGAUGGCCGGGAAUGAUUUCUCUUCAUCUAGAGGUUUGUCUGGACCCUUUAGCUUAUUAGUAAUCGGCAUGAUUGUCUUUCAUCUUAAGGAAACUUUUGGAAGAACAGUAAAGUAAUUCGCUUUUUAUAACUACGUUAACCAUGUCGUGGUGGUAGGAAUGUGGAAGUAUAACAGAGAAUGGUGUCGCUUCUCUCUAUGGCUGCAUUGCUCUAGAAGACCUUUUACUUCGCCACAACGUAAGUUCUCUUUUAUGUAUCUACUCUUUGUAGUACUAUAAAAUCUCGUAGAUGGGUCAAGCUUUAUCAAAGGUUCCUAUAUUCCUGCUUUCGUUUUCUUUUUUAAGGGCUCUGGAAUACAGAAAAGCUUCCUUCUUGAUGCUAAUUUGAAGGUAAAUUCCGGGCACUCUCCAUACUUUUUAUUUAUGUCAGCAGAGUUUUUGCUUAAUCAAUCUCAACAAAUGAGCAGUUUCCAAUGCUUCGGCUGCUAUCUCUGGACAUGUGUGAUGCAAAGGAAGGUAGCUUCGAUGUCCCAGAGGUAUAAGUAAUAACAGAGAACACCAUAUGACAUAACCUUCUUUGUAGCUUUAGAUGGAAACAAAGAUUCACUUGCGGCAAAGAGUAAGAUACUUUUGGUCAUAAUCGUCAGAUAUAUUUGUUGUUUAUGGAGUGGCAGGAGAAAGAAGGAGGUGGCUUCCUAAGCAUAGUGAAGAUCAGUAGAUGCAAGUCCGAGAGAUGCGCUCUGGGAAGAGUCUUGGCUCCUGUGCAUAGAGAGACGCUGGUUAUGUUAUGGAAUGGCCAAAACCUCACUAAAACGCUUAUCAAACAAAGACUUUGAUUUACCACUCUACAAAUACUUUAUGCUGUUGUGUGUUAUAGUUGGUUGGUAUAUAAAGCUGAAAGAUUUUUAAUUCCGAAUAAAAAAUCAAGUCCGAUUAGUCUUUCGAUGUAGUUGUCGGUUAAAUGAAUAUACAACUUGACGGUAUUGAAUGCUGUUGAUCGCACAUAAAACGUGUAAUGAUAAAGAUUAAAGAAUAC